CAGAGGGCAGGUCUGCAUGGCAAAAGAGAAGCACGUCGUCUGCGAAACAAAGAUGAGAUAGCUUACAAGCCUUUGUUCUCCAAUGGAAUUUGAAAACGGAGGAGCUAGUUUUGUCUGCAAGCAAUAAGGCAAGAAUUUCCAUAGCUAGCACAAGCAGGUAAGGUGACAAUGGGUCUCCCUGGCGGAUACCCCUUUGGCCUUUGAAAUAUCCACAAAGUGAACCAUUCACUUUAAUUGAAAACAUAGCAGUAGAGGCACAACUUUUGAUCCAGUAAACAAAUUUUGGAGGAUAUCCAAAUAGAGUAAGGGCAUCAAACUAAAAUUCCCAUCGGAUUGAGUCAAAAGCCUUUUUAAGAUCAAUCUUACUUGCACAUCUGGAAGGACAAUUUUUCCUAUGAUAAUUCCUCAUUAGUUCUUAAGACAGAAGAAUAUUAUCACCAAUUUUACGCCCAGAGUAACCGGAUCCAAUUGAUUGAUUUGAGGCAAAUUAAACACUACUUAAGAUAGUCACUUUUGGUUAGGAUCAAAAUUAAAUGGAACUAGGUAAACCAAAACAUUUUUUUGUAACUUUCUAUUUUCCUCUUAAUUUUCCCAUCUAAUCCGAGAUAUUUGAUUGAACCACUACAAGAAAAAGGCUCUCCGACGGAAUAUUCCGUCGACAAUUUAGUCGGAUUUAAAGUCCUCAACAUUUAAUCCGUCUUAACAUAACCUAAAUGAACUAGUUAGGGAGAAAAUGAUAAUAUAUUCUUGUACAUGUAGCAUAAUUAAUGUUACUUGAAUAAAAAGGUCCUGUUACUACUUGAAAUUUAGUGAAUUAUCAAUAUACAUAAACAAGAAGUACUAAUUUUUUGAAAUUUCAAAGUCACGCACAGUAGUAAAUAGGGUUAAUUGACAUGAAGAUUUUGACAUAACACCAUACUGAUUAAGUGUUACAAUCAUUGUAGUUGGUAGCAACCAUGAGUUGUUUGGUUACUUUCAAAAAUUGCCUAAAUAAUAUAAAACAAAUAUUUUUGAACGACAUUUUCAAUCAUUUUGUUUUGCUAAUUCAUUUCAAUCAUUUCAUAUAACAAUAUCAUUUCACUACAUUUAUACAGCUAGCUGAUAGUCUUGGAAUCAACAUGCAACAUAAGACUUGGAGAUUUGCUUAGACUUGGUCUUAGUUGAGUUAGGAGUUGAUUCAGUCAAAUAAAAUAAGUUAGUAGUGACUUCUAAGUAGGAGAAUUGUUAGGAGUUGUUCCAGUAGGAGUUUUUCCAGUAACAGUAAUUUAUUUGGCCUAUUUAAGAGGUCUUCUUCUUGUUGGAAAAGGGUUUGAAAUAAUAUUGAAUCCUUCUUUAUAUAAACUUCCUCUCAUCCUUUGAUAAUUCUAAAACAACACAAAUUCACAUAUCAUUUGGUAUCAGAGCCAGGUUACUCAAAACCACGGCCACCUAAAACUAAAGUAACGAUGAGUUCCGCAAUGAAGUCCAAGAGGUACUAGGCCGUCACGAGUCGAGUUUGGACCAGGUUCAUAUGACUCUUCAGAUCGUUUUAUCUGAGUUGUAAUCCUUACGUGCUGCGCAACCCAAUUCCUACCAAACCAACCAACCUUCUACCUCACUCAACCCCCCAUUAACGGCUACAAUCAUCACCUAAAACUCACCUUUCCAAACUUCAACAACGAAUAUACGUAUUUCCCUCCAAUGGUACCGGUGGUUAACCAAAUUCAAAGGACCCCUUACAUGGGAAAAAUUUACAAAGGUUGUCCUCCUCCGAUUUGGUCCAACGAAUUACGAGGAUCCUUCCGAGGCAUUAACAUGAUUGAAACAAACCUCGACCGUGGCGUCCUACCAAGAAGCAUUUGAAAAACUCUCUCAUCGUGUGGAUGACUUACCGGAAUAAUUCUUAGUUUGAUGUUUUAUUACAAGUUUGCGAGACGAUAUUUGUCUAAACGAGAAGGUCAAGCAACCUAAGACUUUAGUGGAGACCAUUGGGGUAGCUCGUUUGAUUAAGGAACAUAACACCUUAGUCAAAAAGACAAGUGUCAAUAACGCAUUCAGACCUCCAAAUGCAGCAGCCUUUCAAUGCAAUCAAACCUCUUCCGCUGCAGGACUUCUUGGCCCUCCACCAAAUCAACAACCGAAUCGAACUUCAAAUACCAUGGUUCGUCGCAUUUCUGGGCAAGAGGCGAAGGAGAGACGUGAGAAAGGACUUUACUUCUAUUGUGACGAAAGGUAUGUUCUCGAACAUCGUUGUCAGUGUCCGCAGUUCUUUAUAAUUGAGGAUUAUCUUGAUGAGCUAAAUGACGCUGACACGUGUUUUUAGGAUUGACCGAGUAUUAAGUAUUUGUUAUUAGCUUUCAGUAGUUGUUGUAUUUCAAUAAACCACUAAGCGAAGUUUGUGCUUUAGUGGAGCUAGUCUUUUUCGGUCUGUUACUUUUGUAAGGCUAUAAAGCCUAGACGCAAUUUUUAAUAAACAACAUUCACCCCAUUACUUUGUGUCUCCAAGAAAAACCAUCAUUCUGGUAUUAGAGCACUAAAAGUGAGAGGGCCUAAGAGAGAGAAUAACAACAACAGUUUUUCCCUUGAGUGAACUUAAGCACCAUGGCAGAUGAGAAAACCCUAAUGAAGAUCCCACACUUCGACGGUCACUAUGACCAUUGGAGCUAGUUAAUGGAGAACUUGAUUCGAGCAAAGGGUCUCUGGAGUUUGGUCGAAACUGGAUUUGAAGAGCCUCCUAAAGGUACUGAGCUGUCCACGGCUCAGCAGAAACAGCUCGACUAUCUAUUCCAAGCAAUAGAUAGAUCAGUGUUUGAACAAAUUUUGGAUCGCUGAACAUCCAAAAUUGUGUGGGACUCGAUGAAGAGAAAGUUUGGAGGAAGUGCUAGGGUAAAGCGUUCUCUCUUGAAUGCAUUACCGAGAGAAUUUGAGGUGCUGGCAAUGAAGAGAGAUGAAACCAUCGCUGAUUACUUCGCAAGAGAACAAGAUGAGGAACAAUAGAGAGGUAAUGCCAAACUCCAAGAUAGUCGAGAAAAUUCUGCGAACACUGACAAAAAAAUUCACCUACGUGGUGGUAUCUAUUGAAGAGUCCAAGGAUACCACUGAGAUGUCUGUCGAUGAAUUACAGUCCUCCUUAGUGCUUAAUGAGCAGAAAUUUCAGAGGGUUUCACUAGAUGAAAAAGACCAGGCGCUGAAGGUUGAAGAACGACAUGAGUUCAGAAACAGGGGACACGGGUCUCCCAGAAGAGGUUCCCUAAGAGGCAGAAGUCGAGGAAGAGGAAGAACAACCUUUAGCAAAGCAACUGUUAAAUGCUACAAAUGUCACCAGCUAGGACAUUUUCAAUAUGAAUGCCCAAAGUGGAACAAGGAAACAAAUUUUGCAGAAUUUAAAGAAGAAGAAGAUGUACUCUUGAUGGCACAAACUGACAAAAACAAGUUGGGCCUGAUGACACAAGAACUGCUUGAAGCUGAGAAGAAGGACACAUGGUUCAUAGACUCAGGAUGCUCAAAUCACAUGUGUGGUGACAAAGGUAUGUUCACUAGUUUGGAUAAAACAUUUACUCAUAAUGUCAAACUAGGGAAAAAUGCCAAGUUAAAAGUUGUUGGAAAAGGGGAGGUAAAGUUGAGAUUCAAUGGAAUUAACUAUGUGAUAGGAGAUGUUUAUUAUGUUCCUGAAUUAAAAAACAAUUUGUUAAGUGUUGGUCAACUCUUGGAAAGAAAUCUUCACAUUCUGUUCAAAAGGGAUGCAUGUAGUGUGUUUCAUCCCACACGUGGGAAGAUAGCAAAAUCCACAAUGAGAAAGAAUAGGAUGUUCACCCUGUUUGUUGAACCUUAUCCAAAAAAUGAAGCAACUAAGUGUCUCUAGACUAGCAGCUCGGAUUGUGCAGUACUCUGGCAUCAGAGGUAUGGACACCUCAUUUACAAAGGGUUGAGGACACUCAGUUACAGGAAGAUGGUAGUAGGGCUGCCAUUCAUUACCACCAGCAAGGUAACCUUUGAAGCUUGUAUAAAGGGAAAGCAGCACAAAACACCUUUUCCCAAGAGAAGUACAUGAAGGACAACAAAAAGGUUGCAACUCAUCCACUCAGACAUCUGUGGUCCAGUCAAACCAGCCUCAAACAACCAAAAGAGGUAUCUCUUGAAAUUUAUUGACAAUUAUACCAGCAAGACUUGGAUUUAUUUUUUACUAGAAAAGUCAGAGACCUUUUAUCAAUUCAAGCUAUUUAAAGCCUCGGUAGAAAAAGAAUGUGGUUUGUCAAUCAAAUGUCUUAUAAUAGAAAGGGGAGGUGAAUAUAAGUCCACAGAAUUCAAAGUGUUCUGCAAGAAAUAAGGCAUCAAGAGACAGCUUACUAUGGCUUACACUCUACAGCAAAACGGCGUGGUUGAGCGGAAAAAUCGUACGAUAAUGAACUUGGUGAGGGCCAUCCUAGCUGAUAAGAAGAUCCCCAAAACCUUCUGGCCAGAGGCAGUCCAGUGGGUCAAUCAUGUUCUCAACCGAUCACCUACACUAGCAAUAAAGGAUAAAACUCCUGAAGAAGCUUGGAGUGGAGUCAAACCUUCGAUGGAAAACUUCAGAGUAUUUGGAUGUGUGGGGCACGUACAUAUACCCAAUGCCAAGAGUGUAAGACCUAGAUUUUUUUAUAUAUAUAAAUGAAAUUGAAUUUCCUCUAUUCAUUAUCUUAAAAUAAUAAGGAGUUAAUUUGAUAUAAUAUUUUGGUUAUGGGUGAAAUGUGCAAAUUUUACAAAAUAAGCAAGUGGUUGUAAAAUAUUCAUUUUUGUCGGGAAAUAUUCGUUUGGUCGUGGAAUAUUCUUGUUGUCAGGGAAUAUUUGUACGACGGCGCAACCAUUCGUGGGCCUCAUAACAGAAUAACUGUCGGAUGAAGAAAACGACAAGUUUGAGUUUUUAUAAAUAACGACGUAGUUGUUACCGUUAACACUGUUGGAAUACCCGGUGGUUAAAAUACAAUAAUACGCGUGAUUGCACAGUAGCACACGGUAUUGCACAGUAUUUUUGAAUUAUUGAUUCUUACGUAAGAAGGCACUACUCAAUAAUUGGUACAGUAAUUACUGUUCAAUAUUUUAUUUUAUUGAUUCAAUAAUUGCUGCGUUGAUAUUUUAUAUUAUUUUUGUUUCAAUAAUUGUCUCUGCACAAUAUUUCCCAUUAUCAGAUCAAUAAUUCAUAUUAUUUGAAUAAUAUUAUUAGAUAACAUUAUUGGCAAUGUCUAGAAAGUUCUGUCUAAGGAGAGGUUUGGUCACCUAAUUGCGCGCCAGUAAGGAGAAAUCCUUAUUGGAAAGCCCCCUCUUUCCUGGGAACGGUCUGGUUGUCAUUAUUUUGAUUCUGUAAUAUUAUUUAUGAAUAAUUAUUUAUUGAUUUAUAUGAUAAGGAAAUAUUUAUUUUAUGUGGCUAUUAAUGUUGAGGUGUUUUAUCAGUAUUAUUUUUGUCGGAAUGGAAGUAUUAAAAAUCAAAUCAGUGUUCUUGAGAUAUAUUACGUGAGUUAUAAUUUUUAAUCCGACCGUUAGAUUAUUGUGAUUUUUAGAUAUGUUAUACAUAUAUAAGUUGAGUAUAUGUCCACAAAUUUUGAACCGUUAAAAAUGAACGUAUGAUUUGUUAUGAAUUUUAAGAGGUAAUUGAUUCAGAAAUCGUUGAAGUUUCUGAAUUUAUCAUUUUAGUGGAAAAUUCUAGAAUUGGUGGGCCCCACUUUUGGUUGGUGAGAAAUGUUCUCAAAUUUUAUUUCAAAUGUGGUGGGUGGAAAUAGUAGUAGAUAAAACCAUCAGGUAGCAGGUCAAGUCUGCUUCGGCGUGCUAGCAGUUUCCUAUAAAUAGGUGCUUAGGUUAGAAUUGAAAAUCACACCAGAAACAUAAGCUUUCUCUCUCUCUAUAUAUAUAUUAUCGAGCGUAUUUUUAUGAGUAUUUAGAUACUUUGAGAGUUGCUAUUUAGUGCAAGUUUCCUUCGGCUUUACAUCCGAUAUUCCGGUCAGAAGCACUGUUAUUUUGAGGUAAGAGAUGUUAUUUUUUUUCGUAAUGAUGUUAUUCUUUCAAUAUCAUUAUGCUGAAAUAUUGGUAUGGAUUUUUUUGUGAAAUUUCUACCUUUUUGUGUCAGGGUUACUAUUCACAUAUACGACACUAUUCACGAAUACGAUACUAUUCACCGUAAAAUGAAAUUUUUCCUUUUUGUCCAAGAUGUCUAUUAUGGUUACUAUCUUUGAUUGUAUCAAUAUUUUGAUCUUUAUUUUUGAAUUCUGCUUCACAAUUGGUUAUUAUGAAGUAUUAUUGAUCUUGGAUAAACUAUUAUACGAAUCCCUAAUAUUUGUCCUUCUGUCUCACUGGAUUCGUUUUCUUAAAAUAUUUUUCAUCAUCCUCAGUCUUAAAUGAUGAUAUUAUUGAAUAUAUUUGGCCUGUAGUGCAAAGAUGAAUGAUUACCUGAUGAAUAUCUUUGGCCCGUAGUGCAAAGAUGAACAGGUGUUGAGAUGAACAUGACCAACUGGUGAUACAAAUGAAUAUCUUUGGCCUGUAGUGCAAAGAUGAAUAUUUGAUUAAAGAUGUAUAUUGAUUGUUGUUACAGGGAUAAAAUAUUGAUGAUGGACUUUUAAAUCUUAGAAGAUAGUAGAACUCAUUCUCUACUUGACUCUUCUAAUGGAUUGUUGUUUCCGCUGCAGUUGUUGAUCUAAAACUUGUUGUCUAUUAUAUUUUAUCAGAUUUUUCCCUGUUGAAGACUAAUGAUAAUUUGUUGUAUAUUAUCUUAGUCAUAAUAUUCUUUACUGGGCUAGUUGAGCUCACCCUUUUCCUUUUUGUUCCAUUUUUCUUCUCAGGAGGUGAGAACAUAGCAGGAUCUAGUCGGGGUAUGGAGUGAUGGUUCUAGAAAGAUGUUUUAGCAGUCCUCACUAUUUCUGUAAAAUAGUGUUUGAAUAAUUGUAAUGAGGACUUAUUUGAGUGUGGAUAUUGUCUAGAAGACAAUAUUUGUAUUUAAACUCACAGUAUGUGUUGUCGUAUUUUGCACGACAAUUGUAUUAUUGAAGUUAUAGUUUGCUUUCUGUACCAUGUAUUUGGCGACUCAGAAUGGGUGUUGUAUACCUAUUUUGGGGGAAUCACAGUUGGUAUCAGAGCUUAGGGAUAUGAUCCCUGGCUGAGAUGUGAGACUAGAACUAGGAGGGGAGAGACGGGUAAAUCCUUCGCUAGUGUGUCCUACCUAUGCUUAUUUGUUGGUCGGUCAUGUGAUAUAUUAAUUUGUUUAAUUAACCCUUGUUUUAUGGCAGUAUUUAAGAAUGGCUGUUGAGAACAUUAACAAUGGAGUGUAUGAGACUGUGGAACAACCUUUAGUCACGAACCAGGAGAAUGUGCAACAAGAAGGCAAUAUUCCUCCUGUAAACAACACUACCGAGCAAACGAUGAAUGAUGGAAUGUUUAGGAGCUUUUUGCAGUUGAUGCAAAAUCAGACGAGGGAGACUCGUGUACAAAAUACGGGUGGAAAUGAUAGCAACGCGCGGUUCAUCACAACCAAGCAGUUUAAGGAGUUGGGACCACCAGAAUUCUGGGGAAAGCCGGAUUCGAUUAAGGCGGAGACGUGGGUCAAGUAAAUUACCAAGAUAUUCGAUGUCUUGGGAUGCACGGAGGAACAGAAGGUUCUAUUCCCCACUUUUAUAGUCCGUAAUGAGGCAGAUUACUGGUGGGAAUCUGUGAAACGUACCCAUCCACCUGUACUCAAUAUGUCUUGGGAAACGUUUUAGAAACUAUUCAAUGACAAGUACUUUCCUGAAAGUAUUCGUCAUAUGAAGGAGGUAGGGUUUAUUAGAUUGGAACAGAACAACAUGACGGUGUCCUAGUACAAGGCGAAGUUCGCAGAGUUAUCCAGGUUUUCACCUCAUUUGGUAGAGAAUGAGGAACGAAUGACGCGGAUGUUUUUGAGAGGUCUAAAACCUGAGAUUCGUCAGUAUCUUAUCUCUCACAAAUUUUCUAUGUAUUCAAAUGUUAUCAAUAGGGCACAAUUAUUAGAGCGAGAUAGUGAGAAUGUUCAACCGAGGGACCACAACCAGGGUCAUACCGGUGACAACAGUCAUCAGAGCGAUGAUAACCAGCGAGGAGGGAAAAAUACUGACAAAAGCGGUAACCACUCGGGUGGUAAUCGUGGAAAGGAUAAUAGGAGAGGUGAGUCAAGUGGAAAUUUCAAGAAGAGAAGAUUUAACGAUGACGGGAAGACGUCGGCGGCAACACCAGCACCAGUAACAAAUUCUAGGGGAGGAGAACGACCGCCAGUUAGAUGCUACAGAUGCGGAGAGGAGGGACAUAUAAGUCCAAACUGUUCACAGCCUUCCAAGGUAUGUUAUAAUUGUGGAAAGGAAGGUCACAUAUGUUAGAUCCCAAAUUUUAUGAAAUGAAAGUAUUCAAUUUUCUUAUAAUUAUUUUAUUUAGUAAAUGGUUAAAUUGAUAAAAGGUUAAAGUUAAGGGUGAUAUGUGAAAAUUUUCAAAGUAUGCAAGUUGUUAUAAAAUAUUCUUUUUAUCGGGGAAUAUCCGUAGGAUGACACAAUCAUUGGUGGACCCCACAACGGAAGUAUUAUCGUAGUAAGGAAAUGACAGAAUUAUCUUUUUAUAAAAAUAACAGUGAAAGUGUUACCGUUAAAACUGUUGAACUACUCGGUAGUAAAAGUACAGUAAUACGCGUGGUUGCAUAGUAACACACGGUAUUGAUUAUUGAUGCUUACGUGAGAAGUCACUCAGUUAUACUCAAUUAUUGUUACAGUAAUUGAUGCAUCAUAUCUCUCAUAUUAUUGAUUCAAUUAUUGUCACAGUAUCAUCUGCAUAAUAUGUUAUAUUAUUAAAUCAAUAAUUGAGACGGUAAAGUUAUUCAUAUUAUUAUUUGCAAUAUUGACAAUGUCUAGAAGUUCUGUCAAGGAGANNNNNNNNNNNNNNNNNNNNNNNNNNNNNNNNNNNNNNNNNNNNNNNNNNNNNNNNNNNNNNNNNNNNNNNNNNNNNNNNNNNNNNNNNNNNNNNNNNNNNNNNNNNNNNNNNNNNNNNNNNNNNNNNNNNNNNNNNNNNNNNNNNNNNNNNNNNNNNNNNNNNNNNNNNNNNNNNNNNNNNNNNNNNNNNNNNNNNNNNNNNNNNNNNNNNNNNNNNNNNNNNNNNNNNNNNNNNNNNNNNNNNNNNNNNNNNNNNNNNNNNNNNNNNNNNNNNNNNNNNNNNNNNNNNNNNNNNNNNNNNNNNNNNNNNNNNNNNNNNNNNNNNNNNNNNNNNNNNNNNNNNNNNNNNNNNNNNNNNNNNNNNNNNNNNNNNNNNNNNNNNNNNNNNNNNNNNNNNNNNNNNNNNNNNNNNNNNNNNNNNNNNNNNNNNNNNNNNNNNNNNNNNNNNNNNNNNNNNNNNNNNNNNNNNNNNNNNNNGAAUAUCCUGUCUGUGCGGAUUACGCAUGACCUAGUUCCAUUCUUUAUUAUUCUGUUGGAAUAACAUGUCAGUGCGGUCUAUCGCAUUCCUGGUGAAUUCUAUUGUUAUUCCAUUCUUUAUUAUUCUGUUGGAAUAUCCUGUCUGUGCGGAUUUCGCAUGACUUGGUUCCAUUCUUUAUUAUUCUGUUGGGAAUAACCUGUCUGUGCGGUCUAUCGCAUGCAUGGUGAAUUCUUCUGUUAUUCCAUUCUUUAUUAUUCUGUUGGAAUAACCUGUCUAUGUGGAUUACCACAUGCAUGGUGAAUGAUCCUUUGUAUUCAUUCCUUAUUAAAUAUAAUUGUGGAAGUGAUCUGUUUACGUGGAUUACCGCAUGGCGGGUUAAAAUCCAUUUGCAGUUUUGUAAUUUUUCGGACAUUCAAAAAAUUUUUGGAAAAAUUUGGGAGGAUAUUAUGAUAAGUUUUCUAACAUCUCCAAGUGGAAUCACUGAAAGAGGAGUUGUAGAUUGUUGUAUGGACUAUUUUUAACAAAGCACGAAAAAGUGAAAAAGGAGAAAAAGCUACUGCCCAAAUUUUUGUAAGGGCUGUUUCGGCCAGUUAAUUUGUGAGAAAACUUCUAGCCUUUUGGGACAUGGAAAUAUAUGGUAUAAAGUACCUCCUGUCCAAAAAUGAGCUCAUUCCGACUUAAAAUGAGCAAGUUAUGACUAUUUCAAUAUUUAGGUUUUUNNNNNNNNNNNNNNNNNNNNNNNNNNNNNNNNNNNNNNNNNNNNNNNNNNNNNNNNNNNNNNNNNNNNNNNNNNNNNNNNNNNNNNNNNNNNNNNNNNNNUAUAUGUUUGGACAAAGGAUAGAAAAAUAAUAAGUUGAUUUGGUAAUUUUUCAUGAAAAUGGUUUAGUUACGAACAUAUGAGUUAAAUAUGUUAUGUGAAGUUGAAAAAUUGGUAAAUUGGAUUUUAUGGCUUGAAAAUCCUAUAUAAGGUAUAUGCAGACUUUUGAUGAGGGAUUUGAUCAUUGGUGAUGAAAUCUUAUGAGUAUGGUAUUUUUGAAUGAUUAAAUGCAUUAUUUGGUAAAGUAUAAAUAAUUAAAAUAAAUUAUUUAUAAGUUUAAGAAAUGAUUAAAAUAUUGUUAUAAUAUUAAUGAUAUUAGAUUAUGAGAUUAUUAAGUGAUUGAUAAUAUUGAGAUAUUCUUGUACCCUGGAUAAAUUAUAUUAUAAAUGUUUAAUAUUUAUCCUUUAUCUCAUUUGAAUGAUUUUUUAUAUCAUUGUCAUGAUCCUCAUGCUUAUAUUGUGUUGAAAGUCAUAUGUGGCUUACGUGCAUAGAUGGACUUGGUAUGAUUAUGACCAGGGAUUAUUCUGUAUAAUCAUGACCGUAAUGUUACAAAUGAUGUGAUAAAAGUCAUCUUUGGCCCGUAGUGCAUAGAUGGACUUGGUAUGAUUAUGACUAGGGAUUAUUCGGUAUAAUCAUGACCGUAAUUGAAAACACGAAUAUCCUUGGCCCGUAGUGCAUGGAUAAUUUGUAAGACCCCAACUUAUUAUUAAUGAAAUUGAAUUUUCUCUAUUUAUUAUUUUGAAAUAGUAAGGGUUGAUUUGAUUAAUGUGGUUAGUUAUGGGUAAAAUGCGCAAAUAUUUCAAAUAAGCAAGUAGUUAUAAAAUAUUCAUUGUUGUCGGGGAAUAUUCAUUUGGUCGUGGAAUAUUCUUGCUGUCGGGGAAUAUUCGUACGGCGGCGCAGCCUUGUGUGGGCACCAUAACGGAAAGCGAUUGGAUGAAAAAAAUGACAAGUAUAAGUUGUUUAUAAAUAACGGCAUAUUUGUUACCGUCAAUAAUUGUUACAGUAAUUACUGUUCAAUAUUUUAUUUUAUUGAUUCAAUAAUUGCUACGUUGAUAUUUUAUAUUAUUGUUGUUUCAAUAAUUGUCACUACACAAUAUUUUCCAUUAUCGGAGCAAUAAUUCAUAUUAUUUGAGUAAUAUUAUUAGAUAACAUUAUAGGCAAUGUCUAAAAAGUUCUGUCUAAGGAGAGGUUUGGUCAGCUAAUUGCGCGCCAGUAAGGAAAAAUCCUUAUUGGAAAGCCCAUUCUUUCCUGGGAACGGCGUGGUUGUCGAUAUUGUGAUUCUGUAAUAUUAUUUGUGAAUAAUUAAUUAUUGAUUUAUAUGAUAAGGAAAAUAUUCAUUUUAUGUGGAUAUAGAUGGAGAAAAUUUUUAAUGUGACAAUUGUUGAAAAUUGUUAUUUUAUCUUUUUCUGAUAAAAUAAUUUAUUUAAAUAUAUUAUUAUAUUUUAAUAAUAUAAUAAUGGUGAUAUUUUUUACAAUGAAUGUGUGAUAUAUGAUUAAAUAAGGAGGAAGAGUAUUUUUGUUACACAAAAUAUUUAAAACAUGUUUUUCAUGUUUGUGGACCCCAUUUCUUGACUGAAAUUUGAUUAUAGCUUGUAAAAUCGUCCGUAUGUGAAUUUCGGUCAAUUUCUGUUUAGAAUUUAGAAAAACUUAAAACUACAAAAUUGUAGAGAAUUGAAUUUUCUAUGGAAUGGACAUAAGAUUCAAAUUUUUCUGAUAAAAGAACUAUUUAUUGUGAAUUAUUGAAGUUCCGGAAUAAUUGAUUUUUUUUUAGUUUUAAAUGGUUUUAAUAUGAAAAACAUUUUUGGUGAUGUUGGAAUUGGUUUGGCUGAUGUCUAGACCAAAAAAGUGGGCGUAGAAAUUUAAGAAAAAUAUAUUUAUAUUUUAUUAAAUUUUCUGCUUUGGUGUUUUAAGCAUUUUCCUAUAAAUAGGGUGCUUAGGUUAGAAUUGAAAAUCACACCAAAAAUAAGUUUUCUCUCUCUUUCUCUCUCUAUAUUAUCGAGCGUAUUCUUGUGAGUAUUUUGAUACUUUGAGUAUUGCUAUACGGUGCACGUUCCUUCAGCACUAUAUCCAGUAUUCUAAUCAGAAGUACUGUCUUUUCGAGGUAAGUGAUGUUAUUUUUUAAAAAAAAUGAUAUUAUUUCUUUCAAUAUCAUUAUGCCAAAAUAUUGGUAAGAUUUUUCUUGUGAAAUUCUUGUCUUUUAGUGUCGGGGUUACUAUUCACGUAUACGACACUAUUCACGAAUACGACACUAUUCACAAAAAAAUUAAAUUUUUGUUUUUCGUCCAAAAUAUCUAUUAUGGAUACUAGCUUUGAUGCAAGUCAAUCGACUAGUCAACGCGCGUCCCUGGUCAACCAAAAUUCCGUCCCAGCGCCCCGGCGUUGGAAAAUGAGCGUGCUAGAGCGCCCCGGCGCUGUAUGUUCAAAGUAUUGACCAAACUGCCAUUAUUAGCUCAAAAUUCCCCGAUUUGUCCCUUCAGCUCCCGAAUCUGCAAAAUAAACACUAUACACAGUAAAAAUGCUUCUACAAGACAUGAAAACACAACAAUUUAUGCCCAAGUAUAUCCAAUUAAUGGGUAUAUUACCCAAUCAUCAAAUACCCCCAAACUUAAAUCGUUGCUUGUCCUCAAGCAACAAAACACAAAACAACACGAACAAAUAAACAAACAUGCAAAUGAAUCUAAAACUAUCUUAUGUUCGAAAUUCCAGCAAUUAAAUAGCACACCGUAUAUCCAUAGGCCUCAGAAAAAUCACAUAAACAUUCUAAAACAUCAUGUUAAAGCAGAUCAAUAAUAUCCCAACAAUCAAUGAAUCUAAAUCUGUUAUUACUGAUAACGUGUGUGUGUGUUCAACAACCAUGCUAACCAAUGAAAAGCAAAAUAUGAAAGAUAAUAAAUUUCUUAAUAGGCAUCAUACAGUGUAAACUCGANNNNNNNNNNNNNNNNNNNNNNNNNNNNNNNNNNNNNNNNNNNNNNNNNNNNNNNNNNNNNNNNNNNNNNNNNNNNNNNNNNNNNNNNNNNNNNNNNNNNUUACUUUUUUUUUUCAAAGCUUAUACACUCCAAAUAUUUUCCCCAAACUUGAGUUUAUAUCUAAAUUCAGUAUUCACUAGCUAUUCAAAUUGUUCCUUCAUUUCACUAGCAUUCAUCCUUUAGAUGUCUAUUAUCUAUCCAUUUAAUACUUCCUUGGCCAACAUGGUCAUUUUUCAAAACGUGCUAUCCUUAUAAUAUCAGUGUCAAACAGAUAAAGAUUUAUGUCAUGUCAAGAAAAUCAUAUCACUAACUUCACAAUCCUUACUAGACUUGUUCAUGCAAUUUUAAUUUCAUCAUUGGCCCCAAAACAUACGUACUAUCAAAAGAUGGAAUUAACAUGCAUCCUAAAUGCAACAUUUAACCAACAAUAACAAUCCAAAUUAAUCACAGACUAUUAACAAUAACAAUCUACUAAUGCAAAUAGAAAUUAACUACCCCCAAACUUAUCUAGAGCGAUGUCCUCAUGUGAAAAAUAAAUCGAAAUAAAUCAGAGGACUUCCUUGACGAGCUUAUGCCUCGGGUGGAGCAUCAUCAUCCUCGCUCAUCUCUAGAUCGGAACGGAAGGGGGAAACACUGGCAGAAUUGGAACAGUGGGGAACUGGCUGAGAUUAACACCCUGGAAUAGCUGGGCGUUCAUGGCAUUCUGGGCUGCAAACUGGUCGACCAAAUAUUUGUAGAUCACAUCUUGACGUUCAGACAGGCGGACAUUUUGGGAUUCGAGGUUGUAAAACCAACCAUCAAUUUCACGUUGGACCGCUUCUAGAACCACACCGCGGUGAGCUGCUGAGGAAGGGCCAUAAGUAGGUGGAGCUUGAGGUGGUGGAGCUUGUGUAGCUUCAACUUGGGGAAUUAUGAAACCCAAUCCCCUAGGGUGGUUCUCCCCACCUGUCCAUACUUUAUACCUGCUUAUCAACUUAUGGUCCAAUACUGGCAUAGGCGUUUGAAUCAUCUCAUCUGAUUUCCAUUUCACCCCAAACUUGGCACAUAAAACACAAAUUAAAGACGGAUGGGGUAAACCUCUUGUGGUUCCUCGGCGUGACGCUCGUAGAAUGGACUGCUGGAUAUCAUGACCGACAUCUAUCUUCAAUCCUUGAAUGAUGGAAUACAGCAGAACAUCCCUCUCCUUAGUGACAUGACUCACGUGUGUGCAUGGCAUGAGUUUGGCGCAUAUAAAGGCAUACCACGCCUUUCCAUAUAAACUGAGGUUAGAGAGUUCAAAGGUCAUGCUGCCCCGUUCAUGCAAUGUGCAUGUGGUGCCCGGUUGACAAAGCUCGCGAAUUAUCUUCUCAUAGUCCGGUCCAUCACUCACAAGACUUGCAUACUCGUCGUUUAGUCCCUCUAAUGGCAGUUGAUAUCACCCGUUAAUGUCUUAUUCGCCAAUUUAAACAGUUUUGCCCCUCACAAAUAUCCCAUAAUGGUAGUGCUCGGGCACGUUGGCAUAGAACUCUUUUACAACUGCAAUCACGGCUGGAUCGGGCUGCUCGGUGAGUGUGAACCAAUUCCUCUCAGCUAUCAUGACCGCUAUGUCCCCGUCUUUGGAUUGAUCGGGCCUUAAACCUCAUUCGAGGAUGAGAGAUCGGGUAGCCAUCUUGUUGUAGCGUUCUUGUGCCUCCGCAGAGACAAACCUUCUAUUAUCAAAUUUGGGUGGAGCUGGGGCAGAACCGGAACCCUCGCCGCGUUAUCGCUUGGAAGCCAUGUAGAAAAUUCUGCAAGUAGUGGCAUAAACAUGUAUUAGUAGUGGACAUAAUUUUAGUUUGGAUAAACGUAACCAUGACACUACCCCCAAACUUUAAAAUUUAUGUGUACGUUGAGUACAGAAUUGGGGGUGUGGCAUGACACAUACUAGCAUGAAAAUGCACAAUUGCACCGAUUAGACGCAUGUAUUAUUCAACUUCGAAAAUUGGCAAAAGAAACACAUGAUUUGCCCAAAAGAUGUGUCAUUUAAAGCAAUAUGAUUCCAUGUACGCAGCAACAUGAUUUAGCCCCUCACAAUCAUGAGAUAAAUAUUUGACAGUGGACUAUUGGUAGUGGGGUGGCAAGGUGACAAGGGAAUCCAGAGUGUGGCUAUGGUGAUAUGUGCGAAUUUGAACAUGAUCUUUGACUCAGGCAAAUUAUCAAACACCUUAUAUGCAACUGAAAAAUUGCUGUAAACCACCACUAAUUUCCUAUCCAUUCAAAACCUUUAGCAUGCACUUAUCAUAUAGUCAUGAUAUCUCAAUCAAAAGUGGAACCCCAUCAACCGGUGGUUCAUAUAUAUGCCAUAUGUGAAUUUCAAAAUCAAAAGACUGAAAAUUUUCCCGAGAGAUGAAGAGAAGGGGAAUCAAAUUGACAGUUAAUUUACCAUUCUUGCACAUCAAAGAUGUGGAUCCACACAAUAUUUAAUGAAAUUUGGUACAUACCUGUGAACUAAUAUUAGUAGAUGAACAGUUCUUCGAGAAUUGAAGUUCCGAAUGGAGAUGUUCACUAGUGUUAGACAAUAAGGAUAUAUAUAUAAGUUUCAAAGAAGUUACCAUCUAAACGUUGGUGGGUGUAGUAGUGGAGACGUGAAGGAGUUGGAGGGUUGCAGUUGGAAACUGAAUAGUUGCAAUAAAAUAGGAAUCUGAUUUGUUACUUUAGCGCCGGGGAGCUAGGAUUUGUGCUACGAUGAGCGCUGGGGCGCUGACCUUCACGGUCUAAUGGUUGAGCCUAGCGCCGGGGCGCUGAAAUUAAGCAUACGUGCAGCGCCGGGGCGAUGAUGGGCAGGGUUUAAUACUGAGUUCUAGCGCCGGGGCGCUUGAUUUGCAUAGAAAACGAGCGCCGGGGCGCUGAUGGAUAGGGCUGGGGUGCUUGAAACAAGUCAAUUUGGGCGCCGGGGCGCUGAGGGCUUUCUUCAGAUCCUGAUAGACAGUCUAAUGCUCACCUUGCAGCUCACUUGGACACAAGAAAUGUAUGUAGAGUGUUAUGUUUAAAUAUAUUCUAGCAACUACAAUAAAAACAAAAGAGAUAAAUUAAAAGAACUAAUAUUGUGAAUGAAGAAAACUAGAUAGACUAAAGAUAUGAGUUACCUCCCUUUAGCGCUUGGUUUAUUGUCGUCAGCCCGACUUUUCUGAGUUGCUCACUUGGUUGCCGGAUCGGAGAGGUACAUGGUCGUAGAUUGGCGUUCGAUGGGUCCACUCCAAUAAUGUUUGAGUCGUUGACCGUUAAACUUGAAUGUUCGUUUUGAAUUUGAUUCCUCAACUUCAAUGUUUCCGUGUGGUGUGACAGAUACAACCUUGAAAGGUCCCGACCAACGAGAUUUUAGUUUCCCAGGAAAUACGCAAUCUUGAGUUGAAAAGCAAUACUUGUUGGCCCGGUUUAAAUGUCCGAUCAAUAAUUUUCUUAUCAUGACAGGCUUUGACUUUCUCCUUGUAAAGUUUUGCGUUCUCAUAAGCAUUGAACCGGAAUUCGUCCAUCUCAUUAAGUUGCAGUAACCUUUUCCCACCUGCUUCUUGUAGAUCGAAGUUAAGUUUCUGAAUGGCCCAGUGUGCACUGUGUUCUAGUUCAACCGGGAGGUGACAUGCUUUUCCGUAGACCAUUCUGUAGGGUGACAUGCCUAUAGGAUUCUUGUAAGCUAUUCGAUAUGCCCAUAGAGCAUCGUCAAGACGCAAUGACCAAUCUUUUUGUGACAGAUUGACCACCUUUUCUAGAAUUCUCUUGACCUCCCUAUUCGAGACCUCCGCUUGACCAUUGGUUUGGGGAUGAUACGCGACUGCAAUUUUAUGACGAACCCCAUACUUUAAAAGCAAUUUCGUGAACUGCUUAUUACAGAAAUGAGUUCCCUCAUCACUUAUUAUCGCCCUCGGCGUCCUAAAUUGUGUGAAGAUGUUUUUCUUUAAGAAUCGGAGGACAACGUUGGCAUCAUUCGUGGGUAAAGCUGCGGCCUCUACCCAUUUAGAAACAUAAUCGACCGCCAACAGAAUGUAUUGAUUAUUAAAGGAAGAUGGGAAAGGUCCCAUAAAGUCGAUUCCCCACACGUCGAACAGUUCAACCUCCAAAAUUAUGUUGAGUGGCAUUUCAUUACACUUGGAGAUAUUACCCACGCGUUGGCAUCGAUCAUACUUCAGCACAAAGAGGUAAGCAUCCUUGAAUAGAGAAGGCCAGAAAAAUCUCGAUUGUAACACUUUGGCUGCUGUUCGAUCACUAGAAUAAUGACCUCCGUAAUCUGAUGAAUGGCAAUGUCCUAAUAUGUUGUCCAUCUCUUCAUAUGGCACACAACGUCUAAUCAUUUGAUCCGCGCAGGCCUUAAACAGAAAUGGUUCAUCCCAAUAAAACUGCUUAACAUCGUGGAGGAAUUUCUUUCGUUGUUGUGAGUUUAAAUCCGGUGGUAACACCUUAGCAACCACGUAAUUCACGUAAUCUUCGUACCAUGGUAAUAUUGUGGUUACUCGAAGAAGCUGUUCAUCCAAAAAUUUCUCAUUGAUCAUUAUGUUGUCUUUAUUCUGAACCUCCACGUUUUCCAACCGAGAAAGAUGAUCCGCCACCUGAUUUUUCGGUACCUUUUCUAUCCCGGAUCUCCAAAUCAAAUUCUUACAGCAACAAUACCCAUUGUAUUAACCGAGGUUUGGCAUCCUUCUUCUCAAUCAGGUAUUUAAUGGCAGAAUGAUCAGUAUAAACGAUUACCUUGGUCCCAAUGAGAUAUGCUCUGAAUUUGUCGAAGGCAAACACAACUGCAAGUAAUUCUUUUUCGGUGGUUGUGUAGUUCAAUUGAGCAUCUGUCAACGUCUUGCUGGAGUAGUAGAUUGUGUGAAAAAUCUUAUCGUGACAUUGUCCCAAUACUGCUCCAACUGCAUAGUCACUACCGUCGCACAUCAAUUCAAACGGUAAAGACCAAUCGGGUGCCAAAAACUUGUUGCAACGGCGCCGUUGCAAGUUUUUGGCGUCAAUUUAUUUUUUUAUUUCUACUUUUAUUCAUGUUUUUGGCGCCGUUGUCGUGUUUUAUUCGUUUUCAUCCCCGGUAACGACGCCAAAAACUUGUUGGUCGAUUUCGCAAUCAAUGAAUGCGUGCAAGUAUAGUAGAGUAUCGUUCUCACGAGAAAUUAUUUAAUAAAAAUUACCAAAUACUAACUCUUAACCAAAUCAAUUUUAUUUAAACAACUGUGAAUUAUGAUUUUUCUAAUUAAGAAAACUAAAUUAAUCAAUUAAAACUAGAUUACUCUAAAAUUAAUUCAAAUAAAUAAAGAUUAAGACUCAACGAUGAAUUCAGAUAAAUAAAGAUUAAGACUUCAAUAUCCCCAAUUAUGAACUAUAAAUCAAUUAUCAAAUUAUCCCAAUUAUUAUGCCUACUGAAUUGUUAACAGGAUUUCUCAAAUGCAAAAGUCCUUUUCCAAGUGAUCAAUUGACUUCUAUUUAAUCCAAAUUAAUCUUGCUAUAUUCCUAUGCAAAAUAUUGAAUUAAACUCCUUCAAUUCCAAUUCCUUAUGUGUUACAUGCGGUGAACAGAUAUUUCCAUUCAAUUCACGUACCUAAUUAUUUGCCAUGCAAAUAACUAAGUCACAUGUUAUCAUUCCCAAUUCUAACCCUAGAAUUCCUCUUUCAAUUCCUUCUAGAGUAACAAGGUAAUUACUGAUCAGAUAAUUAAUCAAUAGGCUCAAGACAAGAUAAACAAUUCAAUUUGACACAAAUAAUUGGAAUACAUUGAAUAACUAAUUUAUAGACAUAAAAGGUUCAAUUGGUAGUCUUAAUAGAAGAGUUAGUUCAUAAUUAAUGAAUUAAAACCAAGAAUCCACAACUGAAUAGAUAUUAAAAGAUAAAAGUAUGAUAAGAGAAGAGAAUAGAAUCUGUUGUCAGCAAAUUUGAUGCUCCCCUCUUGCUCUUACUCUUGAUCUUCAGUGUUCUUCAAUUUACUUCAAUCUCCAAUGGCUAAUUAAGAACUAGGGUUUAUAUUCUAAUCUAAUGGAGUGUUUUAUCUAUUCUAAUCUAUUUAUUCUCCCUUUAUUUUAUGCCUUACAUCAUGUAUUUAUAGGUUACAAGUCCAAUUUUUAGCUUAGGAACAAACCCAAUCCAAUUUGGAGUCAAAAAGGUGUCAAAAUUCGCCCCAAAACGCGUCCAAGCCUCACCAAACUCUUCCCCAGUGCCCCAGCACUGGGCACGGCACUGGAACACUGCUCCCUAGUGCCCCGGCGCUGGAAAUAGCCUUGGUUUAGGCGCCGCGGCACUAGCCCCAUUUUUGGAAAUUUUCUACUCCGACGUCCUUUGGGAAAAUGGCCAUAACUUCUUCGUCUGAACUCCGAUUUUGAUGAUUCAAGAUAUUCCGAAAAGAGAAGACGUAGAUCUACAACUUUUUUUCUUUAAGUUUUUCGAAAUAAGGUUCGGAGCAAUAAUCAAAUUGGCUCUGAAGUGACUGCUGUGUAAAUGGUAAGCUGAAAACGCGAAUCUAGUCACCCCAAACGUCGAUUCAAGUAACUUUUGUCCCAAAUCCUACAAAACAACGUAAAACACGCAUGAAUAGACACAAACACUUAAAUCAACCAAAAGAUUAAGCUCAGACGCACUCAAUUAUGAGUAUAAAACUCACUUAUCAAAUACCCCCAAACUUAAACAUUUGCUUGUCCUCAAGCAAAAAUACAAAAGAACUAAAAAUAAACAACCGAACUCAACUACAUAAAUGCAUAUGCAUGAUCUACUUCCUAAUAUACCUACGAACCCAGUAAUAAAUCAGUAUGAUAUAUAGCAAUAGGCCUCAAAGAUACCAUUGGUACUCAAACAAUAUAUCCAAUCAAGUCAAAAUCCAUAACUCUAACCAAUUAGUCAAUCCAAACCAGUCAUCACCCAUGUUGUGUGUGUGUACUUGUUAACCAGUCUAACCAACCACAGUUCAAGAUAAUCACAUAACAAACUUCUUAGAAGGAAAAUUUCAGUUCCAAUUCAAAUACUUUUGUGAACAUGACAACUCUGGUUAAAACUAAGUAAUUACCAAGUCUUAGGAUAAAUAUAGGAUUUAUUUAUACUUUUAUUCAACCACGAGGGCAUAUUUUAUUCAUUUUUGCUUGGGAGUCAUUGGUCGAAAGCUCGUUAAGGUAACAUUGAAAAGUCUAAGGGAAUAAGACAAUGCAUAGUCAUGAGAAAAAAAAAUAUAAUAAGGCGGGAAAAGUGCAAAAAGCCCCCGUAUAAAAAAAAAGCAUAAAUAUUCCAUUUUGACCCCUGGACCUUGGUGAUUGUUUGAUUUCAGUUGAAUUAAGUUUAUUUGAUGAGUUCUCGAGUUUACACUGUAUGAUGCCUAUUAAGAAAUUUAUUAUCUUUCAUAUUUUGCUUUUCAUUGGUUAGCAUGGUUAUUGAACACGCACACACGAUAUCAGUAAUAACAGAUUUAGAUUCAUUGAUUGUUGGGAUAUUAUUGAUCUGCUUUAACAUGAUGUAUUAGAAUGUUUUUGUGAUUUUUCUGAGGCCUAUGGAUAUACGGUGUGCUAUUUAAUAUUAAUAAUAAUAAUAAUAUACGGUGUGAUAUACGGUGUGCUAAUUGAAAAAAAAAGUAAUAAUAAUAAAAAAAAAACCCGCGGCAUGCUUGUCUAGUUUUGUGGCCUUUGUUACUUGAGUAAGUAAGCCCGAGGGGAUUGUCUCUACACCUAGCGCCCUAAGGUCUUAAUGGCUUGGGAGUCGUUGGUUGAAAGCUCGUUAAGGUAACACUGAAAAGCCUAAGGGAAUAAGACAAUGCAUAGUCAUGAGAAAAAAAAAAGAAAAAAAUAAUAAUAAAGCGGGAAAAGUGCGAAAAGCCCCAGUUAAUAAUAAAAAAAGAGAAGCAUAAGUAUUCCAUUUUGACCGUUGAACUUUGGUAGUUGUUUGAUUUCAGCCGAAUCAAGUUUAUUUGAUGAGUUCUCGAGUUUAAACUGUAUGAUGCCUACUAAGAAAUUUAUUAUCUUUCAUAUUUUGNNNNNNNNNNNNNNNNNNNNNNNNNNNNNNNNNNNNNNNNNNNNNNNNNNNNNNNNNNNNNNNNNNNNNNNNNNNNNNNNNNNNNNNNNNNNNNNNNNNNCCCAUUAAUUGGAUAUACUUGGGCAUAAAUUGUUGUGUUUUCAUGUCUUGUAGAAGCAUUUUUACUGUGUAUAGUGUUUAUUUUGCAGAUUCGGGAGCUGAAGGGACAAAUCGGGGAAUUUUGAGCUAAUAAUGGCAGUUUGAUAAAUACUUUGAACAUACAGCGCCGGGGCGCUCUAGCACGCUCAUUUUCCAACGCCGGGGCGCGCGUUGACUAGUCGGUUGACUUGCAUUAAAGUGAUGGUUAUUUGACAAUUUGAGUUGGGAAGGGAUUGUGGUUGGACAAGGAGUAUAAAAGGGUUAUUUCCAUUGAAGUAGGGAUCUAAUCUACACAAUUGGAGGCUGAUCAAGGAGUCAAGAGGAGAAUUUGAAGAUUUUCACUUGGAGUUUUUCUUCUUCUUCAUUCUUUUCAAUUUAUGUAAUUCUUUAAGGAUGAUUUGCAAAAGAUUGUUGGUUUUAAUUUCUGUCAUGAACUAAUUUCUUUAAUUAAGAUUUCAAUUGAACCUUUUAUGGCUAUGAAUUAAUUAUUUGAUUUAUUCUAAUUAUUUGUGUUGAAGUGAAUUGUUUAUCUUGCCUUGUGCUGAUUGAUUAAUUAUUUGGCCAGUAAUUACCAUGUUACUCUAGAAGGAAUUGAAAGAGGAAUUCUAGGGUUAGAACUGGGCNNNNNNNNNNNNNNNNNNNNNNNNNNNNNNNNNNNNNNNNNNNNNNNNNNNNNNNNNNNNNNNNNNNNNNNNNNNNNNNNNNNNNNNNNNNNNNNNNNNNNNNNNNNNNNNNNNNNNNNNNNNNNNNNNNNNNNNNNNNNNNNNNNNNNNNNNNNNNNNNNNNNNNNNNNNNNNNNNNNNNNNNNNNNNNNNNNNNNNNNNNNNNNNNNNNNNNNNNNNNNNNNNNNNNNNNNNNNNNNNNNNNNNNNNNNNNNNNNNNNNNNNNNNNNNNNNNNNNNNNNNNNNNNNNNNNNNNNNNNNNNNNNNNNNNNNNNNNNNNNNNNNNNNNNNNNNNNNNNNNNNNNNNNNNNNNNNNNNNNNNNNNNNNNNNNNNNNNNNNNNNNNNNNNNNNNNNNNNNNNNNNNNNNNNNNNNNNNNNNNNNNNNNNNNNNNNNNNNNNNNNNNNNNNNNNNNNNNNNNNNNNNNNNNNNNNNNNNNNNNNNNNNNNNNNNNNNNNNNNNNNNNNNNNNNNNNNNNNNNNNNNNNNNNNNNNNNNNNNNNNNNNNNNNNNNNNNNNNNNNNNNNNNNNNNNNNNNNNNNNNNNNNNNNNNNNNNNNNNNNNNNNNNNNNNNNNNNNNNNNNNNNNNNNNNNNNNNNNNNNNNNNNNNNNNNNNNNNNNNNNNNNNNNNNNNNNNNNNNNNNNNNNNNNNNNNNNNNNNNNNNNNNNNNNNNNNNNNNNNNNNNNNNNNNNNNNNNNNNNNNNNNNNNNNNNNNNNNNNNNNNNNNNNNNNNNNNNNNNNNNNNNNNNNNNNNNNNNNNNNNGAGUACGUUCAACCGAGGGACCACAACCAGGGUCAUACCGGUGACAGCAGUCAUCGGAACAACGAUAACCAGCGGGGAAAGAAAAAUACGGACAAAAGCGGCAACCACUCUGGUGGUAAUUAUGGCCAUGAAAAUAGAAGAAGCGAGUCGGGGGGAGAUUUUCAAAAGAGGAGAUUCAACAAUGAUAAUGUGAAGACGUCAGCACCAGCAUCAACUGGUUCUAAGGGAGGAGAUCGACCACCGGUCGUAUGCUAUAAAUGCGGAAAAGAGGGACAUAUCAGCCCAAAUUGUCCACAACAGUUCAAGGUAUGCUAUAAUUGUGGAAAGGAAGGACAUAUCACUCGAGAUUGUACGGUAGCGAAACUAAGUCCAGUGGGGAUGGUGACUCAAAAAGUUGUCCCAGAAAAGUCAAAGUCAACGGUUCCUGGAAGAGCGUUUGUUGUGACUGGUCAAAAUGCGAGGAACCCAAACGAGGUGAUCACGGGUAAGCUAAUCAUAAAUUCUUGCGAAGUUUAUACAUUACUAGAUACCGGUGCUACCCAUUCAUUUAUCUCUCCUGCUUGUGCUCAACGUUUAAACUUGACUCCGGAGAAAUUAGACUUUGACUUAUCUGUGGAGACUCCGGUAGGAGAAACUUUCAUUACAUCCACUGUUUAUAAAUCUUGUUUGAUCCAAGUUGGCACCAUCACAUUACUUGUUGACCUUAUCUCUUUAAAGAUACUUGCUUUUGAUAUGAUUUAAGGGAUUGAUUGGUUAACUACUCAUCAUGCCAAAAUUGAUUAUUUUUGUAAGGUAGUUAGUUUUCAUAUUUCAAACCAACCUGUUGUACGAAUUCAAGCAACUAAACCACUAAAAUCAAUCAAUGUCAUAUCAAGUCAUAAAGCUAUUCAUUUAUUGAAAAAUGGAUGUCAAGCUUCUUAGCCCAUGUUAUGGAUUUGAAUAAAGAUACGUCAGAUUUGAAUAAUAUUCCUGUUGUUAGUAAAUUUCCUGACGUAUUUCUUGAAGAACUUCUCGGUCUACCCCCAGAACGUGAAGUUGAAUUUUUUAUUGAUCUUGAACCUGGUACAAAGCCCAUUUCUAAAACCCCAUAUCGAAUGGCUCCUAUUGAACUUCAGGAGUUAAAGGUCCAACUACAGGAGUUAUUAGACAUCGGUUUCAUUCAUCCUAGUACAUCUCCUUGGGGUGCUCCUGUUUUAUUCGUAAAGAAGAAAGAUAGGAGUAUGCGACUUUGUAUUGACUACCGGGAAUUAAACCAUGUCACUAUCAAGAAUAGGUAUCCACUACCUCGUAUUGAUGACCUGUUUGACCAGUUACAAGGAGCACAAUUCUUUUCAAAGAUCGAUCUUCAUUAUGGAUAUCAUCAGCUGAAGAUUAGAACUGAGGAUAUUCCAAAGACUGCCUUCACAACUCGGUAUGGGCAUUAUGAAUUCUUAGUCAUAUCUUUUGGAUUGACUAAUGCUCCUGCAGCUUUCAUGGAUAUGAUGAACCGAGUAUUCAAGGAAUAUUUGGAUCAGUUCGUUGUUGUCUUUAUUGAUGACAUCCUCAUAUAUUCCAAAAGUCGUGAAUAUCAUGACCACCAUUUGAAGAAGUAGCAUUCUUUGGGCACGUGGUGACAAAACAUGGAGCAUCUGUUGACCCGGUGAAGAUUGAAGCAAUACAAAGUUGGGAGCAACCAAAGACGUUGAUCGAAGUUCGUAGCUUUCUGGGCUUAGCUGGUUAUUAUCGAAGAUUCGUGGAAGGGUUUUCUCGAAUCGCUACUCCAUUAACUCAACUGACUCGGAAAGAUAUAAAAUUCGUAUGGAGCGAGGAAUGCGAGAAGAGUUUCCAAGAGCUUAAGAGGAGACUCAUUUCGGCACCUAUUCUGACAAUACCAUCUAGUUCGAAUGGAUUUGUUAUCUACAGCGAUGCUUCGGGCAAAGGGUUAGGAUGUGUUCUCAUGUAACAUGGGAAAGUCAUAGCCUAUGCCUUGCGACAACUUAAAGAAUAUGAGAGAAAUUAUCCUACUCAUGAUCUAGAGUUGGCAGCAGUCGUUUUCGCGCUAAAGAUCUGGAGGCACUAUCUAUAUGGGGAGAAAGUGGAGAUAUAUUCAGACCAUAAAAGCCUCAAAUAUUUCUUCACCCAAAAGGAACUCAACAUGCGGCAACGACGUUGGCUCGAGCUGUUGAAAGAUUAUGACCAUACCAUUCAAUACCAUCCUGAAAAAGCGAACGUGGUAGCUGAUGCGUUGAGUAGAAGAUCAUAUGUGGGAACGAGUGUGAUGUUGUCAACACAAAGGCCCAUUUUGUGUGAUUUACAAAAGAUGAAGAUAGAAUUCAAGACUCCGGGGACCCAUGCGAUGAUGUCAAGUAUACGCAUAGAACCGACUUUAAUCGAAAAAGUUAAAGUUGCUCAAGCCACAGACCCGGAGCUGAUGCGUAUCAAGAAGAAAGUACAAGAAGGUGCUAUUCCAGAAGCAAGAAUCGAUGAAGAAGGAAUACUUCGAGUCCACUCCAGACUUUGUGUUCCUAACGACUCUGAUUUAAAAUACAAGAUCAUGAUGGAGGCACACAAUACACCAUUUGCAAUCCAUCAUAAAAGUACCAAAAUGUAUCGUGAUCUUCGACAUACAUUUUGGUGGAACAAUAUAAAGAGAGAGAUUGCAAAGUUUAUCUCGAGGUGUUUAACUUGUCAACGUGUAAAGGCGGAGCAUCAAGUGCCUAAGGGUCCAUUACAACCACUUGAGAUUCCGAAAUGGAAGUGGGAACACAUUACCAUGGAUUUCAUUAUGGGUCUUCCCACUGUUUCUCAAGGCAUAAAUGCUAUUUGGGUUAUUAUUGAUAGAUUAACCAAGUUCACUCAUUUAUUGUCGAUACGGGAGACUUAUUCCCUUGAACGUCUUGCACGUAUGUAUGUAAAUGAGAUUGUGAGAUUGCAUGGCAUGCCAGUAUCCAUAGUUUCGGAUCGUGAACCAAGAUUCACUGCACGAUUUUGGGUUAGCUUGCAAAAAGCUAUGGGCACAGAUUUACAAUUCAGUUCGGCAUACCAUCCUCAAACGGACGGACAAUCAGAGAGGACUAUCCAAACUCUUGAAGAUCUAUUAAGACUCUGUGUCCUAGACUUCAAAGGGAGUUGGGAUAAGUAUUUACCAUUGGUGGAAUUCUCCUACAACAACAGUUAUCAGGCAAGUAUAGGUGUAGCUCCAUUCGAAGCAUUAUAUGGACAAAAGUGUCGCUCUCCAGUAUGUUGGGAUGAGGUAGGUGAAGCAACAUUGUUGGGACCAGAGUUGGUACGUAUUACUACAGAAAAGAUCCAAAUGAUUCGAAAAUGUAUACAAACGGCACAGGAUCGACAAAAGAGUUAUGCGGAUCUUCAUCGAAAGGACGUGGAAUUUAGUAUUGGGGAUCAUGUAUUGUUGCGAGUUGCUCCAUAGAAAGGAGUUACAAGAUUUGGGAAGAGAGGAAAGCUCAAUCCAAGAUUUAUUUGUCAAUUUCAAAUUCUUGACUGAGUAGGAAAUGUGGCCUAUAGAGUCGCGUUACCUCCAAGUAUGUCUCGUGUUCAUAAUGUUUUUCACAUAUCUGUAAGACCCCAACUUAUUAUAAAUAAAAUUGAAUUUUCCUUUAUUCAUUAUUCUAAAUUAAUAAGGGUUAAUUUGAUAUAAUUAUUUGGUUAUGGGUGAAAUGUGCAAAGUUUACAAAAUAAGCAAGUGGUUAUAAAAUAUUUAUUAUUGUCGGGGAAUAUUCGUUUGGUCGUGGAAUAUUCUUUUUGUCGGGAAUCUCCGUACGACGGCGCAGUCAUUGGUGGGCCCCAUAACNNNNNNNNNNNNNNNNNNNNNNNNNNNNNNNNNNNNNNNNNNNNNNNNNNNNNNNNNNNNNNNNNNNNNNNNNNNNNNNNNNNNNNNNNNNNNNNNNNNNNNNNNNNNNNNNNNNNNNNNNNNNNNNNNNNNNNNNNNNNNNNNNNNNNNNNNNNNNNNNNNNNNNNNNNNNNNNNNNNNNNNNNNNNNNNNNNNNNNNNNNNNNNNNNNNNNNNNNNNNNNNNNNNNNNNNNNNNNNNNNNNNNNNNNNNNNNNNNNNNNNNNNNNNNNNNNNNNNNNNNNNNNNNNNNNNNNNNNNNNNNNNNNNNNNNNNNNNNNNNNNNNNNNNNNNNNNNNNNNNNNNNNNNNNNNNNNNNNNNNNNNNNNNNNNNNNNNNNNNNNNNNNNNNNNNNNNNNNNNNNNNNNNNNNNNNNNNNNNNNNNNNNNNNNNNNNNNNNNNNNNNNNNNNNNNNNNNNNNNNNNNNNNNNNNNNNNNNNNNNNNNNNNNNNNNNNNNNNNNNNNNNNNNNNNNNNNNNNNNNNNNNNNNNNNNNNNNNNNNNNNNNNNNNNNNNNNNNNNNNNNNNNNNNNNNNNNNNNNNNNNNNNNNNNNNNNNNNNNNNNNNNNNNNNNNNNNNNNNNNNNNNNNNNNNNNNNNNNNNNNNNNNNNNNNNNNNNNNNNNNNNNNNNNNNNNNNNNNNNNNNNNNNNNNNNNNNNNNNNNNNNNNNNNNNNNNNNNNNNNNNNNNNNNNNNNNNNNNNNNNNNNNNNNNNNNNNNNNNNNNNNNNNNNNNNNNNNNNNNNNNNNNNNNNNNNNNNNNNNNNNNNNNNNNNNNNNNNNNNNNNNNNNNNNNNNNNNNNNNNNNNNNNNNNNNNNNNNNNNNNNNNNNNNNNNNNNNNNNNNNNNNNNNNNNNNNNNNNNNNNNNNNNNNNNNNNNNNNNNNNNNNNNNNNNNNNNNNNNNNNNNNNNNNNNNNNNNNNNNNNNNNNNNNNNNNNNNNNNNNNNNNNNNNNNNNNNNNNNNNNNNNNNNNNNNNNNNNNNNNNNNNNNNNNNNNNNNNNNNNNNNNNNNNNNNNNNNNNNNNNNNNNNNNNNNNNNNNNNNNNNNNNNNNNNNNNNNNNNNNNNNNNNNNNNNNNNNNNNNNNNNNNNNNNNNNNNNNNNNNNNNNNNNNNNNNNNNNNNNNNNNNNNNNNNNNNNNNNNNNNNNNNNNNNNNNNNNNNNNNNNNNNNNNNNNNNNNNNNNNNNNNNNNNNNNNNNNNNNNNNNNNNNNNNNNNNNNNNNNNNNNNNNNNNNNNNNNNNNNNNNNNNNNNNNNNNNNNNNNNNNNNNNNNNNNNNNNNNNNNNNNNNNNNNNNNNNNNNNNNNNNNNNNNNNNNNNNNNNNNNNNNNNNNNNNNNNNNNNNNNNNNNNNNNNNNNNNNNNNNNNNNNNNNNNNNNNNNNNNNNNNNNNNNNNNNNNNNNNNNNNNNNNNNNNNNNNNNNNNNNNNNNNNNNNNNNNNNNNNNNNNNNNNNNNNNNNNNNNNNNNNNNNNNNNNNNNNNNNNNNNNNNNNNNNNNNNNNNNNNNNNNNNNNNNNNNNNNNNNNNNNNNNNNNNNNNNNNNNNNNNNNNNNNNNNNNNNNNNNNNNNNNNNNNNNNNNNNNNNNNNNNNNNNNNNNNNNNNNNNNNNNNNNNNNNNNNNNNNNNNNNNNNNNNNNNNNNNNNNNNNNNNNNNNNNNNNNNNNNNNNNNNNNNNNNNNNNNNNNNNNNNNNNNNNNNNNNNNNNNNNNNNNNNNNNNNNNNNNNNNNNNNNNNNNNNNNNGAUAAAUGGAUUUAAUUAAAUAUAUGAUGUCCAAAAAUAUGAAAAAUACGAUUUAUGACUUGAGACCCUUGAGCAUGGCUUAUGCAGAUUUUUGAUGAAGUUUUGGGUCGGGUGUGAAGUGUUGUAAUGUUUAUAACAUUUUAGAAUGUUUAAUGAGUUAAUUAAGGAAAGGAAAACAAUUGAACUAAAUUGUUUAUUAAUGUGAUUAAUGACUUAAAUUAUUGUUAUAUGGCUAAUAAUAUUGGAUUAAGAUAUUAUUAGUAGUAUUUGACUGGAAUGUUAUUAAAAGGUUAAUAACCUUAGCGUAAAAUAUUAUUUCAUAAUUAAUAAUAUUCGACGGGAGAUUAAAAUAAGAGAUUUAUGUUAUUUUUUUAUAUAAUUGUUGAAUUUGGUAUUCAAUGAACUAUAUUAUGCUUGUAAUAGACUAAAAUGAGAAUUCAGGGUGCUGAAUUGGAUUUUUGAUUUGCUGAAAUGGUUUCAGUCUGCUGAAAUAUUUGGUGGUCUGCUGAAAUAGUAAUUUCAGGAUGCUAAAAUGUAAUCCGGUAUACUGAAAUGAUAUUUCAGUUUACUGAAAGGUUAUNNNNNNNNNNNNNNNNNNNNNNNNNNNNNNNNNNNNNNNNNNNNNNNNNNNNNNNNNNNNNNNNNNNNNNNNNNNNNNNNNNNNNNNNNNNNNNNNNNNNUCUAAUAUUUGACUAUGUGAUUAAGUAUUAGAUAGUAUUGUGAAAUAAGGUAUGAUAUGUUAAUUGAAAGAUCAAUCUUAUACCUGAUAGGUCCUUUCAAUAAAGAGAAUAAAUUAAAUUGCGUAGCGGUAAUCGACUAUGCAGGCAAGUUUCCUUAACUCAAACUCGAGUUAUAUUUCAAAAUAUAUGAAAGGCUAAUCACCUUCAUUACCAUAAGGUUCAGUUAAAUUGUUCAUGGUCAUUGUUGACCUUCAAACAUUAUUGAUUCAGUCAUUCAAUUAUUGACAUCUUAAUUAAUGUUCCUUCAUAAUUAUCCUGUCUGUGCGUUUACGCCUGACCUGGUUCCAUUAUUUAUUAUUCUGUUAGAAUAACAUGUCUAUGUGGAUUACUACAUGCAUGUUGAAUGAUCCUUCGUAUUCAUUCCUUAUUAAAUUGUGGAAAUGAUCUGUCUACGUGGAUUACCGCAUGGUAGGCAAAAAUCCAUUUGCAGUUUCAUAUAUUCUAUUAUACUCAGUUGGUUAAAGUUUUGACUUCUAUACUCCAUGAAAUUAGUGGAAUAUCCUUGACAUUUGCGCUUCAUCCAGUAUCUUUUCAUGGAAAUAUUCUUCUGAGCAUUCUUGAAUUUUACUCUACAAAGAAGUAUCAUGUUGACAAUUUGGACGUUAUUAGUUCCUGGAUAAAUUAAUUCGUGAACUUGUUUUAUUGAAUUCUUAUAUCAUUGUCAUCAUCCUCAUGUUUAUAUUUUUUUNNNNNNNNNNNNNNNNNNNNNNNNNNNNNNNNNNNNNNNNNNNNNNNNNNNNNNNNNNNNNNNNNNNNNNNNNNNNNNNNNNNNNNNNNNNNNNNNNNNNNNNNNNNNNNNNNNNNNNNNNNNNNNNNNNNNNNNNNNNNNNNNNNNNNNNNNNNNNNNNNNNNNNNNNNNNNNNNNNNNNNNNNNNNNNNNNNNNNNNNNNNNNNNNNNNNNNNNNNNNNNNNNNNNNNNNNNNNNNNNNNNNNNNNNNNNNNNNNNNNNNNNNNNNNNNNNNUUAUUCUGCAUUAUCUUAGUCAUAAUAUUUCUUACUGGGCUAGUUGAGCUCACUCUUUCUUUCAUUGUUCUCUUCAGGAAAUGAGAACGUAGCUGGGACUAGUCGGGGAACAGAGUGAUGGUCCUAGAUGGUGCAUUAGUAGUCCUCACUAUUCUGUGAAAUAGUGUAAUAAUAAAUGUAAUGAGGACUCCAUUGAGUGUGGAUAUUGUCUAGAUGAUAAUAGUUGUAUUAAAACUCACAGCUCAUGUUAUAUAUUUAAGUUUGUAUUUGAAUUCUGUACCAUGUAUUUGGUGACUCGAGAUGGGUGAUGUAUACCUAUUUUGGGGGCGCACAGUUGGGACUGAGACUGGAUAUCUCGGGGUUAUCUCCGAGAUUAAUCGGUCUUCUCUGGUGGAAUUUUCGGUAUUGUAACUGCAUGCCUCGGGGUUAUCUCCAAGGUUGGAACUGUUACUCCCGGAGUGUGCUCCGGGGUUGAGACUGAACUUCCGGUAGUAUCCGGACUGGAUGUGAGCUGUCUUCCAGGGUUAUCUCUGAAAGAUGAAUCUGCACUCUUGCAAAGUCAGUGACAUGUGUGAAGAAAAUUUCGAGUGUCUACACUCAUCACAGAACAUAAUAAAAUCAGAAUUGUCAAAUUCUCUACCGUGAUCAGAUCGACUAUAAAUAAUAGAGCUUCUCUGUUAAUUCUGAAUUUUCUUACACAAAGCAGAGAAAGAAUUUAUAGCUUCAUUUUUAAAUUUCAGAAAAUCAACCCAUUUAAAUCUUAAAUCAUCAACCAAAACUAGAAUGUAUACAACACCACCCAUGUUAUGUUUAGGAAUAGGUCCUAUUGAGUCCAUAUGUAACAAUUCUCGAGGUCGAGAGGUUAAAACUGUGAGUUUAGGUUUAUGAGAUGCAUGAAUUUAUUUUCCUAAUUCACAUGCUUCACAAAUAUGGUCUUUUAGGAAUUUCAGUUUUGGAAGACCGCGUACAUGUUCUUUAGAUGAAAUAUUAUUAAUUAAUUUCAUGUUGAUAUGUUCUAGUUUGCAAUGCCAAAGCCAUGGAUCAUCAUUUGCAAACACGAGACACACAUUAUCUAGGUGAGAAUAUGCAUCUAGGUCACACGUGUAUACAUUUUAAUUUUUAGGACAUAAUAGAACUAAUUUUCCAGAUUGAUCAAAUAUUGAGCAAUUAUGAGAACUAAAAGAUAUUUUAAAUCCACUCUUACAUAGUUUACUAAUAGAUAAAAGAUUAUACCUGAGUCAUGUGACUAAUUGAACGUUAGAGAUUGUUAUAUGCUUAUUUCCAACACUUCCAAUUCUAACUACUUUACCUUUAUUGUUAUCUCCAAAAGUUAUUUCACCAUAGUCUGUAGUUUGUAGAUUUUUUAGCUUUGAUUUAUCAACAGACAUAUGUCUUGAACAACCGCUAUCGAGAUACCAUUUACUUUUAUUUGAAUCAGUUGUAAGACAUACUUGUAAUAAUAAUUUUAAAAAUUGGUACCCUUUAAUAAGAAGGGUCCUUUGGGUAAGUUUUUCAUUUUGUAUAAGGAACAUUUGUAUUUUCCUUUACAAAACUGGGUUCAGGAUAAACAGUCUUAGUAGAGACAAGCAUUCUAUGAGUUACAGGAGUAUAAGAUGUAUGAUAAUAAUUUCUAUGAAAUUCUCUUCUUUUAAUAGUUGAUGCAGUGUAUGUUCCUUUGGAAACCCAAAUCAUUUUCCUUAAUAAUUUUCAUUUCAAGCAUUGCACAUAUAAAAUGAAUGGUCAUUUCUGUUACAGUAAGAACAUUUAGUAAAAUGAGAAGUAUGACUUUCUUUUUCUUUACUUUUAACAUGAUAAAGUCAUUUAUCUUUUGUUUUACUUGAUUCUCCAAUAUAUCAUAAUCCUUCUUUAUUAAAUCAACAUCUUUGUUGACUUAACAUGACAUAAAGAUUUUUUUUUCUUUUUGUAAAUUUAAGGACUAUAGUAUUUAAAUCAUCACGUUCUUUGGUUAAGUCAUUAAUUUGAUAUAUUAAAGGAUUAUGUUUUUCUAACUCUUCUUUUAGACAUGAAUUUUCAAGUUUAAGAUUUUUAAUAUCUUCAUUUAACACUUGAUCUUGUAUUGGAGUAUCUUCAUUAAUUACUAGAAGAGUUAAAAUUUUAAUUUCAAGAUUUUCAAUAGAAAUGAUAAGUGUUGAAUUUUCAAUUUCAAGAUUCUUGUUUCUUAAUUUUUCUAAUUCUUCUUUUAAUAAUAAAGAAUAUAAUAGGCAGCAAAGCCAAGCCAAUUAUAAGAAUAACAUUAUACUAUUCGUGGCAUAGCCAAACCGGUAGUAUGAUAAUAAAUUAUAAGAAUUUAAAGGCAAUUAUAAGAAUAAAAUUAUAUUAUUGGUGGCAUAGCCAAACCGGUAAUAUAAUAAUAAAUUGCAAGAAUUUAAUUUUACCGUCUUAGUUGGUUAGAGCUUCGUGCUGAUAACGUAUUAUAAAACUUUAGCAAAGUGUAGAAAGAUACUCUUAUAAUUGCAUAAAUUUAGAGAGAAUAAUUAAGAGAUAAAGAGAGAAAUCAUUCAUAGAAGUUCCCUUCUUUCCUUCAGUUUCAUUUCCUUAUAUAGGCAAGGAGAAGAGGAGAGAAAAAAGGAAAGGGGAGAGUCACGGGGGAAGAAGGGAAGGGGGAGAUCACGGGUGAAACCCUCAUGAGGAGGGAAUCACUUUAUAACAAGCUUUGAAUAAUGGAGUAAUAUGUAAGCAGAUAUAUAUCUCUCGCAUAAAAAAUAAAACAACACUUAAUAAGGGGGUGUUUGAUAAAAAUUAAAUGAAUCUGAAUCCGAAUGAGCUGAAUCUGAAUCUGAAUGAGCUGAAUCUGAAUCUGAAUGAAAAAAGAUGUUUGAUAAUUGACAUGUCUGAAACAUCUGAAUGACAAAACUUUAUUAUUUUACCCUUCUGAAAAAAUUCAAAAUUGUUGUAAAUUUAUUUAAUAUUACUUAAUAUAAUAGUUAAUAUUUUUUUAUAUUUUUUUUAAUUUUUUAAUUUUUUUUUUACUUCAUUCAGCUGCUCAUUCAGCCAUUCAGCUUAAAAAAUCUGAUUUAGCCAUUCAGCUCGUUCAUCUUACCGAUUCAGCCAUUCAAACCAAAACAAACGCACUGACCGAUUCAGCCAUUCAGAUUCAGCUUCAUUCAGUUUUAAACAAACAGUCCCUAAGAGUAGUUAAAUGCAGCCUAGUCCCCAAAAAAUGAUGGGCUACACCUUAGUCCUCAACGCCUUAUAGUUCAGCUAUGCCACGAAUUGCACUAUUGUGAUACCAUCCUAAAUUCGGACUACUGAUAUCUUAGACUACCGAUCUACGUGACUAGACCACAUUUAAGUUCAUCAUUGACACUAUAAUCUUUUGUUAUUAUAUGCUGUCAGGUGUCAAGUGAAACCAUUCGAAUUAAUUGAACAAUUUGGCUUUAUGAGCUGAACUUUAGGUGUGUAAUUGUUGUAAAUCUCUUUCAAGACUAAAUGCAUUUUUGGAAGAGAAAAAAACGGCGUACUCGACUUGUUUGGGAUGGAGGGCAACACAAUACUCCAUUAGCGAAGACAUAUCGAAGUUAAAUUUUUAUUUCAAAAUUCAACUGUUAUUGACAAGAAUGAGAACUAAGCAACCACUCCCUCAAUAUACAAUUUGUAAAGUGACAAUCUCGAAAAGCAGUCCUACAAAAUACAUGCAAACAUGAAAUAGGACAUCUCAAAAAUUUAAUAAUUUAGCAAAAAUAGAACGAAUAAAGCAUCUUCCUAUGUUCCGGGUAGAAACUAACUUGACCUUGGUGCAGCCCAUUCAACAUUGAGGAUGAGGUUGUCGUAACCAUACCCGUUGAGUUUGUUGAUGGCUCUUUCAGCAUCUUCCCUGUGCACAAAGUUGACGAAACCAAAACCUCUGCUCAUACCUGUCUUCUGGUCAAUAGCAACAUAAGUCCUCGUGACAGGGCCAAAAGUACAAAAUAGCUCGAGUAAGUCGGGCUCCCGGGUGUCCUCUGAGAGAUUUGUGACCCUGACCGAGUUCUCAUCAUUCCUGCGUCUCAUAUCAGCACCACUGCUCCUCUCUGCCCCUGCUCGCAUAUGCUGGGAGGAACAUAUGCUCCCUUGAUAGCAACUGCAUUAGUUGUGGCUUCUGAUGUAGGUGGCAGAUCAGUGAAGCUCUCACUCUGCGGAACGAGAUCCUAGUAAGGACACCUUGAAGUCCAGUGGUCUCCCUUCUUACCACAUGCCCUGCAAACCAUGAGAACAGCACCUGCUUUCCCAAUUUGAGAUAAGGGGUCUCCAGAAGACUUUGUAUCUUCAGCUUUGGUACCUAUCAGAAAUUACACCAUUAGAAGAGGAUAAUAAAGAAUGCUGUGAUGAUAAAUAUCACCGAGACCUCUUACCAGCCAACCUAGCUCUUUGAUAAAAUCCUAAUUCAAGUAUUCAAGAACCUUGCCAUAAUGACUCGGGAAUAUUCCAUAUCCACUUUUUCGUAUCCAUGUUUUGCCGCCAUAGAUUAGUCCAUACACUAUUAUUGAAUGUGAUUAUGAUUCCACAGACAUGAUAUACGUCACAGCAAUACAACAAACACGAGAGCAAUAACCAGAAAUGUAACUAGAUAGUCCCUCCAUCAAAUUUAUGUGGUCACUUGAUCACGUUGCAUGGGUGGGCACAUAGUUUAAAGAGGAAAAAAAAAAUUAAACACUGCAUUCAAUGAUUGUCUAUUUUUUAGCAUAUGGUGGGCUACACAAGCUUGUUUAUCAUUUUAUAUGUGGAUAAUACAGAUUCUUCCUGCCAAAAAGUGUAUUGAUGUUGAUUGGUGUACACGUAGAUGUAGUGAAACAUCCACAUAAACUUGGACGGAUGGAGUAUGUAUUUAUUUGGUAUGUUCCCAAUAUAGAUUGAAUUUAUAAUUUUGUAUACCUUUCGGAUUUCUCAACAAAGAAAUGUAGGCAUUAAUACUUGGACCCAAAAACAAAAUCAAGUACCAGAAAAAGCAAACCUUAUGAGGAAGGCAAAAAAUCACAUAUUAGAAAAAGUUUGGAUGAUAAGAGACUUUCAGAAAGUCCCUGCAGGAGUACUCAAAUAUAACAAUUGCACCAACACUUGUAUUAUAGCAAGAAAAUUGUUCUUUAUUCUUUUCUUCUUAAACUCCCAGAACAAUGGAUAAGGUAUCUUUCUUUUCUCUCCAUAAUCUUAAUCAUACUCAAUUCAAUUAAAUUGUUUGAUCUAUUCUAAUUUCUUCGCUUCUCUAACAGUAUUUCUCCUCUUCUUUUUUGUCCUAUCCUACAAAAAUCAUGUUUAAACAUCUAAACAAGCUAUAGAAAUGCACUUUCUCACUUUUUUUCUGCUAUUUCUCUCCAAUUUUAUCAUCUGAAUGAAGCAGGAGAUGCAUGGUUCAAAUUCCAUAAUAAAAUUAAAGUGCAUCUUCCUCAAAUUAAAGUUUUAUUUGGUAGAUCACUGUAAUUUUUAGUUUGCUAGGUAUCUCAAUAGUCACGAAUAUUUUGAAUUUGUACCAAAUAACAAUAAAUAGAACCCUUGUUGAGCUGCGGGGAUUGUUCAAAUAACAUUAUGCUGCUGGUCCAUCCACUAGUCAAAUCUACAAAUUUAGAAAAUUUGUUGAACAAGGUAAAUGAACAAAUCUUGUGAGCAUAGUUACGCAAUCAACCAAUUCCAUUGAUAGAAAACAUCCUAGCAAGGUUUUAAAACCGGGACCGGACUGCCGGUCGGUAAAAACCGGAACCGGUCCACCCAACGGUCCGGUUUGGACCAUUGAACCAGUUUUGAUCAAAAAUCGCUAAGAACCGGUGAAUCGGCGGUCUAACCGGUUGACCCAGUGAACCGGUUCACGGGUUUGACCGGUUUGCUCUUUUGGCAACCAUUUCGAGGGCACAGACGGUGGGGAAGGCAGCUAGGCGGUUGGUGCCGAAAACCUCACAAGCAGCAACGCACAGAACGGGGGGAGCUCGUUUAGCACCUUUAGCUAGAACAGAGUAGCGCAUGGCCUCAUAGAUCUGCUGAGGGUACUCGAAUUCAAUUGCUUCGUCUAGCUUCUGCUUAAUUUCUCCAAUCAGGGUUGUCCAAUGCGUUUUCAGAUCGAAUUGGGUGGUCGAAACUACCGAUGAUGAUAAAGAAGAAGAAUAAGAUCGAAUGAUGGUUCCUAAUUGGUUUAGAAAUUGUUGGGCGAUUGUUUAGAAGGCAGUAGAGAUUUGGUAUCGGAGAGGAAGACAUAAAUGUGGAAAACAUCAUAUUUGCCUCUGCACUCGAUAUAAACUAGUAUAAUUUUAUCUCUAUAUCUUCUCCUACUUAUAUACCAAUAGGGACUAGAGAGAGAAAAUGGUGGGAGGUUUUCUUCCUGUUAGUGGGGUUUGGGAAGCCACAAGUGUAAAAGCAUUUAUUAAGGAUUAUGUGUUGUGGGUGGAAAAAGUAUAGUGUUCACAUGGAAUAGGUCAUGUUUUUUUAAAGUAUAUUUGGGAUUGAAUUAUUUAUCUUAAUUUAAUAUUAUUUUGAAUAAAUUUAUAACAUGAUAAAAAAUUAAUAAUUCUUUAAAUAGUCUUAUGAAUUAUUUUUUGUCAUUCUUAAAGUUAUUUAUGAGUAAUUACAUAAUCUCAUUAUAAGUGUGGGAUUAAUAGUCCCCCUCAUUUUACGUUAUCAAAUGGGUUUAUGAGACUAACAAUAUCUCGUCAAAGAAUUAAAUAGUCUGAAAUAAUAUUAAAUUAACAGUCCUCCUCAUUUUAAGUUAUCAAUUGGGUUUAUGAGACUAAUAGUCCCUCGCCAAAGAAUUAAAUAGUCCGAAAUAAUAUUAAAGAAAUUUAGUUGCGUAAUCUAUACAUGCAUAUGAAAUUUUCGAAUUUGAAUGUAUUAUACAGAUGUUUAUGUUCAUUUGUGUUAGAUUUUAUCACUAUUGAAUUUUGAUUUUGAGUUAUGACUCAUGACCAAGAUUUAAUAUCUUUCUUUUCAUAUAAAUUUAGUAUUUAUUUGAAUUAUAUAAAGUAAACAUUAUACAAAUAGGUUUAAUUUUCUUUCUUUUUUUUGUAGAUAAAUUGAUUAAUUUUAUAUAUUUACUAAAUACUAUAUAUAAUAUAUAAUAAUUAAUUAUUUAUUAUUUAUUACAUAUUAAUGACGUCAUUGGGUCAAUAAUGGUUCGACUACUGAUUAGACCAGUAACCCAUCCACCCAAUAUCUUAUUUCUGGUUCGAUGAACGAUCCGGAUCUGAAAACCUUGCAUCCUAGAAUUGCUAGUUUUUUAAUCAUAAUUUCAACAUUUUUUUAAUAAAAAAAUUGCACCUCGCUAGCAAUUUAUUUCAACCCCAAGAAAAUUCUUGUCUAAGACGCCCAAAACUUUGCUCAUCAACACUUCACCCUAAGAACAAAAACCUUAGAAAGACAUUGUGAGAGGGAAUAAUACAAAGCUGAUGUUUCAAAUUACCUUUGCAGUUGGCAACCCAAGAGCAAAUCUCCAAUUUCAAACCAAACUCUCAAUGUCAAAUACUACAUCAAUUCCAUAAUAAUUGACUUUUUAGAAGAAAAAAUUAGUUCCAAUUUAUUUGUCGUUUACAACUUUCUAGGAGAAUAAUUAAUUUAUUUUCCUAUAUCACCCUAACUUCUCCCAUUAUCUCAAGAAAUUUUCUCCCUUGUAUUAGUAGUUUUUAACUUCCCAUAAAGGGGUAGUGAUGAAAUUUCAUACAAAUUUUAAUUAUUAAAUGACUUUCUUAAUUCAUGUGCAUGAAGCUAAAACGACUAUUAUUAUGUAAUGGAGGUAGUAAUUGAUCUACCCGUCAGUGUUCAAUUCAACACCAAGUUCCCAAAACAGGUGGUUGUCAUAUGUAGAAACUACUUUGCAGAACACCAACAGCUAAAGUACUAUGCAGAUCAAGUCCAUUCGAAAUCUCUUAUCCCCCAAAAGUGUAACUUUACUUUAGUCAACAAAACCCAUCAACAAAUCAACUUUGAAGUUUGAACCGUAUAAAUACCAAGUCUUUGAAUGUUCUGGCCCUUCAAACAGACAACAGUUCAAUCGUACAUGACACACAUCUAACUAAGAAGAAUUUCAACCCUGCUACUCAUUAAUUGGGGCAGAAACACCUUCACGCUAAGUGGCAGAACAAGGACCCUAAAUCCCAAUAGCCUUAAUAUUCCAAGUUGUCACUUCUAGAUAGGCAUUUAUUGAAAAGUAUGUAAUGUGUGUUAGGAACCUGUAACGUUUUAGAAAAAUUCACCAGAAACUAUCUGGUUAUUAAAAACUAGCAAUCUAGCUUUUAUGAGCAGAAAGAUAUUUGAACUUUAAAAUCAGCCAAUUAGACUAGGAACGCAACUAAACCCUUAGGUCAAUAAUCAGAUAAUUGUAGAAACCUCAUAAUAUAGCGUUACAGUCCGUGAGAUAUAUGCAUUCACUAAAAUAGACAUUCAUAAACAAUCAGCUAUACUACAAAAAAUGCAUAAAAACAAUGAAAAUUAACAGCAAGAAAUAGAGUUUAAACAUAAAGGUUACACUUUUCCACAAGGUUUUGGUAGCGCUAAUAUUGAGUUGUGACAAUGCAUGUCAUUGACUAAUUAAUUAAAAUGCAAAUGCAACGUCAAAACAAAAUCCACUAAAUAAGAGAACAUGAAAUUGAUUUUGGAAUAUAUAAAAAGGAAAGACAGAAUAUGAGACUUUUCUAUAAGAAAAAGCAGAAUUUGAGAUGUACUUCAGUAAUCAUCUCCAUAAUACAAAAAUAUCAAUGGCACCAUUGAUAUAUUUCCAAAAUACCAGCAAUUUCUAGCUUUGGCUUCAAUGUUUAAUUGAAAACUAUCAAACCUUUUCUCUGAAUCUCACUGUUAGGUAUAUUUAUCCUACGCCCUGUUUUAUAGUACUCCCUCCAUUCCACACCACAAGAAUAAUCACAUUUUUCCAAUUUUAUGUUCCUACAAAAGUCACAGUUUCUUAUGGCAGUAUAAAAUGAUACAAUGUCCUCUAGUUUACCAUCUAAUUCCACUAUUAUGUCAUCACUACUAAACUAAACAUAUAGCCAAAACAUAUGACUUAAUGAUAUCACUUGUAAAUAUUGCAAACAGAACAUUUAAGGAUUGUAAAGUUUGCAAAUAGAUAAUUCAAAGAGUGUAAAUUUUGCACCAAAAAAAAAGGACUCUUUUUGUGAGAAUAAAACAAACACUUUGUAUAACACCCCCUAUAACAGAAAACUCAAUCAACUGAACAAUCUCUAAUUCCUAAUCCUUAGUCCCUGAUCCCUAAAUUAAUCAACUGAAUAAAAAACAUCAACCUCAAUUCAAAGUACAUGAAACCAUGCAUAGAGACAAAACAUCAGGAAGAAAAUAUAUUUAUAGAAUUGGAUCAAAUGGGUACCAGGAUCCCUAGGGCGCUCAAGGAGAAUCUCCUCCGUAGAGACCAUAGUAAGCCGAGCACCGACGUCCUCAUGGACGGCAUCGCCGAACUUAGACCAAGAGCGCCGCUCGACUGCGCGCUUGCUAAGCCGCGCGUUGGCUAGCUUGCGGACGCGCGUGGUGGUGGUGAUUUUGACCUUAUUGCCUUCGCCGUCGAACUUAUGUUCCACCACCUUCUUCAGCCCGUUCUGGUCCGGUCCAAUUACAUCGCGCGGCUGCAAAAGGAAGUCCAAAUCCUCGCCAUCUUCCUCGUCUAGCUCGCUCCAUCGGAGCUUGCUCGGGUGAUUGUUUGGGUUCUCAAUCGGAACGGAAACUGCCAUGUCUAUCGCCAUUUUUCCUAGGGAUUAGUUUUUGUUUUUUUUCCUUUAUUUAUUGAUGGGCAAAUUUGGUUAGGGUUUAUGGCUUCAGAAAGGGAUUAUUCGCGUCAACUUAAACUCGGUUAUUUUUCAAUGACAAAAAAAAUACCUAUUCUAUAGGAUAUAUAAUGUGAAUAUUUAUCUCAUUAUUUGAUUGUCAUUUAAAUAAUAUUAUAAUUCAUAUCAAUAUCACGUAUUAAUAAAUUUUAUAAUUAUAAGAUGACAUAAAUUUAUGACAAUAUAUAGAAGACUCGUUGAAAUUAAUAGUACAUUGUAAAUUAUAUGAUAUAACAUAUAGAUUUUAUAAAAUUUGAGGGUUAAAUAGAAAAAUAAAUAAAACGGUUAUAUAAUUAAAAUUGUAGGUGCAAAAUAAGAAGAAAAAAAAAGUGGGACACAAAUUCACCAAAAUGUUUGAGAUAACUCGUAACUUGUAACAUCACAGUCCCACAUCAAAAAAUCGGGGGAGUUUGUAACACCCCAGUUCCACAUCGAAAGAUAGGGGAAAAAUUUUUCUGCAUAUAAGGAAAUAAGUUACUACCAAUAGUACCUUCAAGUCAUGACCUUUUAAGAGCUUGUGGUGGGCUAAGAUGACCCAAGAAGAUACUAUUGGGCCAGUAGUUUGAGGCCUUAUUUUGAUGGAUUUGAUUCAAUUCGGACUUAGAAUUUGACCCGAGAUUUAUUCCGGACUCGGGAUUUGACCCGAGUUGUUUCAUAUGGUAUCAAAGCAGUGGCCCCUCGCAAUGUGUUAGGUUGAAAAAUCUACAUAUUUUCUGGGGAGUGAUUUUGGGAGUUAGCUGUGGGUAAGAUUAUUGACUAAAUUUAAUGAUUUUAAAAUUAAAUAGAGAAUGAGGUAAGAAAUCUAUGUUUUGUUUGACGUUUGGUACUCGAGACUAAUUGGGUAUUUUAUUUUAUUCGUUACUAGUUUUGUAUAGUGUUGUUGAGUGGGAAUUUCUUUUUGUAGGGAAAAUGCCGCCUAGAAGAAGCAACCCUACUAACACCAAUUUUGGCGCUAAUGGUCUGACUCAGCUGGCUACUACUUUAGCUCAGCUAGUGCAGAACCAACAACCUGGGCAAUGUGGCAUAGUAGCGGAAUUCAAGCGAUUGAAUCCGCCAAUCUUUGAAAGGGCUACGGACUCUUCCAUCGUUGAGAAGUGGAUUCAAGAAAUGGAGAAGGCGUUUGAUUUGCUAGGGAGUAGUGAGGCUAAUAAGGUGACGUUGGCAGUUUACCAGCUUCAGGGUGGGGCGUAUAAUUGGUGGCUUAUGGAGAAAAGAAAGCAUGAAGGGAAUCCUGAACCCUACACAUGGACCAUGUUCAAGGAGGCAUUUACUAACAAAUACUUUUCUAGAACAAUUAGGGCACAAAAGGAGAGAGAAUUUAUUAGGCUCGAACAAGGGAGCAAGACAGUUGCUCAAUAUGAAGCCGAAUUCGCGAAGCUUGCCAAGUAUGCACCGACCUUGGUGGCAGAUGAGGCGGCAAAAGCGCGAAGGUUGGAGGAUGGAUUAUGGGCCGACAUAAGACAUGGUGUGGCAUCUUUUGAGCUGCCCGCAUAUGAUGCGGUGCUCAAUAAGGCGUUAGUGAUCGAGAAGGGCUUAGCGGAAAUGGGGAAAGGGAAGAACAAUAAGAGGGACGAACUAUCCGGUGAAGAGUCCAGCCAUGGAGGACCUACAAAGAAGUUGAAUACGCAAACCACUAAGUUUAGAGGAAACCAAUGGAAUCAAGAGAACAAAUUGAAGUGUUCGAGGUGUGGUAGAAACCACCUAGAUAAGGAAUGUCGUUGGAAUACAAGAGCGUGUUUUCAUUGUGGAGAUUUCGGUCAUAGGAUUGCACAAUUCCCCAAGAACCCUCCACCGAAAAGAGAUGAAAAGACGACGAAAUAACAUUGGCAAGCCUAGGACCAAAUCGAGGAUGUGUUCAGCUUUCAGGCAACCAAAAUUAAGGUGUGAAACUCUUUUAUUAAUUGCAUUUAGUAAUUAGAUAAUGAAUUUCUUGAUUAUGUGAUAUUUGUGUUUUCUUUGGAAUUGUAAUUUGGGAAUUUGGAGGACCAAAUUCUUUUAAGGUGGGUAGAAUGUAAUACUCAGUAAAAAAACAAGAUAAAAGAUAAAUAUAAUUAGAUAAUAGAAGUGUAACUAAUAAGUAUGUAUACAUAUCUAAAACCUAUAAGGAUAAGAUAAGUUAAUUAAGUUGUAACAAACUUUUAAUUUUAAAAGGACUCUUUUACUUGGUAACCUAUUUUGUAAAAUAAUUUAAUAUAUAUAAUGAGAUUGUCGUUUACUGCAUAAAAAAAUAGUGUAGCAGGUUGCGGUAAUCGAGAGAGAGAGAAAGGAACUGUUCUGAUGUUGUUAAAGAAUUAAUUUCAUAAGAAGCUAGGUUUGUCUUCAUUAUGUAUGAAUAUAAUUAUAAUAUUAUAUAUGGAUUUUUGAUGCUUGAUUGUACAUGUACAGAGUGUAGAUCAGCCAUAUAGUUCUAAUAAUAAAGACCAUGUUGUUUUAUCUUUUAAUAAUAGAAUAUAGAAUAUGUCAUUAUGAACAAGUAUACAUGAUUCUCUGAUAUUAAAUAUAUGAUGUGUACUAUAUAAAUAUGCAUGUAUAGUAAGCACAAAUUUGUCAAAAUUAAAGAAGGAUAAGAGACUUUGUUAAGGAUCCAAUAUUAAAUAUUGUGAACCAAAUUUAUUGCUAUAUAUGAAUUAUAUAAAUUUUGGUAUUCAAAAGUUAUGUGUGUGUGUGUGUAUAUAUAUAUAUAUAUAUAUAUAUACAUAUUAUAAUUUUAGAUAUAUUAAUUAAAUACAAUUAUAUUAUAAGUAUAUAAAUAUUAAAUAUUAGUGUGUGUUAGAUAUAAAAUAAAAUUAAAAUACGUUUGAGUUAGGAUAUUGUAUCCUAAUGACUUUUAUUUGUUCUAAUGUUAUAUUUAGGAUUUGUUCGCUUCUAAUUUCGUAUUUCGCAAUAGGCAAUAUCAAGGUAAGUGGCUUUCCGAACUAUUUAGUGUUUUUAAGAUUAUCGUUACUUUUAAGUAUGCCUUAAAAAUUAUUCGGAUGCCUAAAUGUACAGUUUCAAAAUUCGUUAUGUUUUAUUUAAGGCUUCCAUUUAAAUUAAAUUGUUAUGUUCUUUUAUUUCAAAAUUCGGACCAAGUAAUUAUUUUCGAACUGUGAAUGAGAUUAUAUGAUUUUGAACUGUGAAAAAGUAUCGUUUAUAUUAUCGAUAAUAUUGAGAAAAGAUUUUGAAAUCCUCAGUUUGACUAUGUAUAGAACCCGUUAUUGAUUACGUUUAGUUCUGGAGCUAAUAUAGGAGCUACUAAGGCGCACACCUUUUAGAUGCCCUUCGGGGAGCGUGCAUUUUUUAUAGAUACCUUAGUAGGGUGCGUAUCAUAACGUUAUCGAAUUUUUGGGCCGUGUUACAGGGCUAUUGUAACCUUAGUCGCUAAGGCUGUGGAUUAAAAGAGAUAUGAUAUACAUUGAAAUCAGUUUUGAAUUGUUUUAGUUUUGAAAGCUUUUGUACUAUUGUUAUUGAACAAAAAGUUAUUUCGAAAAAGUAUUUUGUAAAUUGUACUUGAUUCGGCUAGAUAGAGAGGAUUGCUACUUGCUGGGUUUCAUCGCUCACCCUCUUACAGAUUUUUGCAGGUUCCAUCGUUGAAAGCUGAGCUUUUAUUUGAUACGCUUGGAAUAGCUGGAGUUUAGUUUUAGAUGUUUUCUUUUGUUGAUGAAUUUUGAUAAAACUCUUAGUUUCGAGGAGCUGCGUCUCCAUUAUUUGAAUGUGGUAUUUAUUAGUAUUUCAUUUGGAUUGAUUUAAAAUAUAUUUAUUGUUGGGUUUUAUGUUAAGAUUAUUGUUAAGUUAUUUUUUUUUGGGCUGCGCAUUAUUGAUAUUGUUGCCUUGCGGGCCUAUGGGCUUGCGGCAAGUAGCACUUCGGUCCUAUAUCGGGUUCGGGGUGUUACAGAGGUGGUAUCAAAGCCGACUCUCGAAAGCUCGGGUCGGGUCAUCCGAUCGGGUUGCCGGAGGUGAGGACACGAAGGUUGGUGGUAUUAUCCCACAAUGGAGAGAUGGAGGUCCGGAGGUGGGAACACGAAGCCAGCCGGUAUUAUCCCACAAUGGCUAGAGAGGCAAAGAUCUUUGGGCCGUGUGUGUGAUCAAUUCUGACGGGGACGUCAGAAAUAAUUUAAGUGGGGGAGUUUGUAACACCCCAGUCCCACAUCGAAAGAUAGGGGGGAGUUUGUAACGCCCCAGUCCCACAUCGAAAGAUAGGGAAAAAAUUUGUCUGCAUAUAAGAAAAUAAGUUACUACCAAUAGUACCUUCAAGUCAUGACCUUUUGGGAGCCUGUGGUGGGCUAAGAUAACCCAAGAAGAUACUAUUGGGCCAGUAGUUUGAGGCCUUAUUUUGAUGGAUUUGAUUCGAUUCGGACUUGGGAUUUGACCCGAGAUUUAUUCCGGACUCGGAAUUUGACCCGGGUUGUUUCAUAACUGCUUUAUGAUAAGAGAUAAAAUUAUUCUUUAAAAACUAUUUUAUUAAGAUUUUUAAUUUUAGAAUGAAAAUAUUUAUAUUAAGAUAAAAGUAUAAAAAUAUAUACAUAUAAACUCAUUAAUUAAGGAGUAUUGUUUUUCUUACAAAAAACAAUAUACAAAAUAAUGUGUUAAAAUAUAAUUAGUACAUCAUUCACUAUAUAUGGGUGAAUUCAAUAAUUAUAAUCAACUAUAAUUAUACAAAUCAUUUCGUGUAUAUUUUUUGUAAUUGUUAACGCCAAGUUUCGUCGGCGCGUCCAAUCACAAAAUCCACGCGCUUGAACCUGCACAAUAACAGAUCACACACGAAGCUGGACGGCUUGUGGCAUCGGGGGAUAGCUCCGGUGUGAGAAUGAGUACAGGCCGUUCAUAAGGUUUAACAAUGAAGGCUUUAGUGUUUAGUGCUAAAAGAUGUAUUACCUGUUAAUUGUAGUCAAACCUUGUAUUUAUAGUCAUUCCCACUUCCCUAGAAUCCCUCUCCGAGUCGGAUUAGGACUCCUAAAUAUGGUAGUUACCUAUAUUUGAAUCUAACACAAUCUCCUUAAAAGGUGUAAGUAGAAUCCAAUUCAAAUACUACAUUUGGAGUUACCUUAUUCACAUAUGGUUAGGACUAGAGUCCUUAACCACGUAAACCCCUUAUAACUCCAGACUCUGCAUAUGGGCUACCCAACUGCGCAGGCCCAACCCCACCAAGCUUAUACACGUUGGUCUGGGCUUCGGCCUAAGGAGCUCGAAGGCCCGACCCCGAACACCAAUACUGAAACAGAACUUCGGCCCGGAGGGCUCGGAUAUCCGAACCCGAACACCUUCAACGUCUUGUAGGGAUUUGGCCCAACGGACCCAAUCUCCUCAGUUCCAGCCCACAUGAUGAUCGGUGAAAUACUCCCGAACAUUGCCCCCCCAGUCUCUUGUUAUAACAUGUUUAUAAUCAGAGACUUGAAAUGACACGAAUUUGAAGAGUCACGACAGGAAAUGAUGAGUUGUCUCGUGAACCCAAACGGUUCCUUUUCAAUUUUUGAACUGGUACACGUCUUCCCAAGACCGGGCCCCACUCGCCAUAAAUAGCCGCCCUGGAGAUCCGUGUUCGUCACGCUAUAUAAACCCCUAUCCAUCCUUCACUAUCACUUUUUUAAGCCUUUCCUCAUUUCAAAUUCCUCACUCAAUCUUUUUUGGCAAGGGCGAUUUCCGACGAGCACCUCAUUCUUGCGAUUCCGGUUCUUUUGCUUGUUAGAGCUCUCCAAAUCUCAUCUCUGUUCUCCUUCCUUCUCUAAUGGCUGAUUCUAGCAUUCCUCCUCCCGAGACGAUUACCCUAACUGGUACCGCUACCCUCGCCUUUGGUGAUCUGAUUCUAGUCGAAUUAUCGGCAUCCCUACUGAAAAUGCCGAAUUCAAGAUCUAACGCCUCUAUAUGUCAGAAACUGAUUUUGUUGUAGUCAACACCAAAUCGUCCAUCACUCCAUCCCAACUGUCUGACAUCCGGUCCGUGUUCAAUAUCCCCAAAGAGUACAAACUACGGGUUCCGAAACCGAAGGAAAGAAUGUUCUGGCGUCCCGAAGGCGACUGGAUGGCUGUUCCCCUCUACGCUUUGAGGUACGGGGUUCGGUUCCCCCUUCACAAAUUUAUCUCCUCUUUUCUCUAUUUUGUUGGGAUCAGGUUCGCGCAGCUAGUGCCAAACUCUUAUAUCCAGCUCAUCAGCUUCAUCGCCCUAUGCCAGGAGGCUGGUAUCACUUCGGGCUUGGAUUUCUUUUUCGUCCUAUUUUCUGUUGGCCGAUCGAAGGAGCCAGGCCUUCGACAUCUGAACCGGGUAUCUGGCCGAGCCACUUUCAUGAAAAACCCUUCUAGCAACAAGGGUUGGCAUCCACAGUGGUUCUUCAUGAAGGGAACUGACCUAAAACUCCUACCGAAGAUCCUAUUGUAAAGGUCACCAAAUUUCUGAAGGACCGUGCCGACGCCUUUAAGAAGUUUUAAAAGCUUUUGCAGAAAACUAGUUGGGGUCGGGAGGUCAUGUCUAAGGAAACCUGGCUCUACAAACACGGCCGUAAGUUACAAACCUCGAACUUUCUUGUAUCUUACUUUGAUCUUCUACUGAAUUUGUAUUGACUGUCUUGUCUACUUUUGCAGUGACCAUCUUCAAGCCCGAGGGGGCUGAUGCCUCCUUAACGCCUCUGCCGGUUGCUACCGAGCCCAUUCGUCCCCCAGUGGUAGAUGAUUCCCCCAAGGAUGAGGUCAUUCCAUUCACCGAACUCUCCAUCGGUUCUUAAUCGGGUCCCAUUCUGCCAACCUCUGGAGCUGAAGCUUCCACCAAGAAUGUUCUGAAGAUGGGUUGGGCUGAGAAGAUGGCCUUGUUAAAGGGGAAGAAAAAGAAGAUUUCCUUCAAAUCCACUCCCCCGAAGGUGUCGGCCUCAGCCCUUCCAAAACCUACUCCACCUCCACAACAAAACAGUUGUCGGUGCGGAUUCGGAGGAAACAGAAGAGGUUCUUUUGGAACCCCGACCCAAGAAGCCUCGACUGACCGAGGAUUCAGACCAGCAGAUCAUGGAGGUCGAACCUCUUCCUGCCUCGACCCCUACCUCAAAACUGACCACCGAGUCGAGUUCUUCUCCUGGGACGCCGAAGACUUUUUGGCCGAGGAGCCCUUCGGAGGUCUUUCCCUUUACUCAGCUCGAACAUUUUAAACUGUCUGGAGAUGACGAGCGGUUUAAGGGGUAUUCUUCUGACGAGUUUUUGGUAUCCUAUAUCAAGGCCCAAUGUCAGGUAAAAUUCGAUUCACUAAAUUGUUUCCUUUGCUGAUCACCCCUUCCUUCUAACUGACAUACUUGUGUACCCGAUUGCAGGCUAAUGCUAUCUUGGCUAGAGCCGUUCAUCCUCUAACCCGGGCCACUAAGAAGGAGGUUCAGCUGAGGAACAACGUGGCUCUGCUCGAAGCCGAUGUUCGAGGUUUGAACUCGGAUCUGCUGGAAGAGAGGGAUCUCCACGUCGCGACUCGCAAUAAAGCGACCAAGGCCGAACAUGAGACCGCUGAUCUUAAAGAGCAAUACACCCUUUUGCAGCAGGAGUUCGUUAGUCUUGAGGUUCAUUCCAAGAAGAUAAUCCAGGAGAAGAAUAUCUUAUCCGAAGAAGUCAAGAGUCGGGAGAAGGCCAUCGAUGCUAUCACUGAGAAGUUCUCUUGCUUUGACCGAGAAGAUCAUGGCUCAGUUUGCUGACGGCUAUGAAGCUUAUCGGGAAAAGGCUCGGGCUAAGAUGGAAGCUGCUGGACUUGAUGCCUCCGUCCUUGAUUCUUCUGAUGAAGAAUUCAAAGCUGGAGAUGCGAGUCCUAAGGAAUAGUUUCACUUAGGUUUCAUACUUGUGUUUUUUGUAAUUAUUUUUCUUUUCUUAGUUUGUAAUCUGCCCGAUCAGUUAUGCUUGUGAUAUCUUACCGAUCAGUACGUUGUUUUUAACUUUUUGAUUGGUUUAUGUUCGAAGCUUGUCUGAUCGGAGUUGUAAACCUUUUGGAUAUGAAUGAAAGAUAAGCAAUCUUAUUUUUUGAUGAGUUAUACUUAUGACUUUUACCGAUCUUUUGAUCAGUUUAUGCCUGAAGUUUGUUUAAUCGGAUUUUGUAAUUUUCCCCGUCAGUUAUACUUGUGACUUUUACCGAUCAGUUGGGUCAUUUCUGACUUUCUGGUCGGUUUAUGCCCGAAGCUUGUCUGAUCGGAGUUGCAAAGCUUUACAAAUUUAAAUGAAGUAUAAAAUUUUCCCGAAGAGGAAUUCUGAUUUAUUUCAUUGAUAAAAUGUAAAGAUUACAUACGUAAGGGAAAUAAUAGUAUAACUUUUAUUGGUAAUAUCUUCUAAGUCGCCCAGCAUGCCAUGUAUUCUUUACCUCCGAGCCAUCCAUCCCUCGAAGCCGAUAAGUUUCGGGCUUUAGCACCUCUACUACUUCGUAAGGUCCCUCCCAAUUGGGCAUUAGUUUGCCACUGUUUUGGGGGGUCGAUGCCUUUGACUCCCGAAGCACCAAAUCUCUAGCCUCAAACCUUCUUUGUUUGACUUUUUGGUUGUAGUGCCAGGCAGUGCGCUUCUGAUAGAUUGUUAGGAGUACCAGAGCUGAUUCUCGGACUUCCUCCAAAAGAUCCAAGUUGAGGCGCAAGCCAUCUUCGUUGUACAGGUCUUUAUACUGACUGACCCGAAGAGUAGGGGAUCCUAUCUCCAUAGGUAUGAGGGCAUCGGUCCCGAAGGCCAAUCUGAACGGGGAAUCUCCCGUCGUUGUUCUCGGUGUAGUCCGAUAGGCCCAUAAAAUGUUAAGUAACUCCUCUGGCCAGUGACCUUUCAAUUCAUCCAACCUUCUUUUGAUCCCGUUAAGUAAGGUUCGAUUGGUGACUUCUACCUACCCAUUUGACUGAGGGUGUGCUACCGAGGUCUUUCUGUGUUGAAUUCCCAAUUCCUUCAGAAAGGUUUCAAACUUCGAUCCCACAAACUGUCUGCCGUUGUCUGAGACCAAUGCCAUCGGGAUACCGAACCGAAGUACAACCCCUUCCUUAAAAUUUCAGACACUCAUGUUCAGUGAUUUUUUGUAGAGGUUUGGCUUCGACCCAUUUGGUCAUGUAAUCGAUGGCUACGAUCACAAAACUCACUUGUCCCUUGGCCUUCGGUAGAGGCCCCAGGAUGUCGAUUCCCCGUAUGGCAAAAGGAAUGGGGGAUAAGACCGAAUACAGCUCUUCGGGAGGUUGAUGCGGAAUGACACUGUUCAGUUGACACUUGGGACAUUUUUUGACAAAGUCCUUUGCUUCCUAAUAGAUGGUUGGCCAGUAAUAUCCCUACCUCAGGAUCUUAUGUGCUAGUGACUUCGCUCCCAUGUGAUCCCCACAAAUACCUUCGUGCACUUUCCCGAAGUGUAUAAUUUGCUUCUGACGGUGCCAAGCACUUGAGCAAUGGAGAACUAAAAGCUCUUCGAUAUAGAUCUCUGUCAAUAAGAAUGAAGUUUGAACUCCGAUGCUUGAUCUUUCUUGCUAAGAGGCGAUCCGAAGGUAAAACUCCAUCGGCCAAGUAGGAGAUGUAUGGUGUAAGCCAGCAGUCGAGUCAAUCCAUAAAUAGUACUUCCACCUUCGGAACACUUGGUUAUUCCAACACCUCUAGAUAUACCGAACCACUGAACGAACUAGCUUCGGUAGUUGCUAAUCAAGCUAAAGCGUCUGCUAUUGUAUUAUCGGACCGAUCAACUCCCUGACACUUGAGCAAAGUGAAGUAUACUAGUUUAUCCUUUACCUCGGCUAAAUAUCUCAUCAUUCUUGCACCCCGAGCCUCAUACUCCCCUGAUAUCUAUUUGAUGACCAACUGGGAAUCACUAUAGAUGACUAAUUUCUGUACCUCCAGGCUUCGGGCCAACAGCAGUCCGGCUAGAAUGGGCUCGUACUCUGCUUCGUUGUUGGUGGCUUUGAACUGGAACCGGAUGGCUUGUUGGACUUUGAACCCAUCGGGACUCGUCAGUAUGACCCUUACACCGCUGACAUCCGAAGUUGAUGAGCCAUCGCCAUAGAGUUUCCAUGAAGUCCGCCCGUGCUCUGUUUCAGUGACCGAUCCUACAUCCGGUUCUGUGAACGAACAUUCCACAACAAAAUCUACCAAUGCCUGUCCUUUGAUUGUUGUUCGGGGUAAAUAUUCCAGUGCAAACUGCGUCAAUUCCAUUGCCCACGCAGCAAGCCGUCCUGACACCUCUGGCCUGUACAGUACUUUCUUUAACGGUUGAUCCGUGUAUACCACCACCAACCAACCCUGGAAAUAAUACCGAAGUUUUCUACUUGCAAUGAUCAAAGCGUAGGCAAAUUUUUCCAGUAUCGGGUUUCUGCGUCUCGAAGUACGUGGCUGACAUAGUAUACCGGGAAUUGAUGUCCCCCUUUAUUGCGAACUAAGGCUGCUCCCACUGCCAUCGAGCUUGCAGCCAAGUAUAAAUACAGAGGUUCCAAAGGGAUCGGCUUCAUCAACAAUGGUGCUGAGGAUAAAUAUUUUUUGAUCCCUUGGAACGUAUCUUCGCAUUCCGAAGUCCACUAAAAACUUUUAUGGCUUUUAGGCCCUUUCAAGGUGUCAAAGAAUGGUAAGCAUCUCUCUGCUGAUUUUGAGACAAACCUUCGAAGGGCUGCGAUCCGACCUAUCAAUCUCUGAUCAUCCUUAUACGACUUUGGGGAUUUCAUAUCCAAGACUGCCGAAUCUUCUCUGGAUUUGCUUCGAUUCCCCUCUUGCUGACCAAAUAUCCUAAGAACUUUCCCGAUCCCAAUCCGAACAUGCACUUGGUCGGGUUCAACCUCAACUUACGUCUUCUAACUGUUUCGAAGAAGUUUUCCAGAUCCUCAAGAUGAUCACGGACUGACAUGCUUUUGACUAUCAUGUCAUCCACGUAGACUUUCAUGCUUCUCCCUAACUGCUUCGUGAACACGAAGUUCAUCAUUCGCUGAUACGUCGCCCCGACAUUCAAUAGCCUUAAGGUCAUCUUCCGAUACACAUAAAUUGCCCGAUGCGUGAUAAAACUGGUCUUCGGUAUAUCUUCCUUACUCAUUAAAAUCUGAUGGUACCCUGAGAAGGCGUCCAUGAAGCUCAGCAUGCCAUAUCCUGAAGUGGCGUCAAUCAACUGAUCUAUGUUAGGCAAAGGAUAUAAGUCUUUCGGACACGCCCUGUUCAAGUCCGUAUAGUCGAUGCAUAACCUCCACUUCCCGUUCUGCUUCUGGACCAAGACUGCAUUAGCCAACCACUCCGGGUAGUCGAUUUCGAAGAUGAAUUCUACCUCUAGGAGUUUGGAAAUCUCCUCAUCGAUGAUCUUCUGUCUCUCUGGGGAAAAAACUCUUCGUUUCUGUAUAAAUGGUUUUUUGUUUGGGUCCACAUGUAAUAUGUACAGGGCCACCGACUCGCUUACCCCUGGCAUAUCACUAGGCUCUCAUGCAAAGAUGUCGGCAUAUACUCGGAGCAAAUGUAUCAGUCCUGUCCAAAAUGGUUCUGCCAACCCCGACCCGAUCUUGAUCAUUUUCUCAGUAUUUCCCAGUACCAAUUCUACAUCUUCUGUUUCCUCGGCAGGCAGAGCAAGCAGUUCUGUACUACUCUCAGUGAAUGGCUCUAUUUCAAUAGCCAUUGUCUGUUUAUGCUUACUGACCCCGACCCCAGAAGAAAUUAAACUGUUCUGAUAGCACCUUCGGUCAAUGCCUAAAUCACCUUUUACCUCCCCGAUCCCGUUCGGUCAUGGAAAUUUGAUUUUGAAAUGGGGUAUGGAAGUCACUGCUUGCAGGGCUGCCAGGGUCGGUCGUCCGAGAAUCAUGUUGUAUGUCGAAUCCACCUAGACCACGAAAAUUCUGACCAUUAUCUCAACUUGAUUGGGUGUUGUGCCAAACUUGACUGGAAACUCAAUGGUACCAAACACAUAUACCGGGUCUCCACUGAACCCGUACAAAGGUCCUUCUCCACCCAGUUCCAUCUUCUUCCCCUCUAGGUCCAUCCUCUGAUAGGCAUGAGUGUACAAUAUGUCGACUGAGGAUCUGUUGUCUAUCAUCAUCCGUUUCUUGUCUACAGUUUCGACCUGAGCGGUUAUCACCAAUGCCCCGUCAUGUGGUUAUAUGAGAUCCGUAGGAUAGUCCUCGUCAGAGAAAGAGAUAGAUGUUCCCGGAUAGGCUCAAUCCUUUCUUGUUAUAGACCCCGUAACCGACAAUAUUGCAUCGAGAUGCCCGCUUCUCUUCCUUCCGGUUACACGUCCCACAGAACCACCUGAGAUCACAUCAAUUAUGCCUCUGGCCAGCGGGUUCUGUGGAGGCUGAAUAACCAGAUCUGGUGCUCUGCUUUCCUCUCUGGGUACUACCACAUUAUCCCGACUGGCUACGUAUUGAACCAGCUGAUCAUUUUGAACAUUCUUCUCUAUCAUGUCCAUCAAGUCAUUGCAUGUCUCUGUGGUAUGUCCGAAACUAUGGUGGUAAUCACAGAAUUUGUCUCGACCCCUCUUCCCGGGUUUUGUUCGUUUUGAGCAAGGUUCAUAGAAGGACUUAUUUCUUAUCUCUUCCAAUAUCUUCGCCCGAUCCAUAGUGAGAGGGGUGUAUACUUUACUGACAUUUCGGCUCGGAAGGGGAGGUCAGUUACUUCCAGAUCCUCCGCCAUUGUAAUUUUUCUUUCCAGGAUUGUCUGCCCUCCACUGGUUAUUGUCCUAAAGCUGAUAACUUUGUUUGUCCCGAUCCUUAGACUUCUCGUAAGACUGGUAGUGUGGCUUAAAAUUACCCAUGGCCUCUUCUAUCGCAAUAAAUCCUUCGGCUCGAUGGAAGGCUUCGGUCAGAUCUACAGGAGGGUUGAUCACCAAGUCUUUCAUCAACUUCUUCGACCUUUCGAUGUCUAGACCCGUUGUGAAAAAUCCCAAGGCUUGCGGGGAAUAUAAUUCCGCCACCGAACCCACAGCCUCCUGAAACCUCUUAACGUACUGUCUAAGGCUUUCAUCUGAACGUUGUCUUACUUGCAUGAGGGAUGCAAUUAUUUUUAAUCGUCUCCUGUUACUCCCAAACCGAGCAUGAAACUUUUCCUGAAGGUCAUUCCACAAACUGAUCGAUCCGACUGCCAAAGUUCCCAUCCAUUCUCGGGCGCUCUUUUUCAACGUUGUCACGAACAUAUGGCAUUUGGCAGCAUCUGAAUGCCAUAGUAAGACAUCAGACGGUCAUAUCCAUCCGAAUGAUCGUAAGGAUCCCCUAGCCUGUCAUACGUAUCCAUUGGGGGCAUUUUCUUCUUUGGAUCGAUUGUGACUUGAUUAAUUUCAGGUGAGAAGGGUGAUCCUGGACAACUCGAAGAGGUUCCUAUCGAGCUCUUAGCCGCUAACAACUUUUCCAAUUCUGCGACCCUUCUAGCAAGGGGAUCGGCCUCCUCUUUAAGGGGAGACGACCUAUGUCUGUCCCUCUCGUAUUCGGGCGACACGAUCCUCCUCUUUUGCCCCGAUCUUCCUUGGUGCCUAUAUUUUAUGUCGUCCGAUCGACUCCUUCUUUGGCUUCUACCUUCUCGGGAGCGACUCCUGGGUCAGCUCCUUUCCUUUCUAGCCUCGUCCUGUCGAGGUGAUCGGGAUCGGCUACGAUGUCUAUGCCUCUUCAAGGAGGCUUCCUGUUCUCCGACCAUUUUGGCCAUCUGCGCUUCGAGUUCCUCUUGUUAUAGCCGUAGUGCCAUCAUGGCAUCUUUAUUCUGCUCGAUCUUCUUCUGAAGAAUAAAUUCUCGCUGGUCUCGGCUGCCCUCUGCCCGAUCCGUUCCUUUCCUUUCGUCAGCCCGGGAAAGGUUUUUACCGGCAUGGCUGACUGGGAUGAGCGUGUGCUGACUAGCCAAAAACAACUAUUGUCGAAGAGAUGGGAUGGGUUCAGGUUGGCCUCCCUAUGUCCUUGAACCCAGCCUAUCUUUUACCGACCCCCUCACCUGAGUUGUCUGAUGAGAUUUCGUUUUUUCCUGGACAGAAGCAUUAUUACCUUCACUCGCCAUAGCUUCCUACCGGAAAAGAUCACAAUGAUUGCAAAAAAGCACUAAAAGCCCUCCUUCUAGCGCUAAUGUUAACACCAAGUUUCGCCGGCGUGUCCAAUCACAAAAUCCACGCGCUUGAACCUGCACAAUAACAGAUCACACACGAAGCUUGACGACUUGUGCCACUGGGGGAUAGCUCCGGUGUGAGAAUGAGUACAGGCCGUUCACAAGGUUUAACAAUGGAGGCUUUAGUGUUUAGUGCUCAAAGAUGUAUUACCUGUUAAUUGUAGUACAGCCUUGUAUUUAUAGCCAUUCCCACUUCCCUAGAAUCCCUCUUCGAGUCGGAAUAGGACUCAUAAAUAUGGUAGUUAUCUAUAUUUGGGUCCAACACAAUCUGCUUAAAAGGUGUAAGUAGAAUCUAAUUCAAAUACUACCUUUGGACUUACCUUAUUCACAUAUGGUCAGGACUAGAGUCCUCCUUAACCACGUAAACCCCUUUUAACUCCAGACUCUGCAUAUGGGCUACCCAACUGCGUAGGCCCAACCCCACCAAGCUUAUACACGUUGGUCUGGGCUUCGGCCCAAGGAGCAUGAAGGCCCGACCGCGAACACCAAUACCGAAACAGAACUCCGGCCUGGAGGGCUCGGAUAUCCAAACCCGAACACCUUCAACGUCUUGUAGGGAUUUGGCUCAACGGGCCCAAUCUCCUCGGUUCCAGCCCAUAUGAUGAUCGGUGAAAUACUCCCGAACAGUAAUAAUUCUUUAGUCAUCAAAAAAUAUUGUUGUUAAUUAAGUAUUAAUGCAUAUGUUUUAAGAGUAAUUUUAUAAACACAAAUUAUGCAUCAAAUGUGUAUACAAACAGAAAGAAAAUUAAUAUAUGAAUCUUACCGGUUAAAUAAUUGAUAAUGUUCAUUAAUAUAUUAUAUUAUUUUUUUUAAAUUAUUUUUAAUACAUUAAAUAGUAAUAGGAUUUGUGCAAAGUUUGUGCAGAUAAAAUUAAUUUGUUUUAAUUAGCCUUCAUGACAAUUAAAAUCGCCGGAACUGAAAUAUUCAAGGCCGAAAAAACUAGAAAUUAAAGCGAUUUGCAGAUAUCAUCGUUAGGUCAUUCAUACCUGCAAAUCCAUGGCGUCACAUCACGCUUCCUUAGGUCGACGAAUAGAUGAUCUUCACUGUAACACCCCGGUCCCACAUCGAAAGAUAGGAGAAAAAUUUGUGUGUAUAUAAGGAAAUAAGUUACUACCAAUAGUACCUUCAAGUCAUGACCGUUUGGGAGUCUGUGGUGGGUUAAAAUGGCCAAAGAAGAUACUAUUGGGCCAGUAGUUUUAGGCCUUAUUUUGAUGGAUUUGAUUCGAUUCGGACUUGGAAUUUGACCCGAGAUUUGUUCCGGACUCAGAAUUUGACCCGGGUUGUUUCAUAUGGUAUCAGAGCCGACUCUCGAAAGCUCGGGUCGGGUUGCCGGGUAUUACAUCACCUACCCCUUAAAAGGAUUCCGUCCUCGGAAUCAAAAGAAUGGAAAGUACCUAAUUAUCAAAAAGAUGUGGAUACUUCGCUCGAAUAGACUCUUCCAUCUCUCAUGUAGCUUCCCGCUCUGAAUGAUUCUUCCAUAAAACCUUAACAAACGGAAUAGUCUUCCUCCUCAUAAUCAUUUCUUGANNNNNNNNNNNNNNNNNNNNNNNNNNNNNNNNNNNNNNNNNNNNNNNNNNNNNNNNNNNNNNNNNNNNNNNNNNNNNNNNNNNNNNNNNNNNNNNNNNNNUUCCAAUUUUGAAAUAAUCGUUAAAAUUAACUAACGGAGUAAAUGGAAAAUUCUGGCGUGGAUAAAGAUAUGCAUAUGGGAGCAUGAUACAUCAGUUUUGGAGGGAAUUAUACUUCUCAUGUGACCAAGUGAGGAAGAAAUAAGGGUUAGGGAGAAAGAUCCAACGGGAGAGACAAAAUACAGAGAGAGAAUCGCUUCAAAGUCGACGCGAAGAGAUUCAAGCCUUACAGUGGAUUCAGCCAGAUUUAUCUCCAAAUUUGUUCGACAACAAAAAGUAAGCACCCAAACCCUUAUUUUUUCUUCUGUGUUUUUUUUCUUCUGUGUUUCCCAUUUUGAGUAAGCACCCAAACCCUUAUUUUGAGUGUUAAAGAUUUCUUCUAUGCACUCAAUUUUGAACCUAAUCUUUGUUUAUGCUUACUUUAUGUGGUUAAUGCCCACCUUGUUGGAUGUUUGUGGUCGUUUCCCCCAAAAUUUAUGCUCUUGUGUUGAAUUAAUGAUAUGUGUUGAAUCUACAAACAAGAACACCUCUUGUGCUCUUGUGCAUAAUGUGACGCCCCCAAAAUAUGUAUACAUCACCCAUCUUGAGUCGCCAAAUACAUGGUACAUAAAUCAAAUACAAACUAAAUUAUACAACUGUCGGGUAAUAUACGAUAAAACAUAGCUGAGAGUUUAAAUAAGAAUAUUGCCUUCUAGACAAUAUCUACACUCAAUGGAGUCCUCAUUACAUUUAUUGUCACACUAUUUAACAGAAUAGUGAUGACUACUAAUGCUAUCAUCUGGACCGUCACUCCAUUCCCCGACUAGUCCCAACUGUAUUCUCAUUUCCUGAAGAGAACAAUAAAAGUAAAGGGUGAGCUCAACUAGCCUAGUAAGAAAUAUUAUGACUAAGAUAAUGCAGAAUAAAUUAUCCUUAGCCUUCAACAAUAUAACAACUGAUAGAAUACAAUAGACAACAAGUUUUAGAUCAAUAACUGCAGCGAAAUAAGCAAUCCAUUAGAAGAGUCAAGUAGAGCAUAAAAUCUACUAUCUUCUAUGAUUUAAAAAGUUUUUCAUCAACUUUAUCGCUGAGACUCAGCUUAAUAAAUAAUCCACAUCAUCGAAUCACCCCUGCACUACUGCCAAGGAUAUUCUUUAGUAUCAUGACCACAAAUUAUCCAUGCACUACGGGCCAAGGAUAUUCGUGUAUUCAUCAAUGGUCAUGAUCAUGCCAACAACUGUCCAUGAAUGUAUUACGGGCCAAUGAGGACCUUUCCCACAUCAUUUGUAACAUUAUGGUCAUGAUUAUACCGAAUAAUCCCUGGACAUAAUCAUACCAAGUCCAUCUAUGCACUACAGGCCACAGGUGACUUUCAACAUAAUAUAAACAUGAGGAUGAUGACAAGUUCAAGGAUAAAUUUUUAAAGAUUUAUAAUUUAAUUUAUCCAGAAAUCAAUGUCCAAAUUGUCAACAUGAUACUACUUUGUGGAGUAAAAUUCAAGAAUAAUAUUGUAUCAAAAAUGAUUUGGACUGAAAAGAAAUCAAUUUUUGUCAUGAAUAGUACUCCGGGUGAAUAGUACACCGUGAAUAGUACUUCAGGAAUAGUACCCAGUGAAUAGUACUUUGUGAAUAGUACUCAUGAAUAGUACUUCGUGAAUAGUACUUUAUGAAUAGUACCCCGUGAAUAGUACUUUGUGAAUAGUGCCGUAAAAAUGAAUACUUCUCAUGGACAGUACUCCGGCAUGAAAAACUUAAAAUUUAAGAAGAAUAUGUAGAAAAUAUCCUUGUGAAGCGAUACUAGAUGAAGUGCAAAUUUCAAGGAUAUUCUACUAAUUUUAUGGAAUAUAGAAGCAAUACUUUAACAGAAUAAGGGUAUAAUCAGGAAUACGAGACGAAAUAAUAUUACUCACAUACUACAGAGUAUGGAAAAAAAUAUUGAAUACUGGAAAAAAUAAUAUCCCUUACAACUGUUGAACGAAAAUAAUAUUCCAAUGAAUAUUUAACGAAGAUAAUAUUCCAACGAAUAUUUAACGAAUAUAAUAUUCCUACGAAUAUUGAACGAAGAUAAUAUUCCUACGAAUAUUGAACGAAGAUAAUAUUCAUACGAAUACGAAAAAUAAUAUCUCUUCAAAAUAUGAAAUAAAUAAUACCCCUUACGGCUAUUGAACGAAUAUAAUAUUCCUACGAAUAUUGAACGAAGAUGAUAUUCCUUACGAAUAUUGAACGAAUAUAAUAUUCAUACGAAUACAAAAAAUAACAUCUCUUCAGAAUAUGAAAGAAAUAAUAUCCUUUACCUCAGAAGAAGACUGGAUAUUUGAAUAGUGAAGUAGCAGACUUCGCUUCUUCUUUCUCUCUAAAGCUUCUCUCUCUAUAAUUGCUCUUGUGAGACUUGGUGAAUUGGUGAGAAUGAAGGAAGAAUGAGCUUCUAUUUAUAGGAAAAUAUAGUUUCGAUAAUUGUACGUUUUGGGGCUCGAAAUAUUACAGUAUAAUACCUUCCUCUUUUUCUUCAUUUUUAAUUUAGUCCUGCAAGUAUUAUCAAACUUGCACCACCUCCCCUAAUAGUAAAUAAUGUGAAUUAAUAGUUCAUUCAUGUGACUCAAUAGUAUAAUCAUGUGAAAAAACUAAUUACAGUAUAGUACCUUCAUCUAUACCUCCAUUUUUAAUUUAGUCAUGCAAGUAUUAUCAAUCUUGCACCAACUCCCCUAAUAGUAAAUCAUGUGAAUCAAUAGUCAAUCAUGUGAAUCAAUAGUUCUAAACAUGUGAAAAUACGAAUUACAGUAUAGUACCUCCAUCUAUACCUCCAUUUUUAACUUAGUCAUGCAAGUAUUAUCAAUCUUGCACCAACUCCCCUAAUAGUACAAGAAUGUGAAUCAAUAGUACACACAUGUGAACAAAUAGUUAUAAUCAUGUGAAUUAAUAGCAAUUAAUUGCUCAUUUAUCCGGUUAAUUACCCGAUUGGUCAAUAUAACCUCCAGACAUCAAUUAUUAUCGAAAUAAAUGUCGAUUUCCACUAACACUAAUAAUUCCAACACAAUGGAACUAUCAAUUUCAUCUUUAAUCAACACGAACUUAUUCAUCAUUAAUAUUAUAACUCACAAUAUUUAACAACCAGGUCGUUCCCAGGAAAGAGGGGGCUUUCCGAUAAGGAUUUCUCCUUAUUGGCGCGCAAUUAGGUGACCAAACCUCUCCUUGACAGAACUUCUAGACAUUGUCAAUAUUGCAAAUAAUAAUAUGAAUAACUUUGUCGUCUCAAUUAUUGAUUUAAUAAUAUAAAAUAUUGAUACUCUGACAAUAAUUGAAUCAAUAAUAUGAGAGAUAUGAUGCAGCAAUUACUGUAGCAAUAAUUGAGUAUAACUGAAUGACUUCUUAUGUAAGCAUCAAUAAUCAAUACCGUGUGCUACUAUGCAACCACGCGUAUUACUGUACUUUUACUACCGGGUAGUUCAACAGUUUUAACGGUAACACUUUCGUCGUUAUUUUUAUAAAAAGAUAAUUCUGUCGUUUCUAACUACGACAAUACUUCCAUUGUGGGGUCCACCAAUGAUUGUUUCGUCGUAUGGAUAUUCCGGACAAAAAGAAUAUUCCCCAACCAAACGAAUAUUUUAUAACAACUUGCUUAAUUUGCAAAAAUUUUCACAUAUCACCCUUAACUUUAACCUUUUAUCAAUUUAACCAUUUACGAAAUAAAAUAAUAAUUAUAAAAAAAUUGAAUACUUUCAUUUUAUAAAAUUCUGGGUCUUACAAUCUCCCCUCCUUAUAAAAUUUCACCCUCGAAAUUUACGUACGUACCUGGUAUGCCAAAAAGGUGAGGAUACCUCGACAAAUUCUAACUCUUGAGAUAUAACCUUUGAGUGUCGAAUAUGAUCCUUUUUAUCCAAGAUUUUAACACGUAUCUCAUCAUACGUUAAAUCUUCUGCUAUCUCGUCUAGUUCUAAUUCAAUAAUGUGGUUUGGGUCGUCCACAUAUUUACGUAAUAUCGAUACGAAAAAAAACGUUAUGAACAUGAGACAUUCUUAGCGGUAAGGCGAGUCUAUAGGCCACAGUUCCUACUCGAUCGAAUAUUUCAAAUGGGCCAACUAAAUCGAGGGUUGAGAUCGACUCUUGCUUCUAGAAUAACGCCCUCUUUAACCUUUUUCCUUGUAUUCAUCAGCUCCGGGUGUGUAGCUUGAGCGGCUUUAUCUUUAUCAAUUUAAAGUCGGUUCAAAUCGUAUAUUCGCUAUCUUCACGUGGGUCCCUAGAGUCUUUAACUCUAUAUUCAUCAUUUGUAAGUUAUAUGAAAUAGGUUUUUGUGUUAACAACAUCGCACUCGUAAACGCAUACGAUCUUCUACUCAACACGUCAGCUACCAUGUUAGCUCUUCCACGAUGAUAUUGAAUGGUAUAGUCGUAAUCUUCAAUAGCUCGAGCCAACGUCCUUGGCGCAUGUUAUGUUCAUUCUAGGUGAAGAAAUAUUUGAGGGAUUGAGAAAUGUGUUUUGUACUGGGGUCAAUACAAAAUUCGAUUUCACGCUAUAGGGGUAGGCUAGGAAGUCUUCAGGAAUACGUCAGGAAAUUUAUUAACAAUAAAAAUAUCAUUCAAAACUGUGACUCUAAUCCAAGACUUGGAUAGCACAUGUAAUGAAGGUUUCUCCUAACAGAGUUUCAACCGAUAAGUCAAAGUCUAAUUUCUCCGGAGUCAAAUUUAAACGUUGAGCGCAAGCAAGAGAGAUAAAAAAUGGGUAGAACCGGUAUCUAAUAAGGUAUAGACUUCGCAAGAAUUAAUAAUUAACUAACCCAUGCUAACUUCGUUCGGGUUACUCGCUUUUUGAGAAGUCAUGAAAAACGCUCUCCCUGAAACCACCGACUUUGUUUUGUCCGUAUCCGCCUUUGGUGCCACCGUCCCAGCUGGACUUGACUUUGGUGCACAAAAAAAUUGGGCUAGGUGACCUUAUUUUCCACAAUUGUAACAUGCUUUGGACUGCAUCGUGCAGCUUGGACUGAUAUGUCCCUCCCCUCCACAUUUGAAGCAUACAAUUGGUGGUCAUUCUCCUUCCUUGAAAACGGGUGUUGGUGCUGCUAUCUUUCCAUCGUUGUUGAACCUUCUCUUCUUGAAAUUUCCACUCCUAUUAUCUUGGCCAUGAUUACCACCGAAGUGGUUACCAUUCUUGGCAUGAUAAUUUCCCCCACGAUGGUUAUCAUUGUUCCGAUGGCCGUUGCCACCGGUAUGAUUAUUAUCGUGUUGUUGGUCGUUGCCUUUUGGUUGUGCUGACUCAUUAUCGCGCUCCAAUAACUGAGCCCUAUUCACAACAUCUGAAUAUAAACAAAGUUUGUGAGAAAUGAGGUAUUGACGUAUAUCGGGUUUCAAACCUCUUAGAAACAUUCUCGUCAUUCGCUCCUCAUUAUUGGCCAAAUGGGAUGCAAACCGGGAUAACUCCGCAAAUUUAACCUCGUAUUGUGACACGGUCAUAUUGUUUUGCUCCAACUUGAUAAACUCCACCUCCUUCAUGUGACGAAUACUUUCGGGAAAGUACUUGUCGUUGAACAUCUCUUGGAACUUCUCCCAAGACAUCUUGAGUGCGUCAGGCUAGGUACGUUUUACAGAUUCCCACCAGUAAUCUGCCUCUUCACGCAACAUAAAGGUGGCGAAGGGAACCUUUUGCUCCUCGGAGCAUCCCAAGACAUCAAAUAUCUUGGUGAUCUGCUUUAACCACGUCUCCGCCUUAAGUGGUUCUGGCUUUCCCAAAAACUCCGACUGUCCCAGCUCCUUGAAUUGUUUAGCAGUGACCAGCCAUGGGUUGCCGUUGUUUCCACCUGCAUUUUGAACAGGAGUCUCUCUCGCCUGAUGUUGCAUAAAUUGCAUAAAGCCUUUGAUCAUCCCAUCGUUCAUCAUCUGAUCGGUGUUGUUGUUUACCUGAGGAUUAUUGUCUUCCUGUUGCACAAUAUUCUAGGUAUUGAUCGUUGGUGACUCAACUAUCUAAUGUGCUUCAUUGCUGAUCUCAACAUUUUCAGAUGCCAUUCUCAAACACUAUCAAAAAACAAGGGUUAAUUGACAUAUCACAUAUUAUCCCUAUACUCUGACCGACCAAUUAAAUACCAAAUAAACUUAGGUAGGUCAUACUAGCGAAGGAAUUCUGUGACAACCCCAAAAUAGGUAUAUAUCACCUAUUCUGAGUCGCCAAAUACAUGGUACAGAAUACACAUACAAACUUAAAUAUACAACAUGAGCUGUGAGUUUUAAUACAAAUAUUGUCUUCUAGACAGUAUUCAAACUUAAAAUAAGUCCUCAAUACAUUUAUUAUCACACUAUUUCACAGAAUAGUGAGGACUACUAAUACAAACAUUUGUACCGUCACUCCGUUCCCCAACUAGUCCCAGCUAUAUUCUCAUUUCCUGAAGAGAACAAUGAAAGCAAAGGGUGAGCUCAACUAGCCCAGUAAGAAAUAUUAUGACUAAGAUAAUGCAGAAUAGAUUAUCGUUAGCCUUCAACAGUAUAACAACUGAUAGAAUACAAUAGACAAUAAGUUUUAGAUCAACAACUGCAGCGGAAUAAGCAAUCCAUUAGAAGAGUCAAGUAGAGCAUAAUAUCUACCAUCUAAGGAUAUUUAAAAAGUUUAUCAUCAAUUUUAUCGCUGAGACUCAGCUUAAUAAAUAAUCCACAACAUUGAAUCAUCCCUACACUAUAGGCCAAGGAUAUUCUUUAGUAUCUCGACCACAAAUUAUCCAUGCACUACGGGCCAAAGAUAAUCGUGUUUUCAUCAACGGUCAUGAUCAUGCCAUAAAACAAUUCAUCUUUGCACCAUUGGCCGAAGAGAAUCCAUGGCCAUAAUCAUACGAAAAACUGUCCAUCAAUGCACUACGGGCCAAUGAGGAGUUUUACCACAUCAUUUGUAACAUUACGGUCAUGAUUAUACCGAAUAAUCCCUGGUCAUAAUCAUACCAAGUCCAUCUAUGCACUACGGCCAAAGAUGACUUUCAACACAAUAUAAGCAUGAGUAUGAUGAUAAUUCAAUAAAACAAGUUCAAGGAUAAAUUUUAAAGAUUUAUAAUUUAAUUUAUCUAGAAAUCAAUAACAUCCAAAUUGUCUACAUGAUACUGCUUUGUGGAGUAAAAUUCAAGAAUAAUAUUGUAUCAAAAAUAAUUUGGACCGAAAACGAAUCAAUUUUUAUCAUGAAUAGUACCCCAGAUGAAUAGUACUCCGGUGAAUAGUACCCCAUGAAUAGUACUUCGUGAAUAGUAACCUGUGAAUAGUACUCCGACAUGAAAAAUUUAAAACUUAUCAAGAAUGCUCAGAAUAAUAUUUCCAUGAAAAGAUACUGGAUGAAGCGCAAAUAUCAAGGAUAUUCUACUAAUUUCAUGGAGUAUAGAAGCCAAAACUUUAACCAAAUGAGUAUAUAAUUCGAAAUCUGAAACGAAAUAAUAUUACUUACAUACUACAGAGUAUGGGAAAAAAAAUUAUUUCAAGCGAAUAUUGAACAAAAAUAAUAUCUCUUACGAAUAUUAAACGAAAAUAAUAUUUCUUACGAAUAUUAAACGAAAAUAAUAUUCCCUACGAAUAUUAAACGAAAUAAACUUUCUUACGAAUACGAAAAAUAAUAUCGUAAGCGAAUAUGAAAUAAAUAAUAACCCUUACGAGUAUUGAAAGAAAAUAAUUCUCUUCAUGAAUACGAAAGAAAUAAUACCCCUUACCUUGAAAAGAAGAGUAUUCCAACUGGUAUAGUGGAGAUAUUCUUGAAGAAAACUUUCACUAUUUUCUAUGCUCAAAGCUUUCUAAAACUCGAAAGAAAUACGCUCAAUAUUAUAGAAGAAGAAUUCUCUGAUUCUGGUGUGAUUUUCAAUUCUAAAUAAGCAUCUUAUUUAUAAGAGAAUGGAAAGAAUACUAUUUGAAUGCACAGUAAGGAAAGAUUCACAAGCGAAAUUGGCCGAAUUUUUGUUUGAAAAUUUUGAUUUUACUAUGCAGCACUAUGCAAUAAAAUAUUCUAAUAAAACAGAAACAUUUAAAUAAAAUAUAAUAUAUCCUAUUUAUAAUCUAAUAAAACAAAUAACUUUAUAAAAAGUAUUCUGUUGUAUAUAAAAAGUUUUCUGUUUUAUUACUAAUAUAAUAAUAAUAAAAACAAAAUUUAUAUAUAUUUCAAGAAAAUUAAAUCUUUAUUCGUAAAAUUUGGGGUCUUACAAAUUCCCUGUCUCUCCCCUCCUAGUUCUUGUCUCACAUCUCAACCAUGGAUCAUAUCCCUAAGCUUUGAUACCAACUGUGACGCCCCCAAAAUAGGUAUACAUCACCCAUCGUGAGUCGUCAAAUACAUGGUACAUAAAUCAAAUACAAACUUAAUUAUACAAUUGUCGGGUAAUAUACGAAAAAACAUAGCUGAGAGUUUAAAUAAGAAUAUUGCCUUCUAGACAAUAUCCACACUCAAUGGAGUCCUCAUUACAUUUAUUAUCACACUAUUUAACAGAAUAGUGAGGACUGCUAAUGCUAUCAUCUGGACCGUCACUCCGUUCCCCGACUAGUCCCAACUAUAUUCUCAUUUUCUGAAGAGAACAAUGAAAGCAAAGGGUGAGCUCAACUAGCCCAAUAAAAAUAUUAUGACUAAGAUAAUGCAGAAUAAAUUAUCCUUAGCAUUCAACAGUAUAACAACUGAUAGAAUACAAUAGACAACAAUUUUUAGAUCAACAAUUGCAGCAGAAUAUGCAAUCCAUUAGAAGAGUCAAGUAGAGCAUAAAAUCUACUAUCUUCUAUGAUUUAAAAAGUUUUUUUAUCAACUUUAUCACUGAGACUCAGCUUAAUAAAUAAUCCACAUCAUCGAAUCACCCUUGCACUACGGCCAAGGAUAUUCUUUAGUAUCACGACCACAAAUUAUCCAUGCAUACGGGCUAAGGAUAUUCGUGUAUUCAUCAAUGGUCAUGAUCAUGCCAACAACUAUCCAUCAAUGCACUACGGGCCAAUGAGGACCUUUACCACAUCAUUUGUGACAUUACGGUCAUGAUUAUACCGAAUAAUCUCUGGUCAUAAUCAUACCAAGUCCAUCUAUGCACUACAGGCCACAGAUAACUUUCAACAUAAUAUAAACAUGAGGAUGAUGACAAUGAUAUAUGAAUUCAAUAAAACAAGUUCAAGAAUUAAUUUAUCCAGGAACUAAUAACGUCCAAAUUGUCAACAUGAUACUUCUUUGUAGAGUAAAAUUCAAGAAUGAUUAUACCGAAUAAUCCAUGGUCAUAAUCAUACCAAGUCCAUCUAUGCAUGUAAGCCAAAGAUGACUUUCAUCACAAUAUAAACAUGAGGACGUUGACCAUGACAUAACAAUUCAAUAAAACAAGUUCAAGGAUGAAUUUUUAAAGAUUUAUAAUUUAAUUUAUCCAGAAAUCAAUAACGUCCAAAUUGUCAACAUGAUACUGCUUUGUGGAGUAAAAUUCAAGAAUAAUAUUGUAUCAAAAAUGAUUUGGAUAAAAAAAAAUCAAUUUUUGUCAUUAAUAGUAGUCUGGGUGAAUAGUACCCCGUGAAUAGUACUUCGGGAAUAGUACCCCAUGAAUAGUACUUUGUGAAUAGUACUCGUGAAUAGUAUUUCAUGAAUAGUACUUUGUGAAUAGUAUCCCGUGAAUAGUAAUUUGUGAAUAGUACUGUAAAAAUGAAUACUACUCAUGGAUAGUACUCCGGCAUGAAAAACUUAAAAUUUAAGAAGAAUAUGUAGAAAAUAUCCUUGUGAAGCGAUACUAGAUGAAGCGCAAAUUUCAAGGAUAUUCUACCAAUUUCACGGAGUAGAGAAGCAAUACUUUAAUAGAAUGAGGGUAUAAUCAGGAAUACGAGACAAAAUAAUAUUACUCACAUUAUACAGAGUAUGGAAAAAAAUAUUAUUCCUUAUGAAUACUGGAAAAAAUAAUAUCCCUUACAAUUGUUGAACGAAAAUAAUAUUCCAACGAAUAUUUAUCGAAGAUAAUAUUCCAACAAAUAUUUAACGAAGAUAAUAUUCAUACGAAUACGAAAAAUAAUAUCUCUUCAGAAUAUGAAAUAAAUAAUACCCCUUACAAAUGUUGAACGAAAAUAAUAUUCCUACGAAUAUUGAACGAAGAUUAUAUUACUUACGAAUAUUGAACGAAUAUAAUAUUCAUACGAAUGCGAAAAAUAACAUCUCUUUAGAAUAUGAAAUAAAUAAUACCCCUUACCUCAGAAGAAGACUAGAUAUUUGAAUAGUGAAGUAGCAGACUUCGCUUCUUCUUUCUCUCUAAAGCUUCUCUCUCUAUAAUUGCUCUUGUAAGACUUAGUGAAUUGGUGAGAAUGAAGGAAGAAUGAACUUUUAUUUAUAGAAAAAUAUAGUUUCGAUAAUUGCACGUUUUGGGGCUCGAAAUAUUACAGUAUAAUACCUUCCUCUUUUUCUUCAUUUUUAAUUUAGUCCUGCAAGUAUUAUCAAACUUGCACCACCUCNNNNNNNNNNNNNNNNNNNNNNNNNNNNNNNNNNNNNNNNNNNNNNNNNNNNNNNNNNNNNNNNNNNNNNNNNNNNNNNNNNNNNNNNNNNNNNNNNNNNNNNNNNNNNNNNNNNNNNNNNNNNNNNNNNNNNNNNNNNNNNNNNNNNNNNNNNNNNUAAGCAUCAAUAAUCAAUACCGUGUGCUACUAUGCAACCACGCGUAUUACUGUACUUUUACUACCGGGUAGUUCAACAGUUUUAACGGUAACACUUUCGCCAUUAUUUUUAUAAAAAGAUAAUUCUAUCGUUUUCUAACUACGAUAAUACUUCCAUUGUGGGGUCCACCAAUGAUUGUGCCGUCGUACGGAUAUUCCCGACAAAAAGAAUAUUCCCCGACCAAACGAAUAUUUUAUAACAACUUACUUACUUUGCAAAAAUUUUCACAUAUCACCCUUAACUUUAACCUUUUAUCAAUUUAACCAUUUAUGAAAUAAAAUAAUAAUUAUAAGAAAAUUGAAUACUUUCAUUUCUCAAAAUUUGGGGUCUUACACAUAACUUCAAUAAAAAUUCUUCCAUGCCCUAGCAUGCAACUUAAGAAUCUCAGUAGCUUUCACCUUGGUCUUACUUCCACAAUCCAUUUGCUUAUCACUGUUUUUGAUGAGUUGAAUUAUAUCAUUCAUUUAUAUAUUAGUUUUCUGUUUUGGAGAAUUAGACUUGACAUUUUGUCGGAUUGCUUACUUAAUCUCUCAUUGUUGACUCUAUGUUAUUUUUUUGUUUUAUUUACAGUGACAUAUAUGAUUUCAUUAAUUGUGCACUAUGGUGAAGAGUUCAUCAAUGAGCCCACAGAACAUUAUGUAGGAGGGUUGAAAAAGGUUGUCUCUAGUGAUCCUGAUUUCUUGUGCACUACACGUAUAAAUGAACAAACGACUCAUAUAUUAGGGUACCAUACUACUGCUAAGGUUUUCUUUAAAUAUGGUGAAGGGUUUAGAUUAAUUCAUGAUGAUGAUUCGAUUAGGGAUUUAAUUAAAGCUUCUGCAAAAGAUGUGACUGUAGAAGUUUUUGUGGAUCAUAAACUUGACAAGGAUCACCCUAAUUAUUUGAAGAACCUUGAUCUACUUAGUAAGCUCGAAGAAAAUGAAAAAUGAAGAGAACAAUGGGGUGAAUGCUGAGGGGAACAAUGAUGUGAAUGGUGACUUCACUAGUGAUGAAAGUUCUGAGGACUCUGAUGCUGACUUGACUGGUGAUGAUGAACAAUUAAGCAGUGAUGAAGAGUACCAAAAUGAAAGAACAAAAUCUAAGGAGUAUACUAAACAAAUGACAGAGGUUGGAGAUCCUGAUGAUGCUGGUGGUAUUGAUCUAGAUGAGUUGCAAGAGGAGGGAGAAAAGGAGGCUGAAAAUGAGACUAAUGUACAGACAAGUACACAGGAAGAUGAGACAAAUCUACACUCAGGUACACAGGAAAAUGUUCAGCAACAACAGACUGCAAAUUCUGAUGAUGAUGGAAAAGAUACAGACAUCACUGAUAAGUAGUGGUUACCUAGUGAAUAUGAAGAUUCAGAUCAGCUGAGGUCUAUGGAUGUAGACAGUGAUGAAGAGAGUGAAGAUGUUGAAGAAGUAGAUCAACCAGAUAGGCUAAGUAGGAAAAAGAAUGUGGAAAGAGUAAUGAUAACAUUUGACCCCCUGACCAAGAGGAAAGAUAUUGACUUCUGUGUUAGAAUGAUGUUUACUGGACCUCGUGAAUUCAGAGAGGCUAUUAGAGGAUAUUGUUUGGGAAAAGGAAAAGAUGUCAGGUCCUUAGAAAUACUGGGAAAAAGUUUCAGCUUAAGUGUAAAAACCCAAAAUGUCAUUAGGAGCUGUUUGUAAGUAGAAUGGAUGACUCAUCUGAGACACUGCAGGUUAAGACAUACCAGAAAAAACAUACUUGUAGCAGGGCUUUCAAAAAUAGGAAAGGAUCAGUCAAAUUCAUGGCUGAGUUUUAUGGCAACAGAAUUAGAAAAAACCCUCAGUGGAAGUUAAAAGACAUGCAAGAUGAGACGAAGAGGAAGUUUCAGUUGGACAUUACUAUAUGCAAAUGUUCUAGGAUUAGAAGCAGGGCUUUAAGAAAUGUAUGGGAUUUACUAGUGGAACACUAUGAAAAAAUUUGGGAUUAUGCCACUGAAUUGAUCAAGUCCAACAAGAACAAUACAAUUGAUGUUCUUCCACACAGAAGCAAUCCUACUGAUCAGCCUUACUUGCAGAGGUUCUAUGUAUGUCUUCAUGCUUUGAAAAGGGGUUGGGUUGAGGGAUGUAGACCCAUAAUUGGGCUAGAUGGAUGUUUCCUUAAGACUGCUGUUGGGGGACAAUUGAUCUCAACCGUGGGUAGAGAUAGGAACAAUCAAAUGUAUCCUAUUGCAUGGGCUAUUGUGGAGACUGAAAACACCGAUAGUUGGAGAUGGUUUCUAAAAUUAUUGGUUGAAGACCUGUAAGGAGGUGAUGGGUCUGGGUGGACAGUGGUCAGUGAUCAACAAAAAGGGUUGAAAGUGGCUAUCGAUGAUGUUCUUCCUUUUGCUGAGCAUAUGAAUUGUUCAAGACACAUAUACGUAAAUUUCAGAAAAAAGUUCUCAUCCUUAGCAUUAAGGAAGGCUUUUUGGGAAACAUCAAUGUCAACAUAUGAAGCCGAGUUCAAGAGAAACAUGAAAGAGGUGAAUAGAUUCAACAGGGAUGCACAUGAUAAACUGCAAGAACUAAAUCCUAAGGUAUGGAGCAAGGCUUUUUUUAAGACUGUAUGCAAAUCAGAUGCGGGGGAGAAUAAUAUAUCAGAAUGCUUUAACGCUUGGAUUAUGAAAACAAGAUGGAUGAAUUGUAUUGAUAUGUUAGAAGAAAUAAGGAGCCAGGUUAUGAUUAGGCUCCACACUAAAAGGGAUGCAAUGAAGAAGUCAGGUGAUAGUAUAUGUCCUAGGAUCAGAAAAAUGCUUGAUAAAGCUAUUGAUGAGUCUGGUUAUUUUUCAGCUAUGUAGGGUGGAGGGAAUCAGUUUCAGGUUAAGAUGAGAGGAGACACAUAUGUUAUUAACUGUGAUCAGAAGACAUGCACUUGCAGAAAGUGGGAUUUGACAGGGAUUCCAUGUGCUCAUGCAAUUUCAGCAAUAUAUUUCAAGGAGGAAGAGCCUGAAACUUAUCUUGCUCAUUGGUACAAGAAGGAAACAUACCUAAAAGCCUACACACAUGUUAGAGGUUAUAAGCAGUUUUUGGGGUGAAACAAGUUUUUAGAAGAUGUUACCUCCUCCAAUAUGCAAUAAAGUCAAGGGAAGACCUAAGAAAAUGAUAAGGAAAAAAGGAUGGGAGAAUCCAAAAAAUCCUACAAGGAUAACAAGGAAGGGAAGGAAAAUGCAUUGCUCAAAAUGUAGACAGACAUGGCACAAUAAGGGUAAUUGUCCUACCAUCAGUGGCCAAACAGAUGAACUUCAGUCAAGCAAUGUAAGUAUUAUAGCAUUCCAACAUUAUUUUUAUGUAACAGUUUUGUUUACCUGAGUUAAAUAUUAUUAAUUCUCUGUGUCAGGCAAGUAGGCAGGUCAAGAGGAUUUGCAUCAGCAGAUCCAAAAAAGAAACAUAACAAUGACAUGGUGCAGUGUGGUAAUUCUAACAAGGUAUUGUUAUAUCAUAACUUCAUGAAGUUGAUAUAUUUAUUUGGGAAUGAAUAGUAGUUAUGUAUAUAUAUAUAUAUGUAAAUCUACAAACUAAUACUAGACCAAAGUUGCAAGUUAAGAGGAUAAAGACCCGCGCUAAAGUACCAGCAGGAUUUGGUGUUUAUGUUAGUCCUGAAGGAGCUGUAAUAGAUAAUAUGAAUGGACACAACUUUGGCUUAGUUUUUGUGAGUUAUAACUUUUUUUAAAUUGCAAGUAUUUAUGUUACUUUUAUUUGACAUUUUUCAUAUGUAACCAUACUUGUGUUUGGUUAUGUCAAAUGCAGAUGCCAACUCAAAGAGAAGUCAUAUAUCAAGAUGGAUCAAGCAGAAAUAACACACCUCCUGCUACAAGAAUGUAUAGAACCCCACUUACAUCAAGCAACAAUCCACCAACUUCAAGCACAACGAAAACACUUAAUCAGUCAAGUCAGUUGGAGAACAUGAGAGAUUAAGUUGGAAGCCAGUAGGAACAUGAGAUAUCAAUGUUUAAUUUUUAAGAACUUUGUUUAAUAUUUAUGACCUUGUUUAAUAUCAAGUUUGGACAGUGUGUUCAUUGAAAUGGUUGGAUAUUGAAUGAUGGCAAGUUUAUUCAUUUUUAUGAAAUGUUGACAAUCUCAGUUUUCAUUUUUAUGGUUGGAUUGAAUCCUUUUCAUUUUUAUGGUUGGAUUGAAUAUGAAAUUUUUAUCUUGGAUAUUGUUAAUGGUAGUUAUUUUCAUUGAAAUGGUUGGAUUGAAUGAUGGCAGUUUUAUAGCUCAGCAAAAGGCUAACUAUCUGAAAGAGAGGUGGAAUAUCAUAACUAUAAAACCAAAAAAAAACAGUUAUAAGGAAACCUUACAAUGAAGAAAAAUAGGCAAAGCAACUCAACUCAACUUCAGCAAUUAAACUAGUUGGGUUAGGAUGGAGAUGAAUCCCAUAUGACAGCAAAAAACUAGAAAGACAAGAAACAGAGCAUGCCAUUCAUUCAUUAAUUAAAACAGAGCAUCAUUCAUUCAUUGAAACAACAACAUCAUUCAUUCAUUGAAACACCAAACAACACCAAACAUCAAAAUCCAUUGAAACACCACCAGAAAUAAACCUUCAAGCUAACUAAUACAUUGAAACAGAGCAUCAUUAAUUCAAAUUCUAACACCAACAACACCAGCCAACUAACAUCCAUGAGCAAAUUAAAAGAAACCAUAAAAAAUAUUCCUUUUAUUGAGCUUUGACAUUAAUCUUCUUCAGCUUUUUAACCUCCUUCUCCAAUUUACCAUUUUAAGAAACUGUAGUAAGCUCUCCUGUCCUAUUACACAGCAACACACCAACCAUUAACAUAAGCAAUCAUAUGAAAAGAAAUAAAAAAAAACAUCUUUCCAAAAUCUUACCCGAUAAUUAAUACACCCAAUGAAUCGCCUUCCUCAAUGUUUUGUUCCAUCCUUCCUUGCCUCCCACAUUUGCACCAUUGCUCCACAGUGGCACCGACUUGGGAAAUCUGGUGUAAUCCAUUCAUUUUUGUUGCAUAAACUACAAUCUUCUUCCCCGAUUUUAUUUACGAUUCCACUCCAAGACGAGCUCAUCCUUUCAAUUAAACACUGAAAACCCUUUAAUAAAUAUAUGGGAACCAGUAAUCAAUGGAGAAUUGAGACAAGAAGAAUGAGAGAAGAAGAAGGACGGAAGUAUAGAACCCUAGGUUUUUCCCCCAAAUAUCGAUCUCUUCGUUUUUUGCUGAUCAGCUUUUAUAAAUGGGAAAUACACAUCAAUUCAACUUUGUUGCCCAGUCAUCGCCAUGCCAUCCUUUGCAUUUGACCUGUCAAAAUUUCAAACGGAAUAAGGAUGAAACCCUACUGUUUAACGGAUUGCAACAAUUUUCAAGUACAAUCACCAGUUUGUAACUUUUUUUCACUCCGGGUACCAAAUUGUAAGUCGUGUCCCAGUACAGGUACCAAAAGUUGAUUUAUCCCUAUAUAUAUAUAUAUAUAUAUUAAUUUUCCCCGAACUAUGAGACUAUUAAUCAGACUUUGAAUUUUUUAGUCAACUGAUUAACUACUUUUAUAGAUAAAUUAUAAAUUAUAAUAUUAUAUAUUCAAAACCUUAUAUUGUGGUUCUGGUCAUUUUCCUUGGAGACAAUUGAGAGGAGCCACUCAAAGUAAUAAAAUGAAUUAAGUUAUUCUCAUUUUCAAAAAAUUGAUACCAAUGUAUGAUUAAGUCAAUAAGACACAUGAGUGUAAUAUUAAUUAAUUAAUCAUCAAACUUAUUUAACAUUAUUUUAUCUUAUAGUAAUAUUGUUAAUUUAUUAUAGUUAAUAGGUGGAAGGACAUGAGAAAAUAAAUGAAUUAAUAUCAUCUCAUAUCAAGUUUAACUAGUAUUAACAUGCUUCAGAUUUCAAGGUUGAGGGGUCAUAUGACCCCCCUCGCCCCCCUAGUUCCGCCCAUGAGUACUAUUAGGAUUAGAAUUUGUUUGAUUUCUGUAGAAAAAAUGGAAUAAGCAAUAUUACAAUAUAAUUAGAAUUUGGUUUAAGAAUGAAGUGGUAUUAUUGUUGAAGCCAGAUCCAAAUUUUAAUUCAGAGGUGAUUGGAAGGAAUGAGUCCUCACAAUCGUAAUCAACGUUUGAUUGCCGCUACGAAUAAUUUAACGGGGUCCGGGGGCAGCACCCUCGGCCCAAAUCUGGAGGGGUAGUUUUAUAAUUUCGGGUGAAUGAGGGUUACUUAUAUUCGUUAUAUAAAGAGGGGAUCCUGUAAUUGUAUGAUGUACAAAUUUUUAAGAGAUAAUGAAACUGUCAGCCGUUGACCGUGAAAUGCUUAAUACAUGCAAGUCGGACGGGAAGUGGUGUUUCCAGUGGCGGACGGGUGAGUAACGCGCCUGCCAUUGGGAGGGGAACAACAGUUGAAAAUGGCUGCUAAUACCCCUUAGGCUGAGGAGCAAAAGGAGGAAUCCGCCCGAGGAGGGGCUCACGUCUGAUUAGCUAGUUGGUGAGGCAAUAGCUUACCAAGGCGAUGAUCAGUAGCUGGUCCGAAACUAGUCCAGAUAUUUUGGGUGAACCACAUAAAUUUUGUGUCUUGAUUGUUUUUCUUUUGUUUUCUCUUUUGCUAUUGUUUUGUGCUAAGUUGUUAAUCUUACACGUCGCCCAUAAAUGUUAUAAAUUUUGUAUCAUAUUUAUACAGAAGAAUCUGAAGCCAAUUUUAUUUUGAACUAAGACGUCAAUCUGGCUGUUAAUUCUAGUAAAAUAAUUCAUAUUGGCAACUGCCCCAAAGGAUGCCACAGCCCCAAAGUAUGGGAGUGGGCCUCUUGGCAACUGCCUCUUUGUAGGUACUUGCCAUGGUUUCAAAACUCCAAAGCAUUUUGGGCCCAUGUGGUUUACCGUGCACUCCUAAAAGCAGUGUUUGUUGGUGCCUCAAAAACAAUUAUGUUCUGGGAAUUUUCUAGAUCUAGAAUAUAAAAUCGGCUAAAGCUAAAAAAAUCAUUUUUUUUCUCACCCUCUUCUAUUCGUUGGAUUUAUAGAGUUUUUGAUAUAGGAACUAGAUUUUUGGUAGCCGAUAGGAGAACUGUAUCUGAGAAAAUAUAGUUCAAAUAGAAUUUUUUUUAUGACCAUUUAUCGACUUGUAUGGAACGUGAUAUUAAUAUAAGUUUAUUGGGAUUACAUCGCAGAAUGACAUUUUGCGGUUUAGUAUCUCAGUUAAAGGACAUGCAGAGAAAGAAUUCAGAACUGGAUGAAGAAAAUAAGAUAUUGAUUUUGAAGGUAUUAUUGUUCAUAUCGAGCAAGGAAGCUAAAGACUAAAAGGUACGGAUCCUCCCUUCUCGAGCCUUCUGUAGAAGACUGCCCUUUAGGAAACUCCGCAUUGAAAGAGACCUAAAGAUAAAAAAAAAGAAAAAAAACGCAACUAGCGAAUUCAAGGUAGUGCUAUCUACGGUACAAUCCAAAACUGAAAAGACAGUUCUUUUCUAUUAGAUUAGAUUAGUAUUAGUUAGUGAUCCCGGCUUAGUGAGUCCUUUCUUCCGUGAUAAACUGUUGGCGCCGGUCUUACAUUUUGUAUCUGUGGACCGAGGAGAAAGGGGGCUCUUUUGUUUCAGCUCCAGGCAAAAGAACUAGAUAAUGACAUGAUGCAGAAGCGUCUAAAUGACUUGGUAAAUGAAAAAGCUAUCAGUUCUACAAAUUAUUCAUUAAAGAAAAUUGAUGAUACUUAUCUGUGGCAUAAUGAGCUUGAUUUGUCAUUUCUGAAAUAAACAGUUACUCCAUCUGAUAGGAUGGCUCUUAGUGUUAAUAUAAAGUGCUGCACAAGCUUAUCAACAAAUGUCUCUUUUUUAUUCCGAAGACCCUCUUAGGCUUGUGCGGCUAUCUUUGCGUCUUGAAAAAGUGGCUGGAUUUCCCCAUGGGAGAAAUUGAAUUGGAAUCACUUUCACUCAAAGAACAUAUUCACCUAAUCUGUACUGGGGUUUCUCUCCCCCCUCUCCCUCUUUUUUCCCCUAGCAGAUCUUUUUUUGUUGUGGGAAAGAAUUAUUUCAGUCAAAUGAUAUUUUACAAUGUUAUCGCUUUCUUUGAUCAACCAGUGCACAGGGCAUUGUCUAUAGUUAUAGUUUAUACAUAAAAUGGCACCACCAGAUGAUGAACAUCCAAUUAAAUCCCUUUGCCUAUCUGUCCCAUAAGAUAAUUUAUAACAUCUAGUUAUCAAUGGGGCAAAGGCUUAAGGAAAUUGUACAUAGUUACAAUUAUGUUUAACUUUUCAAUUUAUGCAUGUAAUACCUAAUCUAAUUCCAUUUUCAUGAAGAAAAAGGAGAAAUUCAAAUGUAAUAGGGUGAUUUUAUUUUGGACCUUGUAUGUGCUUUUAUUAGGUGCAACUGACAAAUGAUGUUGUACAAUGCAUAACUGGACAUAGUUUCUGCAACUUGGUCGUAUGCUUAUUCAGCUUUUUCUAUUUUCGUUAAACUCACAGGGGAAUACUGUACCAUCCUUAAGGAGAGCUCUGAAGGAUGUUGCAAUGGAAAAAGAUGCUGCAGUUGUUGCACAGGUAUACACCACCAUCACACAGUUCUUUUAAUGAAAUUUUACGUGCUCUAUUCUUUACCAACAAAUUCUGAUAUUUUAGUGUAGGAGGAUCUCUCAGCCCAGCUUCACACAAUUAAGAAACAUCUGAAAGAAGCAGAAGAAGAACAAUAUAGAGUAUGGAAAUGGUUUUAAUGUUAAUUUAAUGAAAUCUGGCCCCAUCUUUAUAUACUCAUAAUCCUCUCUAAAUAGGCUGAAGAAGAUGCAGCAGCAUUGAGAGCAGAACUUAAUUUGUUACAGCAACAAGCAAUAAGUGGUUCACUUGGUUCCAAUACCUCAAUGGGGAAUUCACCAGAUCACUUGCAAGCCCUGGAGGAGGAGCUAGCCAAUUUAAAAUCUCAGCUAGAGGUUGGAGGAGGAGCUAGCCAAUUUAAAAUCUCAGCUAGAGGUUAGGCCGUUAGAAUAUGUUCACUGAUAUUUUCCAACUUUGAUUAUAUUUUCCAACUUUGAUGUCAUAAUGCUUGUGAGGAGCAUCUCAUUGUUGGUUUAAACUGUAGCAACAGUCACUGCUGAGGCAGCAACAGCAAGAACAUUUCACGGAACUGCAAUCCCGAACAAUUGCCCUUGUGUCUGAAAAACAGGAAUUGGAAGAGAAGUAUGCAACUGUAUCCAAAAUUGCCUUAGGUAUGACAAGGUCAAUUGUCAUGGGUCAAAUAUGAAUUUGAUUUGGAGUCCAUAAUAAACUACUUAUUCAACUGCUGUAAUGCUUGAUGAAUUUGGUUUGUUUGAUUCAUGAUUCCAUGCAUUGAUAGCUUAUUACUGAGCAACUGUGAGGCAUGGAUUCAUGGGUUACUGAGAUGGCUCAACAUAUACAAAUCCUAAACAAACCUAAAGAAGUAGAGGAUGGACACAUCGAGUAGAUGUGAAUAAGGAAAUCAGUUGCAUAUAACAGAAAGUUAUAAUAACAAUAAAGAAGGAUAUGUAAAGUAUCUUUUAUGGUAAAAAAAUUUAAUAUCAUAUGUUUUUUGCUAAAAAUUUUAUUCCAAGAAUUGUACUACUGAGUUAUUAUCUUGUUAUUUAAAUAACAAGGGAGAUAUUUAAAAAUACUAGAGUUGUUAUAUAAACACCUAACAAAUAACUUGUGUGUGUGUAUAUAUAUAUAUAUAUUAUAUAAUAUAUCCCCUUCUUUUUUCUGAUAUGUAAAUGUAUUCUUUAAAAAUCCCAACAGGGGGCGUAACCCAUGUGCACAUGGUGUAACAACAAGCAUGUGGAGAAAAAGGCUUAUAUUUACCUAUGAGACGGACCUUGUACACUCGCCAAUCUAACUCUCCCUAAAGUCCUACAAGAAAAAGAGGCACACUAUCAUCUAUCUAUAUUAUAAAGCGGGAGAGGUUUGUAAUGGUUACUUUUUGUAAUUUUGUGUCGAAGCUUAUGAUACAAGUAAAAAAAAUUCUACUUGUUCUUAUCUACUAUAAAUCUAAAAAUAGUUAAUUCUAUCUCUCUUUUUUCCUUCUCACUUUCUCUCAAUUCCUAUCGGAUCUCAAAUUUCUUUCUCUCCAUUAUCCCAAAUUUCUUAAUUACUUACAAUUUUUAAUAUUAUAAAGAAAAAAUAUGAACACAUUUGUUAUUGUGUGCCAUUAGACUAGUAUAUCUAAAGCAAACUCUACCAAAAUCCACGAAGGAUAAACAAGAGCAGGAUACAUUGCCAAGAUUUAUGAUAUCCCUUUUUAUGGUAUUUUUUUCUUACUUGCUACUUUAAUAAGUUCCUUGGUAAAAGUACUUUUGUUUUUCCAAUGAUUAUAUACUUUAAUGGCAUACUUGAACAAAGUCAUAUUUAAGAUUUCAUGGAAACGUUAUUUCAAUAUCUAUUGUUUCAUUAUUGACAAGAGGAAUUUUGUAUUCAAAUUAUCACGCAUAAGAAGUGUAAAUUACGUCUAAGAGUGUCUGUGAAGUAUUGGUGCUGGACACGUGGAUGACAGCGAGAAAGACAAUGAAUAUUUGUCCACAUUUCAUAGCUCAGAAACAUUUAAGCUUUAGGUCAAAUUGUUUUAAAAAGUGUACUUUGAACGUAUGAAUAUUGAGGUCAUCAAUGCGUGAAUUAUGCAAGUGGGAUAGUUUAUUUGUUGUUAGUAAUCCCCUCAUUAUUGUCACAGGUCAUAUGAGAUUGUAAUAGUGUUUCUCAAAUCUGAUCACAUACUCUGAGAUGGUUGUUUGGUUCCUUUCUGUAUUAGCUACGAAAUCGCGUUGUGCAUGUUCUUAUUUGUGAGCCUUUGAAAUAAUCGUUUUACUACUAAACUAGUCACCUAAGCAAAUUACGCAAAUUGCCCAAGAUAUCAAUAUUCCAUCAAGAUCUUAGAUAAGACAACGUUUAACAUGCUAAAGGAGUCAUCUUUUUUGCUGCAGUAGCAUGCUGCAAGCUUCCAAAGGGAUUCUAUUUAUUUACAUUGUAAUAGCAUUCAGGAACCUAGUUGCAUGUUAUUGUCAUUUCUUUAUGGGGAAUAAAUUAUAUACGGAUGGCCUGUAAAACUAAAGUUUUACACCUCCAAUAACAUGUCACGUAGGGAAUUUAGGAGAAAAUUAAGGAUUUUUAAUUGCAUUGACAGAUUUUGUAUUAUAAGUUGUAACUUAAUCUUUUGCAGUAUACUUUUUAAGAAAUUUUCUUUUAGUCCAAAUCUAGUAAUGUGUGUUUUGACUCUUUAUUUUGUAAUGCAGAAGAAGUUACAGAAAUAGCUCCCCACAAGGCAAUCUCAACAGUUAGUGAUUUAGCCAAAACAAAUAAAAAUCUCAACGGUUAGUGUAUACUUUUGGUUGUUAUCAACUCCAAAAGCAGCAUUGUGGUCUGAUAAUAUUCUCCUUUGCAUGGUUUUAGAAAGUAUAUAUGUAGUUUUUCUUUUCUCUUUUCAUUUUUCUCCUUUUUCUUUCCUCUGGUAGUCCGCUUGCAAUCGUAUGUCUGCAUGCGUGCAUUUUUGUUCUUUCAGAUGGUGAUGAUUUUGUGAAUAUGAUAAUUAUCUAACAAAAGUCUGAUUUUUUUUAAUGCACCUGUUUGACCUGUAUAGUUUUGUUUGGUUUCUGAAUACAUGUUCUUUUGAUUAGUAGUAUUAUGAUUUGAGUUUAAUGCAUGACAACUUUCAAUAUGACAUAUGCCAGCUCCUUUUUCCCUUUUCUCUUUAUUUCUCGCCACCUGCCACACCCAUUUCCCCUUUAGUUUUCUUUAAGUUGUGGCCCUUUCCAAAGUUAAUUUUCUUUGAAUGCUUCACUGCAAUGCACACAUGGAAUGAUAGCUUAGAGUCUGUACCUUAGGCCUAGUUUAGAAUGGCCAUGUGAGAAUGUAUUCUCUUUCAUUGAUAUUUUGUAUUUCGUCAUCCUUUUGAUUAAAAUUUUUAUUUAAGUAAUUCAUCCUAGUUUUCGUCAUCCUUUUCUAAAAGAGCAAGUUUUCGCUACUUAUAAUUAUAAGUUGGAGGGGGUGUUGACAUUGAAGAAUGAGGGUCGUGAUCAUGUGGACAAUCAUCCUCUAAAACCUCCUUGGCAAACGUCUUCCCAUCUAUUACGUUUCUGUCAUUCACUUUAGUAUUUCUCUUUUACUCAAGUUCAUUAACCACUAUAUCUAUGAAGAUAUUUGUAUAUAAUGAAGCAACUUCUUUGGGUUCCACUUCUGAAGAGGGCCUUAAAUAUCAUCUUGUUAUUGCAGGAAGACAAGGAAAGACUUGAGAAGCAAUUGCAUGAUAUGGCAGUUGCAGUUGAGAGGUUAGAGAGUAGCAGACAUAAACUACUAAUGGAGGUACCAUCUUUGCUUACUUUGCAUUUCCACCAUUGCCCGAAAGUGUAAUAUAUUUAGUUUGUUUCUUAAUUCUGUCAACAAAUUGAUUCUCAGUCUUCAGAGAUAGAGAGGCUUUUCGAGGAAAAUUCUGAUUUGUCGUCUGCUUAUCAACAAGCGACUAGUGUUGUUGUUCACUGGGAGAAUCAGGUAUGCGGUGCCUAACUUUUUGGAAAAUCUGCUCAAGAUACGAGAGGAAAUUUUUCUUUCAACUUUUUCAGAGUGUAGAUUAUAUGUUCCCCUGCCUCGGUGAUUCAUUAAGCCAGAAACUACCAUAUCUUACUUGGUUUGUAGCAUAAAGUUUCUAUUACCUUCCUAUGGUUUUGAGCAAGUUGUAUUGUCUCUAUUUGGAAAGAGGUGACCAGACAAUCCUUGACCCCCUCGUGGUCUUGGUGAAGUUCAACUAUUGAUAUGUUUAAUUGGUUGGGGUUGUUUGAUAUAGAGGUCUAGCUUGGUUGAUACUUUGAUUGGUUGAUACUUCAUUCCUCAAAGACGUGAAAAUAAAUCAGUAUGCUUUGUGAGUUAUGAUGCAGCAUGAAGGUUAAGCACUGAGAUGUAGGUUCUAUUGAAAUAUUACACUUUGGGCACCCAAAAGUACAAUUGUUCAAGUGGGAGAAAUGGAAAUACAUUGUUUAGUUGUUUGACAACAUAAAGUUAUGUGUUCCUCGAUACUCCCUGGCUUUAGAAAGAGACAUAGAAUGUGGUCAGACUUGAGGUUUAUUGUGUAUUAUCCUUACAAAUUAACCAAAAAUUCAACUUUGUUCUCCCUUCUAUAUGGCUCUUAAUACAUCCCUUUAUCUCAUGGUAGUCGAUGUUGAUGGGAACUCCAAGUCAAGAACAAAGAAAAGAUUUGUUAUGUUUAUUAUUUAGAGUUUUUAUUAUGUUUAAUAUAAAAGUAGUUGAUGUGAUUUAUGUAUUUUAUUUAUUAGUGGGAAUUUAAGAUAUUAAUUAGUAAUUAGGAAUUAUUAAUAAGGGUAUUUUAGUCCUUUAGUAUUUUAUUAUUCCCCAAGUAAAAUUAGGUUUGUGUCUUUUUAAAUAGUGAUGUAAUCCUCACAAGUUAUUUAGACUACAGAAUAUUGAUAUUGAAAAUUGAUUAUUUCAUUCACACCAUAGAUGUUUCACAUUGUAGAGGUAUUUAUAGGUGAUCCUAGUUUAUUUUCCGUUAAUUCUCCAUCCUAGAUCUGUCCUACAUCAUUUUGGUAUCAAAGCCUAACCUGGGCAAUCGCUUUCAAAAUCACUGUUCAUCGUCCGAAGCCUCGCACUACUUUCAACAUCAAAUCAGAAGCUAACCGCUGCUACAAUCAUACGAAAUCUCAUCACCGUCGCUAUAACAAUAACAACAAAAGCAUUAUUGCACCAUCAAUUCGGAACGACCCAACUCGGACCCGACCCGGAUCAAAAUAUAACAAAUCUCUUCUUUGUUCUUGACUUGGAGUCCCCACCAUUAAUUUUUCAAUUUUUGGGAGAUCUUGGGUUUUCAAAAAAAAAAGUCGGAAGUACUGUUCACUGGUCGGAGUACUGUUCAUCGCAGGAGUUACUGUUCAUCGUCGGAGUUACUGUUCAUCACGGUUAAAAGAAAAAAAAAAGAAGAAGAAAAGAAGGUUGUUCUGCCUUGUUGCUACUGCUACUAUUCUCUAGGGAACAAGAGUAACCCUAAUCUCUAAUUUAUAAAUAUUUUGUCAAAAUUAUAGUUUAAACCCAAUGGUUUUCGUAACUUUUCAAUUUUAGCCCCGUAGUUUGUAAACUUUUCACUUAUACCCUUUCAUCUUUUUUAAAUCAGCCCUACACUUUUUUAAUUCCUAUUUUAGCCCCUAUUUUUUAUAUUAUUUUCAGUUAGGCCCCUUGAGUUAUAAAAAAAAAUCACUUUAUUCAUUUAUUAUUUUAUAACCCAUUGUCUCAAACAUCUAAUGUCUCAAGCCACUAAAGAAUUGAUUGUCGAAGCAAAAGAGUAUAUUUGGUUUCUUGUCAGUGAAAGUAAUCGAAUAUACUACCUUAUUAAUAUAUGUGGUCAUAAAUAUUUGAAACACAAGUAGGAAGAGCUUAGAUGAGAUAUGGCUGAUGUACAAAAUUAUCUUGAAAAAUUGGAAUGUCGGUAUCGAGAUGAACAAAGAAAAGCUGAAGCAAAGAAACGUCAACAAGUUAAAGUAAGAGAGGCUAUACAAAGAGUGAUUUUUAUAUGGUCAUCUAUGAAAGAAGGCCUUAUUGACUUGUGGGCACAUUUUCAAGUAGAGCAAGAGAAAGAAAAAGAGGAUGUUCCAAAUUUUGGGACUACAAACAGUUGUGACAUGUCAUGGAAAUUAUUGAAGUCUCAAAUGUUGAACUAGAGAUUAUGUAUGAGGAGUGAAUUGAAAAAACCUCUAACGUUGCUUUUGAGUUGUUCGUUACCGAGGAAAAGACGAUUUGAGAAGUUGAUUCAAUCCAAGUUGACGUUGUUGAUUUCGUUGUUCCAGAAAGUUUCUUUUUAGCACCUUUGAAUACAAAACCAAGUCUUACCAAUUUUCUUUCAAAAUUUUUUUGAGUCAUACCACGUGAUGAUGUUGUCAAAGGUGUUUCAAGAUGUUCUUCCGUUGCAGAGUUCAUUGCUUAUUCUCUCAUAUUAUAGAACUCGAGGUCGAGUUUUCUCUAACAAGAGAAGAAUGAUUGGGGACUCCAAGUCGAGAACAAAGAAGAGAUUAUUAUAUUUAUUAUUUGGAGUUUUUAUUAUGUUUAAUAUAAAAUUAGUUGAUGUCAUUUAUGUAUUUUAUUUAUUAGUGGGGAUUUAAGAUAUUAAUUAGGAAUUAUUAAUAAGGGUAUUUUAGUCGUUUAGUAUUUUAUUAUUCUCCAAGUAAAAUUAGGAUUUGAGUCUCUUUAAAUAGUGAUGUAAUGCUCACAAGUUAUUUAGACUACAGAAUAUUGAUAUUGAAAAUUGAUUAUCAUUCAUACCGUAGAGGUUUCAUACUGUAGAGGUAUCCAUCUUGGUGUUGAUACGCGGAGUUGAUACACUUGAGAGAUCCUAUAGGUCUAAACAUAAAGUUUAGAUCUUAGUUUAUUUUCCGUUAAUUCCCCAUUCUAGAUCUGUCCUACAUCAGAUGUACUCCCUUCUCAGUUCUCACUCUAUAGAACGUGUCCGCUUCAAGGGCUGUGGGGUUAAAUUUCUAGUCCUUAUUAAGUCAAAUUAUCUUACUUUGUUCUAUCCCGGAGGCGUUAAAUUUUUCACUACGGCCCAUCAAUUUUAUAGGAGUUCUGUGGAGUGUUUCUAUUUUCAUUCUUGAAUAUAUAAUCUGCCCAAUGUUUAAUUCACACAGGUGAAAGAUUGUCUGAAACAAUUAGCUAAAAUGAGAACAGAGCAAGCUAAUAAGCCAGCAUUGAACGAGACGCAGAGACAAUUAUUGGAUUCCACCAAAGGUGUGGUAAUGAGAUAAGUGCUCAGGCAUAUGAUGCUGAUGUUGUCUCCCUCAAGGUUAGGUUCAGUUUGUACUGGUCAUUAGAACACAUACCCAUUAGUUGAUAUACUUUUUUUUGCAUUCCUUAAAAAAUUAGCAUCUUUUUUUCCCUAAAUGUUUGUUGGGAGUUGGGGGAGUGGUGCAGCAAAGUAUCCAAAAAUUUGUAACUAAUACUGCAAGCAUUGCAGUUUACAUCCUAGAGGGUUAAAAAAUAAAUAACAGAGAAGAUGGCAAAGGUUAAGAGCGAUUAAAGGGGAACACAAGUUAAUAAAUCUUUUAAGGGAACUAACUUCACAAGAAUGCUACGUUCUAUACUCUGAAUAGAAGUAAUAAAAAUUACAGCAACCAAUGAUAAAAGUCAUGUACAGUACAACCUAACUUAAGCGACUAAUAUGACUAGUUUCUAGCAUUUUAAAUUAAAAGGUGUGUCUAGCAUAUGUCCUGCUAAUAGCUGGAGCCCUAGUAAUAUAUAAGAACAUAACGUGACUAGAAAAAGAAAAUGUUGCUGCUUUCAUUUACUCCUGCAUCAGGGAGUAAGCCACUUUCACUUAGGUUGAUAAUCAGGACUAGGGGAUUUCUCCCAAGGGUGAAACUUGUAGACCUGUCUAUGUUGGUUAUAUGAUAAUACGAAAUAGUGUUCAAGUAGAUACGUGAUAAUUUGUUUUUGUCCACUGUGGCUUGUACACUGGUCACUCCAUGACGUGGGAUGACAUGCCACUUGAGCUAGAACUCAUUUGGCCCAACUGAGACAUUGACUUGCCAACAGUGAAUUGGCUUGGGACUAGCAUGGGUAAUGCACUAUGCUUGUGAUCCUCCCCUCAUCCUUUUAUUUUGCUACUUCUCUUUGCUGUUAUUUUGAUCAUAAUUACUACGCUGCCAAAUGGUAAGGCUUUUGUAGAAAAACUAUCUUUUGAUGAAGGAAUGUAAGUUGUUUGAUUAGUGUCACCUCAGAACUACAGACCAUUACUCAAGUUGCUAGAGGCACCGACCCCAGGUGUUGUGUUAAUAGUAUGCCACAGGAGGAUAGUAUGUAUGUUCACGGAUUGCUGAUUCUAUUGGUGCAUUGUGCCUGUACAUUUUGCUAGUGUUAAAAAGUAUGUAUGUGCAUAUGCUCGUCAACUUUCUGAUGUAUAAGAAAAGCCAACAAUCAUCUGUUAUAGGGCCUUAGCAAUGGGUAAAUAUGGUCUGAACUCAUCCUCAUUAAAGAAUUUUUAGUAUACAUGUGACCCCCUUUUGUUUUUUAUUCAACCACUUAGGAAACUAUAUAUUUAAAAUGUGAAGUAAAAAAAUACUAAUAUUCUUACUACCUCUUUGGGUUGUAAUUAUCCUUAAUAGGGUGAACUUGUUAAAGAACAGAGCAAAGCAGAAGCACUAUCAGCAGAGGUUUUGCAGCUCUGAUCACGACUCCAGCAAGCCACACAAGCAUACAACAGUCUUGCACGCCUGUACAUUCUCUUACGCUCUGUUUCUGAGUUUUAAAAUGGACAAAAAAGAAAAGAAAUGGACGGAAAACUUAAGUUUUAUUUUCAAUUCUUAUGUUUCUGAGUUUUUUAAUGAAAGGAAAAGAAAAGAAAUGGAUAGAAAACUUGGCUACUUUUCUUGCCAAAGUUUUCCGUCCAAAAUUGGCCUGAUUUGGACAGAAAAGAAAUUUGAAUAAGUAAUAUUUUUAUAAUUCCCAUAUUAUCCUCAACUUUUAAUAUAAUAAAUUUUAAAUUACAACUCAUGUCCUCAAUUUUAAAUUUUCUAUUAAAAACUGAGAAACAACAUAAAGGAAAAUUUCAAGUUUUGUAUUCUUUUCUUUUCUGUUCUAAUUUAAGUUUUCUAUUCUUUUCUUUUCUGUUCAAAACUCAGAAACAUAGCGUUAGUCCUUUCUUUUUGGUCUAAAAUUUUGUCACUAUAUCCUUUGCCGACAAUCUGGAUUCCCCCCUUGAUUUUAUGUUCAAAAAACAAUAUUGCAGCUAUAAGCCUGUUCUGCGGAACAUUGAGAAUGGUCUCCUGAAGAUGAAGCAAGAUGGUUCUGUAAGGGUACAAUAAAGUGGCGUAUCCGUGUAUAGGUGUUCAAUUUUGUGCAUGGGAUUCUAACUUUUUCUAUGUGAUAGACCCGGAUGAGGAAAAUCGGAUCAGAAAUUUAUUCAAUGUAAGCCACAAACAAUACAAAUUAAUAAUAGCAACUGGAUGACAAAGCACACCAAGAGAAAAUCACAGUACCAUCAAAAAUUAGACAAGAAAUCAUAGAAGAAACCCAAAUUAAACUGAAAUGAUACACAAAGUAGAAAUUACUAACAUAAUCAGCUAAACCCUCACCUUCUAUUUGGGUAAUAAAGUGAAUAUUCAGAAGAACCCAAUUAAACCUAAAUUAGACAAGAAACACAAAGACGAAACUCAAACGAACAAGAAAUCGCGGAAGAAACCCAAUAAAACCCAAAUUAAACAGUACCAUCAACUGAAAAUAGAAAUUACUCAAAAAAAUAUUUACCUUAGAGCUCCACAGAUUAACUAUUAUGUGGAGCAGAGCAUGGUUCCUCUUUCUCUACGAGGUUCAAGGAGGAAAGAGAGAUUUGCGUGAAUCUAGUAUUUGACCGGAGAAGAGCUAUCAACUAUGUUGAUCCGGCGAAAUCGAGUUUAGUCGGACAUAGAGUGAAGGAGUUUUUGGGCGGGAGUUGUAGGAGAGUAUUACACGAGUUUGCAGCGGAAGGGGGCAAGAAUUAAAAAAAUAAAAUACUCAAAACGACUCUUCUUCGUGCGUAUCGGGAAGCAUGUUGUAAAAUUGAUGUACAUGUAGAUUUAUUCUUUCAUGAAAUGAAAUAUGUACAAAUAGUACUUUGGAAUAUUAUACUAAUACAAAUACUAGUUUUAGUUGGCUUUUGGGUUAUUCUUAGAAAAGUUGAACGUUUUGGCUGUAAUGCAGAAAGUUGGUUGUCAUUUGUGCUAUUAUUGGAAAAUACUCGGGAACUAUGUGUACAACAUUACCAAUAAUCACCACAUGAACAAACCCCGUCCCUAAAAUGGUGUAUGCGGUUUACAUCUCGAACUAGAAUCUCUCUAUAUGCAAUAUUGGAAAUGAACUUUGUAAAAGAAUGGCAAUCUUCACAUAGCCUCAAGUUCUUGGUGAUCUUAAUGGCUCCCCCUCGUUUGCAAUUGAUCAGCCCAAAGGCAAGUGCCAACUUUUCACUAUGACCCAGUACAAUUAUUUCCUUUUCCUCUUCACCAAUAUCAUAGAGCACCGCUUUGGUCUGUGGCACGUAGCCUAUCUCCCUCAUAUCCGUUGACAAUUUUAGUAAUAGAGCAUGGAUUUGUUCAAUUUGUGGAUUGCGCUUGUUGGUUGACAUGAAUGAGUAAAUUUUCCUACUCACUUCGAUCCAACUACAGCCUGAGAGAUUUUGAAUUCCUCGAGCCUCUUGAAGCUUUUUUAUUCUUUUAACUUCAUCCAACAUCUCUGCUUUUGCGUAUAUUUCAGCCAUUACUACAUAGUUGCCAGCAUUUUCCGGCUCAAGUUCAAAAAGCCUUUUACUUGCCCUCUCCGCAAGCUCAACAUUGCAAUGAAUCCUACAUGAUCCAAGAAGAGAACCCCAAACUGUGGGUCCAGGUUCCAUUUGCAUAUCUUCUAUAACCUUGGCUGCUUCAUCCAAUCGAUUUGCUCUACCAAGAAUGUCGACUAGACAAGCAUAGUGUUUAACACUAGGAUACAUCCUAUGUUCUUUUACCAUUGAUUCAAACAAACUCUUCCCCUCCUCAACAAGCCCUUCAUGACUACAAGCUCCCAAAACACUAACAAAUGAUAUAAGACUUGGCCGGACUCCCAUGAAGAGCAUCUCUUCGAAAACUUCAAGAGCUUUUCUGCCAAAACCAUGAAUCCCAUAACUUGAAAUCAUGGAAUUCCAUGAGACCACAUCUCUCCGAACCAUUUGAUCAAAAACACGACGCCCAAGUUCAAGAUCACCACAUCUUGCAUACAUAGUCACCAGAGCAUUAAUAACAGGCAAAACUGAAUCAAGACCUUUCCGAAGUACAUAGCCAUGUAACAAUUUUCCUUGCUCCAAAGCAGCUAGUGCUGUACAAGCUUGGAGAACACUAACCAUCGUCACUGAGUUUGGCAACAAGUCAUGGGUCUCAAGCAUCAUAUCCCUGAAAUACUCCAAUGCUUCAAAGGAACACCCAUUCUUUGCAUAGCACGCAAUUAUUGCACUCCAUGAAACCACAUUUCUAACCGGCAUCUCCUUAAAAACACAACUUGCAUUCGAUACACGACCAAACUUGGCAUAAAUAUCCACCAAAGUAGUCAUAACAUGAACAUGGCUCCCAUACCCAUGUCGUAAAAUGUGGGCAUGAAUCUCUUUCACCUUAUCCAAUAACCAAAUCAAUGACUCCCCAGUAACACAUGCCUUUAGCACAUAAGUAUAAGUAAAAUUAUCCGACAAAAUCCCAUCCCCAUUCAUCCUACUGUAAAGAUUUAACACAUCUUCACCAUCACCAGCAUAUGUCAGCGCCCGAAAGAGCACAUUCCAAACACAUGUAGUUCUGUUGUGAAUAUUAUCAAACACCUUUCGUGCAUGUUCAAGUGAACCCAACUCAGAGUACAUAGUAAUGAGUUUAGUCGCCGUGUAAGGAUCCUGAUCAAGCCCAUUAUUACUAAGUUGGCGGUGAACAGCUUCUGCGUCGGAUAAAGAUUUUUGAUGGGAGCAUGAGAGGAUUAAGAGCUCGUAGGUUUGCGGGUUGCGCUCGUGAGGGAGGACUUGGAGGGUCUGUUUACGGUUGCCUUUUUGAAUGAGAGAUUGUAUAAAUUGGUUGUUGCUAGUGGCGGUAGUGGAAGGACGAAGGGUGAUGAAAUUAGGGUUUAACCGUGAGGAUUGGUAAGAGAUUCGAAAUGGGUAGAGGGAAAAUAUUCGUCCAAGGGUUUUGGGGGCCACCAACAUCACAAGAACGUUUCCGUUGGUUUUUGAAUUUUAGUAACAAACUGUCAGUGGGUCGUUCUAUUUCUAAAAAAAAAAGAGGUAACCUACUGAGUCGAACCCAUUAUUAAAUUGCUUAGAUUUAGUUUAUAAAACUAGAUACAAACCCGCGCGUUGUGGCGGGAUUAUUUAAUUUUUUAAUGAUAAAUGUGUACGUACAAUUAAUAAAUUAAAAUAUAAUAAAAAGAUGGUAAAUUGUUGUGCCAUGAUCAAAUUUUAUACAGAAAAAUAAAUGAAUAUACAUUGUAAUGGAUAAUUGAGAGUUUACCAGUUUGUGCAUUACACUCUAAGUAUGUGACUAUUGCCGGUUUGUGCAUUACACUAAUUAUGUGACUAUUGUUUCUGAGUGUGUAAAGAGAGUGCAUGGGGCAUAUGUAGUAUAGCGUGUAAAUGUUGUUAAGGACAAUGCAGCAAAAAAACACUAGAAAGUUAAGCCUCCAUAUCAUCUGCGAAAGAGAAGUGAUGUCAUCAGAAACAUAAAAGAAGAGAACUUGGAAUAAAAUCUAAAGGUCUAAAAAGAAACCAUGUAAAUGGAUAAUUGGAUUCCGUCCUUUUGCUUCAGCUGGUUGAACAGAUUGCAAUCUUAGCUUAUCAAAAUCAUCAGUUUUAUCCCCAGUAAACUACAAAAGUACCAAAGAUAAGGUAAAUUUCUGGAGGAUUUUUGCAUAACAGACACUACAACAAAAAGGGUUAUUUCCGACGGAAUGUUCCGUCGGUAAUAAGCAUAUUCCGUCGAGGUUUAUAUUAUUUCCGACGGAAUGCUCGGUUGAAAAUUCGGUCGUAUAUAAGCAGGUCGAAAUUAAGUCCAUUGAUCUUUCGGUCGGGGGUACUUUACCUCGACGGACUUAUCAUCGAUUGAAUAUUCGGUCGAGGGUACUAUAUGUCCGACUGAAACUAUUCGGUCGAUAGUAUUCGGUUGGUGAUAAUCAUGACACGUGUCAGCUUACCAAAAAUAGGGAAGUUCGUAUUUCCGACGGAAUUCCGUCGAUAAUAGUAACAUUUCGUCGAGAAUAAUGAUUUUUUUUUAAUAUUUUAUUUGUUUUUGCAAUAUCCAGGGAUUUAACCCACAUCUUGUACCUGUACCUGUAUUCCAACAACACAUACACAUACACAAGCUAACAAUAUAACCUCCAACAGCACAUCACAUACACAAGCUAACAAUAUAACCAAUAACACGAAUUACAAUUACCAAGGCCGACAAUAUGUAAAAAACCAACUAAAUGAUAAGUAAAAAGGUCAAAAACAUCCCAUUAAUCUAAACUAAUGUAUAUCAAACAUCUAAUUAAGCUAAAUUAAACUAAAUGCCAAGGUUUAAACUACAAUACAUCAAAAAUAAUGUAAACUACAAAUUAAACGAAUGUAAACUAAGUAAAACUAGUAGAGCCCCCGGUAUGAGGAGGAUCAUCGGGCGGGCGUCGACGCUGCUCUGGAGUAUGAAAAUCGUCACCAUCGUCAUCCCGCUCGUCAGUUCGCUCGUCACCCUGUUGAUAUAAUAUAAUGCAACUCAUUAGUCCAUAUAUAUGAUUCAGUUAAAGAUAACUAAAUGAAAAUUAAAUUACAUGCAGAAUAUAUAUUUGAAUUUAAAACGAAUAGUAUACCUGAGCAGUCGAGGGCUGACUCAACAUCGGCCCAAACGCGUCCUCGACUAAGGUAACCACCAUCCGAACAAUCUCGUCGCGUAUCGCGGCCCACUGCUCCGGAGGGAUACCCGUACUCUCGGCGGUGGCACCAGCUGCAACGUCCUGCGCAAGCUGAUGGAGGCGAGAACGGCUGGGAAGGUCCUGACGAUGGAACAGCGGAUCGGUCUCAAACCUCUCCGACACCGCAGCCAUAACACGCUGGAACAAAACAUCGUCUAAGCCAGCGCCCGUAUGUGAUGGUCCCACAGGGGCUCUCGAACGCAAACGCUGGCUAGAGCCUAUAAAAAUAAAUAUAACAUGAAUAAUAUGGCAAAUUUUCUUUAUUCAUAAACAAGAAAUAAACUAAAAAUAUUAUACCUCCUGGCAGUGUAUAGGCUGGUAUCCUCGGUAACCCCAGCACUCGAUACCGCCCGCUAGUACUAGUGGGAGUAUCCUGAGACGCGACCCAAAGAGCCGUCUCCUCGUCCUGAGAUAAACUAAUCUCAGGCGGAGGGACGGUGGAAUCUAACGUCUCAGCAUUGCCCCUAGCAGCCUGCAACUCCGCUAUACGCUGGCUGCGGAUCUUCUCAAACCGCUCCUGUAAUUUGAUAUAUGUACAUAUGAGUUACCUUGGUAUCAUCAUAUAAAUUACGUAAUAUUAUCCUAAAUAAUAUUUAUUAUAGUAAAUGUAUUACCCGUAUAGCUAGUGCUGCUGGAGACAUCGUCGACCCCGAAAUAGAGCCCUUCGGCGUAUGGACUCUAUCUCAGAACUCCAUCAUAAUACUUCGCAUGGCCUAAAUCAUAUACAUUAAAUAAUAUCAACUUAAAUUACUAUAGUUGCAGUUUAAUAUUUAACUAAACUAAAGAUAAAUACAUACCGCUUUAACCUCCUGAAACGACUGCGAGCCAGAAGUAUGUACAACUCGCAGCUUGCCUCGAUUCUUCUUCAUCUGCUCUGACUUGGUCUUGAACGCAACAUCAUCCCAGUACGCACACAUCGCAGCCCAUGCUGGAUCUGAUACUUCCGGCGGCUGAUGAUCUCACAAAGUAGUCCCGGGCGAUUCUUCUAUCGCCCGGACUGCCCUCUGUCGCAUCUCGUACAGCCAGCCGGCAUAAUUCUUCGAGAUGUGGGCAAUGAUAACGGCAUCACCAUCUGCCCUCUGAAUCAUUUGGCUUUUGUUGAUCAGCACUGCUUGAUGCAGGCUCAUUUUUUGCCCAGUCAAUAUUCGUAGGGCCAUACGCAUCUACCAACAUCUCCACGACAUCAUAGUUAUCUGACUGGUCUACAGUACUGUCUGAAAGUUCUCUAAACUCAACUGAUUCCCCGUGAUGAAUCCAUAUCGAAUACCCAUCCACAAACUCACGUGAAUACAAGUCAAAUUCACUUCAUCGGCAGUCUUCCAUAUCAUGUUCUUACACUUGAGACACGGGCAUCUCAUCUUUCUGUUCAGAUCAUCAGCAUGUUCUAUUGCUUUGUUCAUUAAAUUAGACACCCCGUCACGGUACACAUCAACUAAUCCCCUCCCAUCAAUCUUUAUCCUACGGUACAUCCAACUCCGAUCGGCAUCCAUCUUUAAUUGAAGAAAAUACCCAAUUAGAUCAAGAAUAAUCAUGAAUGUGGUCCAAGCAUGAAAUUUAGUUUACCUAGUUUAUAUCUCCACUCUACAGGGGUUAGGCUUCUAUCCCGUUCCUGGAUGCGUCUCCUCACUAGUGCCAAUCUUAAGCACGUUUCUACUAUUUUCAGAAAUUUUCAGCAGCACCUCCCCAUGGUCUCCAAGUACACGAAAUAGACCAAGAAAACUUAGUCUAAGUAUGCACUCGGAGAACAUUAGAGACACCAGCUGAAAGUUCCUCAAAAUUUAUAAAAACGCACCAUGUGUAUUGACACCGACCUAAGUGAGAGACAUAACAUCCAGUAACAGUCCCAAACUGGGGACUAUUCGACAUUCACUCCUAAUGAGUGAACGUUGAACGGGUUUCUAAUUGUAUUUAAUUGUAUUUUAUUUUAUUU
rnacentral:lncRNA from 1 species